AUCUCGUCGUGUCGCAAGAAUGGAUAUCGUUACAAGUACAUGUACUGAAAAGAUGAGAUAUAUAUAGAAUUGGCUUACACUCGCCACAAGCUACAUCAGAGUCACAUCAGUACAUUACAUAACAUCAAGAGUAAGAGCAGGGUCCGACUACGGACGAAAACAAACGAGAAAAAUAAGAACGACGUCCAUCCUUGCUAUCCCAGGCUGCCGGCCUGGAAACCAUCCUAGACCGAUGAAGAAGAAGAAGAAGAAGCAACUCCAAAUGAACAAUCAACGCGCUCGCGUCAAGUAACCUUUACAUGUACCUGCAACUGGUGUUGUAGUAAUCUGUGAGCCACACGGGACUCAGCAAUCUCAUUUCCAAAGGUAUCAAGACUAGCAAAGCUUAAUGGGUGAGGCAUGGUUAAGUGGUGAGGUUGCAGCAGCGACUAAGCAUAUAUUUAGUGGCUAACUUACGAGUACAAGAAAAUAAGAGGGGGAAGAUCUACGCAUAACAGACGUGAAUUACUGAUGAUCAAAUGAAUGACCCUACACACCUACCUACGUCAGCCAUAACCCCACCGUGUCCUCGAUCGGAGAAGGAACUCACGAAAGAGACAGUCACGGUUACGCACACAGUUGGCAUAUUUUAAUUAAAUUAACUUCAAGUUAUCUAGAACCAGUGUUAAACAAAGUUUCCACGUUGCCACAUAACCACGGGCAUGGCUUUCCGAAAGAUUUAACCCUGCAGGGGUGCUCCAACUAGUCCAUCACAAAUUACCACAAGCCGCAUGGAAAUCCUCAAUCACGAAGCUCGCGAUCUCGUCGGAUUCCCUAAUGGAAAACCUCAACUCUGAGAUUACCCAAAGCAUCACCGGAAUCCCUAUGCACAAGAUAUCUCGUCAAAGGUAAAACUAAUCCAGCAAGGCCGCCCGACGUGUCGACGUACCUGAUAGGAGCCGCGUAUCUCGUUCUCAGGACACGACGGAUGGAACUAGCUACAGGUGCCAAACCUUGAGUUUCCCCGCGGUGGCCCCACAGGCAGACCGUUUGGGACCAACACCAUCAGCACUGGGCCCCCCCUGUUUAUGUAAAAUUACUCCUCGGGUAGCGCUAACUCCCUAUGCAUUUCAAUUUAUUAAAAUUAUUAUGUUGGGCAAAUGUAGAACCAAAGUUGGGCCUUGCCAGACCAGCUUUAAUCUAAAACGAAUUAUCAAGGGGGUCCCCAUUACAACCCCGAUCGUGUUAGGAGCGCUCGUUUAUGGAACAUAACACCGGUAGCCGAAACUAAGGGGGCAAAGGUGGAACCAAACACCAGGCUAGAAAGGCUGAGCCUUCCACCUUUUACCAAGUAUAUAGGUGCAUUAAAUUCAAUAGCAUUAAUAGGGUGAUAUAACAAGGAACCCAUGUUUUCACAUGGAAGCAACUGCACCUGCAUCUAGCAGCGCUAACAACAUGGAUAAGCAAGCGGUAACAUAGCCAAUCAGUGGUUUGCUAGGCCAAACAGGUUGAAGGCUAUCAUGACAUUGUUGAGAGGUUGGUAUUUAACAUGUGGUAGGCAACGAGACAUAAUCGAUAGAAGCGGUAAUACUAGCAUGGCAAUGAUAGUAAUGGUAUCUAGGGAAAUGAUCAUCUUGCCUGAGAUCCUGCUUGGAAGAAGAAUGCCUGCGUGAAGCAGACGAACCGACGUAGUCGAACGGGUCCUAACAAUCCGGCACGUUGCGGAACUCUAUCGAGACGAAGAAAAACGGAUACGCAAAUCAACACACGGAAUUCACCACACGAUGCACAACACAAAUGACGCAUGAGCAGCUGAAAACAUGCAAGUCACGGCAUGACAAUUCACGACAAACAAACACUACACAUUAAGUGAAGUUCAAUAUGCAACGAGUUGCAUAUUGACGAAACUCCACAUAUGAAUUAUUUAGUUCACUCCCGGUUAUUUACACGGAAAUAUUAAUGUUGUCACACAUGCAAGAGGUGAAGCGUAAUUAAUCUACCUAUCUAGGCAUUUUAAAUGAGGUCGGAAAUGACAUAUAGCAUCUCCGAGACGACCUCACAUGUUAAUUUACAAUUCUGUCCAGAUCUGAACUAAUGCAUCUAAUUAGUUAUUAAACAGCAAAACAAAUAGGUUCACGUGAUUCUACGCAUCAAGACAAGCAAUCUACAAAUAGAGAACAUCUCCAACAGAGCUACGGGUCAAAAGUUACAAGCACCGCAAGAUAUGAUGGCAUGAAUGCAAUAUGUGUGCAACGGCGGCUACGAGCACUUCAAAACAAACAACCAGCAAGAGAAAAUGAAACUACACGAGAUUCUAAGCAAGUUUCAUGUAGGACACGAUCAAUUCGGAGCUACGGAUCAAAAUCUACGAGCAAAACGAGAAAUCACUACAAUCUGCCAAAAUCAGCCACAUAGCAUUUUCUACGCCCCACAACUACGACUACACAAGUCCGAUAUGCUCAAGCAAGGCAUGGCACGGAAGAGGGCAAGAAGCACUACUACAAGCAACUAACAACAACUAGCAUGGCAGCAAGGAUCACUAGAGAAAGAAGUCACAAAAAGGCAUCCCACACACUAUUUCAGACUUAGUGAAAAUCACACCUCAUGAAAGUGCAGUUUUCGAUCUGAAGCAAUAUUGACAGCAGCAAAACCUAUAGCUACAGGACUCCAAAUGGCAAUAAAAUUUACAGCAUGCUAGAUAAACACAAGGGGUACAACUAACUCCAUUGGACCAACCUCAAAAGAGCUACAGAUCUAAAGAUAGAAGCAAAACAAAACAGCAACAAAAUAUAACAGAUUCCAGACUUAGAAAUAUUUCAGCUCCUCUAAAACAGCACUAUUUAUAGCAACUUGAGGGCAAUCAAAACACACCUAAACAUGCAUUUCUAUUGAAACCAAAAAUACCAGGGGCCAAACAAAACAUCUAAGAAGAACUCCCUAGUUGACAACUAAUUCAAACGAGGCACGGAAUAAAUCCUACGAAAAUGCCAAGAGGGCAACAUGGCAAAAUAUCGCGCGAACUAACUUACUCAAAAGCUAAAACUAAUUGCAUAGAACCCCGGAAACAUAUAAAAUAUGUGGGGUUGCGCAACAAAUUAAUGCCACACGAAAAUGCGGGAAAGAUAAGCUAUACACGGGAAAAUAAACUACCGGCAAUCCAUACAUGCAAAAAAUACCUGUGACCGCCCUAAAAUACAUGGAAUAGUGGUCCCUAAAACAUAGGCAUUUUACCUAAGGCAUACGAGCAAUCCGAACUUGCGCGAAAAUUAAAUACGGGACGUAUCCUAUUAAAACAGCACGUUAUUCUAGGCAUCCAACACGCUAAACGACGUCAAACAAUUAUGCAAGCUAUAAAUUCGGAUUGUACGCGAAAUUCUAGACCAAAACCAUAUACAACUCAUCGCGAUCCGACUUACGGAUAAUAAUGUACGGGUGAUCUAAUAUUCAUCUAAUUCCUGGAAUUUAAUAAUUCUGCAAAUCCCUAAAAAGAAAAAUAACUACCAGGCCUAACUGCGGGCGUAAAAUAACUAUCACGUAUCUAUGCGUAAAUAGAGAGGCUGGGGGGGACUGGUCACCUUGGUGGGCCUGGCCCAUGUCGCGGGGGAGGAGGCCGAGGCUUGGAGAGGGGAUGGGCCUCGGGGCAGAGGCGGUUGCUGCUGGGCCGGCGUGGCCCACCUUGCGCCAGGCACGGGAGGCCCAGGAGCGGGCGGAGGCACUCUGGUGAGGCCUGGCGGUCAACGCCAACCGGUUCCUCGUCUUCCCUCGAUCCGAGAUCGAGCCAAGGCGGCGCAGGGACUAUGGCCACCGGCGGGAGGCUGCACGGGGUGGUGAAUGGCGACGGGAGGAGGCGGAGCCGGCCGGAUCCGGGCCGGGGCGACUUCCCGAGGCGGAGGAGGCAGGCGGCCGGCGACUAGUGUGGCACUCCAGCAGCGAGCACGGACACCAGCGGGAGGCGGUGCUUCGGGAGGACGGCGGGGGCUGCGGGAGACGACGAACGGCGACGAGGAGCUCCGGGCUCGGGUCACCGGAGGCGGCAGGGGCAUGGCGGCGGCGCAGACAGCCGCAGUGGGGCGGGGCCACGGGAGAAGGGAGCGAGCUGCUCGGGGCUCCUCCCCUCGGGCGCUCGGGGCACCAGCUCGACGUGCCGAGGCUGGCUCACGGGCAGCGGGCGGCGGAUCUGAGCCGUGGGAGGGCCAGAUGCGGGCUCCGGUGGGCUUGGCUGGGAGGAGAAGACAAGUGGCGGCUAGGGUUUGGGUAGGCGCGGAAAACGAGGGAGAGAGAGAGUGAACACUCCUAUUUAUAGAGAAACAGGCUAGGUUUAGCGGUUUCGGGCGUUUUCGGACCCUCCAAUCGAGAUCGGACGCCCCGGAAACGUUCUAGGGUUAGGUGGGUUAGGUUUAGGUCGUGUAGAGUGGCGUUGGCUAAGAAGAGAGGAAAGACGGGCGACGCGGCAAUGAAUUUUAAAACACCGACAGACGUCCGACAGUAGACCGAAUACGGUGCCGCUACGGUCGACCGUUCGGGUACCAGACGAACUCCGAUCGCGACGAAAUUCGACAGACGGCCUAGCUAUAAAUAAUUACAACCGCACGUCAAAUCUCAACCCGAUCAGAGAAAGUUUUACGCACACUUUUAAAACAGGGUUUCGACGAUGCCGCGGGCGCGUGCGUGUGCGGUCGGGCUCAGAACGGACAACGACGCGAACCGGCAACUACUAACGGAUGCAAGUUUGAAAACGGGCGGCAACGGAGAUGCCGAUGCCAUGCAGAUGAUGCGCAUGAUGCGAUGAUGAUGCGACAAAAGAAAAUAGACACACGAAGAAAACGAAAUAGAAGGGGAAUCUUCUGGAACAUCGACAUCGGGCUGUCACACAACUGUUUAAGCUCGAACACAGGAUCACCCUUUAGUGGGGGUGGAUCCCCAAGCAGUUCAACAUGCAAAUUAUUCUUAAGGAUAGGAUAUUGUUCUAAGACAACUCUAUAUAUCUCAUCCCUUUCAUCCAUAUGCAUAUCAUUUUCAUGCUCAAGCAAGUAUUGCUCUAAAGGAUCCGUAGGAGGCACGACAAUAGAAGCUAGGGCAAUAGUUUUAUCCUUACUAGACAACUCUUUUUCAUGAGGUUGUCUACCAAACUUGGAGAAAUUGAACUCAUGCGACACACCUUCAAAGCCAACAGUGACAGUUUCCUUCUCACAGUCAAUAUGAGCAUUGACGGUAUUGAGGAAGGGCCUGCCAAAUAUGAUGGGACAAAAGCUAUCUUGGGUGGUAACAAGAACGAGGAAAUCAGCAGGAUACUUCGUUUUACCACACAAGACUUCAACACCCCUAACAAUUCCCACACGGUAGAUAGUAUCUCUAUUGUCAAUAGGUUCUAUCUCGACAGGUGCAAUCUCGUGUUUGAUUUCAUCAUAUAAGGAUUGAGGUAUUGCACUAACACUAGCACCCACAUCACAUAAACCAUGAUAACAAUGAUAUCCUAUCUUAACAGAAACAACAGGCGUGCCAACAACACGCCUAUGUUUGUCUCUAGCAUGUGGUUUAGCAAUUCUAGCGGCAUCUUCACAGAAGUGAAUAUCAUGGCCAUCAACAUUGUCGGACAUGAGAUCUUUGAUAAUAGCAACGCUAGGUUCAACUCUAAUUUUCUCACGGGGUGUAGGUGUUCUAAUGUAUCCUCUACAUAUCACAGUUGAAGCUUUAGAAUGAUCCUUUAUCCUAACAGGGAAAGGUGGUUUCUCAAUGUAAGCACUGGGAACAAUAGGAUCAUUAUAGGCAAUGACUUUCAAUUCAACUGGAUUGGGUUUAACUACAUUGACUUCUAAAGGAGGAUGAUAUUUAAACCACUUCCCUUUGGGGAGAUCAAUAUGAGCAGAAAAUGAUUCAAACAAUGAAGCUACUAUCUCAGAGUCAAGUCCAUACUUAGCGCUAAAAUCACAAAAAGUAUUUGUUUCAACAAAGGAUUUAACGCAAUCAAACUUGAAAUUCAUACCUGACUCCUUACCUUAAUCAAGCUCCCAAUCUUCAGAGUUGCGUUUAAUUCUCUCCAAUAAAUUCCAUUUGAAGUCAAUAUCUCUCUUCAUAAAAGAACCGGUACAAGAAGUGUCAAGCAUGGUGCGAUCAUCAUGAGAAAGUCGAGCAUAGAAGUUCUGAAUGAUAAUUUCUCUCGAGAGCUCAUGAUUGGGGCAUGAAUAUAACAUUGAUUUAAGCCUCCCCCAAGAUUGAGCGAUGAUUUCUCUGUCAUGAGGUCAAAAAUUAUAAAUAUAAUUUCGAUUACGAUGUACUAGAUGCAUAGGAUAAAACUUUUGAUGAAAUUCCAAUUUCAACCGAUUGUAGUUCCAUGAUCCAGUAUCAUCACAUAGCCUAUACCAUGUCAACACCUUAUCCCUCAAAAAUAAGGGAAAGACCUUCUUCUUGACCUCAUCCUCGGGCAAACCUGCAAGCUUAAAUAAACCACAAACUUCAUCUACAUAGAUUAGAUGCAAGUCUGGAUGUGAUGUUCCAUCUCCUGUAAAAGGAUUAGCCAUCAGUUUCUCAAGCAUACCAGAAGGAAAUUCAUAGAAAAUAUUUUCAGUAGGUGCAGCAGGUUGAGGAGCAACUCUUUGUGCUUCCAUUUGAGGUGAAGAUACCCCGAACAAGCCCCUCAAAGGAUUAGUUUUCGUAGUGACAAGUGACAAUAAAUUUUGGCACACUAUAGAAAUGUUUCCUUACCAAUUUCCACUUACCAAAGGCGCUUCACUCCCUGGCAACGGCGCCAGAAAAGAGUCUUGAUAACCCACAAGUAUAGGGGAUCUAUGAUAGUCCUUUCGAUAAGUAAGAGUGUCGAACCCAACGAGGAGCAGAAGGAUCUGACAAGUGGUUUUCAGCAAGGUAAUAUCUGCAAGCACUGAAAUUAUGGGUAACAAGUAGUUGUGAGGUGAGAUGAUUCAUAGCAAGUAGCAAGUAACAAGAGUAACAAUGGUGCAGCAAAGUGUCCCAAUCCCUUUUGUAGCAAGGGACAAGCCUGGACGAAGACUUAUAGGAGGUAAAACGCUCCCGAGGACACAUGGGAUUUUCUGUCAAGCUAGUUUUCAUCAUGUUCGUAUGAUUCACGUUCGUUACUUUGGUAGUUUGAUAUGUGGGUGGACCGGCGCUUGGGUACUGCCCUUACUUGGACAAGCAUCCCACUUAUGAUUAACCCCUCUCACAAGCAUCCGCAACUACGAAAGAAGAAUUAAGACAAAGUCUAACGAUAGCAUUAAACUAGUGGAUCCAAAUUAGCCCCUUACGAAGCAACGCAUAAACUAGGGUUUAAGCUUCUGUCACUCUAGCAACCCAUCAUCUACUUAAUACUUCCCAAUGCCUUCCUCUAGGCCCAAAUAAUGGUGAAGUGUUAUGUAGUUGACGUUCACAUAACACCACUAGAGGAAAAACAACAUACAACACAUCAAAAUAUCGAACGAAUUCCAAAUUCACAUGACUACUUAUAGCAAGACUUAUCCCACGUCCUCAGGAACAAAAGUAACUACUCACAAAGCAUAAUCAUAUUCAUGACCAAAGAGGUAAUGAGUAGCAUCAAAGAUCUGAACAUAAACUCUUCCACCAAGUAAUCCAACUAGCAUCUACUACAAAGAGUAAUUAACACUACUAGCAACCUUACAAGUACCAAUCGGAGUCGCGAGAUGGAUAUUGGUUACAAGAGAUGAACUAGGGUUUGGAGAUGAGAUGGUGCUGAUGAAGAUGUUGAUGGUGGUGAGUACCCUCCGAUGAGAGGAGUGAUGGUGAUGACGAUGGCGACGAUUUCCCCCUCCGGGAGGGAAGUUUCCCCGGCAAGAUCGUCUUGCCGAAGCUCUAGAUUGGUUCUACUCAAGUUCUGCCUUGUGGAGGCGGCGAAUCCUACGAAAAGCCUCCUCUUGAUUUUUUUCCAGACCGAAAGCCUUCUUGUAGCAAAAGAGGGGGGCCAGUGGGCCAGCAGGGAGCUCACAUGCCCCCUAGGCGCGGCCAGGGGCGAGGCCGCGCCUAGCAGGCUUGUGGCCUCCUGCUGGCGCCCCUCUGGCACUUCUUCGGCCCAGUAUUUUUUAUAAAUCCCCCAAAAAAUCCUCGUUGAUUUUCACGGCUUUUGGAGUUGUGCAGAAUAGGCAUCUCAAACUUGCUCCUUUUUCAGGCCAGAAUUCCAGCUGCCGGCACUCUCCCUCUUCAUGUAAACCUUGCAAAAUAAGAGAGAAAAGGCAUAAGGAUUGUACCGUGAAGUGUAAUAAUAUCCCAAAAAGCGAUAAAUAUUAACAUCAAAGCAUGAUGCAAAAUGGACGUAUCAGAUACCAUAUGCCAAAGUUUGGCGUGUGUAUCAAGUAUGUCACAAUUAUUUUCAUAGCCUUUAGAUGACACUCUUCAGGUGCCGCUUUUUAUCGAGCACACUUGCAAACACUCAACAUCAUAUAUCAGGACGGGAUGCACAUAGAUAUAGCAAUGAACCGAUCAUUGAUCGAUAAACCUUUUGAUUAACCGAUUUGUCCUCCUUAGUGAGGUCAACUUGUCCACUAGUAGGCAUGGGGGGUCUCAUACCUUUUCACUCUUGCAUGUUGAACUUCUUGAUUAAGUCCUUCAUGUACUUGGUUUGAGAUAUAAACAUACCUUCUAUCGAUUGUUUGAUUUGCAAACUAAGGAAGAAUUUCAGCUCACACAUCAUAGACAUCUCAUACUUCUCUCUUACCAACCUUCCAAAUUUCUCACUAAAAUGUGGGUUAGUAGAACCAAAGAUAAACCAUCCACAUAUAUUUGGCACACAAAUAGUUCACUGUUAACUCUUUUAGUGAAUAAGGUUACAUCAAUUUUACCAAUCUCAAAACUCUUUUCAAUGAGAAACUUCGUUAGGCAUUUGUACCAAGCUCUAUGGGCUUGUUUAAGACCAUAUAAAGCUUUACGAAGUUUGUAAACAUGAUUAGGUUUCUUAGGGUUCACAAAUCAAGGAGGUUGUUUGACAUAAACCUCCACAUCAAUUUCACCGUUUAGAAAAGCAAUUUUCAUAUCCAUUUGGUAAAGAGUAAUAUCAUGGUGAUUGGCAUAAGUGAGAAGAAUGUGAAUGGCUUCAAGUAUAUCAACACGGGCAUAGUUCUCAUCGUAGUCCAUACCUUUGACCUGCGCGUAUCCUUGGGCUACGAGACGCCCCUUGUUGCAUAUAACUUUACCAUCUUCAUGUUUCUUGAUCCAAAAAUCCCAUUUUGUACCAAUGAUGUUGUGCUCGUCCUUGGGCUUUUCAACAUGUGUCCACGCUUGAUUCCUCUCGAAGUUGUGUAGCUCUUCAUACAUGGCAUUCACCCAAUCCGGGUCUCGAAGGGCUUCUUCAACCCUCAUGGGCUCAAUGCUAGAGAUAAAUGAGUAAUGCUCACAAAAGUUAGCUAAACGAGAUUUAGAGCGAAUGAUUCUCCUGGUUUGUAUAUUGAUACGUCUCAAACGUAUCUAUAAUUUUUGAUGGUUUCACGCUGUUAUCUUGUCUUCUUUGGUUGUUUUAUGUACCUUUUAUAUCUUUUUUGGGACUAACUUAUUAAUUCAGUGCCAAGUGCCAGUUCCUGUUUUUUCCGUGUUUUUGACUCUUUUCAGAUCUGAUUUUGGAACGGAGUCCAAAUGGAAGAAAAACCCCGAAAUGAUCUUUUCCCGAGCGGAAGAAGACCAGGGGCUUUUGGACCAAGCCAGAUGGGCUCCAAGGAGCCCACAAGCCCCCACUCCGCCACCAGGGGGGAGGCGGCGGUGGGCAGGCUUGUGGCCUCCCUGGCCGCCCCCUGAGCUAGGUUUUGGCCUAUAAAUUCCCAAAUAUUCCGCAAAAAAUCAGGGGAGCCUCGAAAAUACUUUUCCGCCGCCGCAAGCUUCCGUUUCCGCGAGAUCUCAUCUGGAGACCCUUCGCGACGCCCUACCGGAGGGGACUUUGGAGUUGGAGGGCUUCUUCAUCAUCAUCAUCGCCCCCCAAUGACUCGUGAGUAGUUCACUUCAGACCUACGGGUCCGUAGUUAGUAACUAGAUGGCUUCUUCUCUCUCUUGGAUCUUCAAUACAAAGUUCUCCAUGAUCUUCAUGGAGAUCUAUCCGAUGUAAUCUUCUUUGGCGGUGUGUUUAUCGAGAUCCGAUGAAUUGUGCAUUUGUGAUCAGAUUAUCAAUGAUAUAUAUUUGAGUCUUUGCUGAUUUCUUAUAUGCAUGAUUUGAUAUCCUUGUAAGUCUCUCCGAGUCUUGGGUUUUGUUUGGCCAACUAGAUCUAUGAUUCUUGCAAUGGGAGAAGUGCUUGGUUUUGGGUUCUACCAUGUGGUGACCUUUCCCAGUGACAGUAGGGGCAGCAAGGCACACAUCAAGUAGUUGCCAUCAAGGGUAAAAAUAUGGGGAUUUUAUCAUUGGUUUGUUAUUAUCCCUCUACAUCAUGUCAUCUUGCUUAAGGCGUUACUCUGUUCUUAUGGACUUAAUACACUAGAUGCAUGCUGGAUAGCGGUCGACGUGUGGAGUAAUAGUAGUAGAUCAGAAAGUAUCGGUCUACUUGUUUCAGACGUGAUGACUAUAGAAACAAUCAUUGCAUAGAUAUCGCCACGACUUUGCACAGUUCUAUCAAUUACUCGACAGUAAUUUGUUCACCCACUGUCUACUUGCUUUCAUGAGAGAAGCCACCAGUAAACACUACGGCCCCCGGUUCUAUUCACAUCCAUCGUUUACACCUCCACUUUUACUUUUCUUUGUUACUUUGUUGCUUUCAGUUCUCACUUGGCAAACAGUCUAUAAGGGAUUGACAACCCCUUCAUAGAGUUGGGAGCAAGUUUUUGUGUUUGUGCAGGAUCUUGAGAUACUCCUCCACUGGAUUGAUACCUUGGUUCUCAAACUGGGGGAAGUACUUACCACCGCUACGCUACAUCACCGUUUCCACUUCGAGGGAACACCAACGUAAGGCUCCAAGGCCACGGGGGAAAUCCUUUGCAUACUUGCCUAGGAAGUCCCUUAAGGCGUAGCCGCUGGUGAAGGAUUCCUGGUGCCGUUGCUGAGAAGUAUCAAGCAACACUCAUAUUUCUGGCGUCGUUGGAAGGUCUUUUGUUGCAGUAGCAUAUAUCACCGAAGAUUUGAUUGAGCGGAUGAUCCUUGUCCACUCUUGCUCGAACUCAUGACAACUUUUUCUUUUUGGAUGGUGGAGCUUCCUCAUCAUCAUCUUCUUAUGCGGUAUCGUUGAUGGUGUCAUAUCCUUGAGGUGGUGGUGAGGAAGGUUGAGAUGGAUCCUCGCGAUGUACUUCUGCCUCUUCUUCAUCAUGUCGUGUACCGCUUGUGGAUGCCUCCAUGUCGUUUUGUGGUUCACCUUGACGCGAAGUAGGAUCUUCACUUGUGUUGAUGAAGUACUUUCCUUCACCUCCAUGGGAUGAAUCUUGCCGAUAGGUAGAUCUUGGAUGGCUUCCGAAGGUUCCUCAUCUCCUACAUCAUUUGGCAAUUGUUCUACUUUUGAACUAUCAGAUUCAUCAAACUUCACAUCUAUCAUCUCUUCGACUUUUCGAGUGAAGGUGUUGUAGACACGAUAAGUGUGAGAAUUUGAUUUGUAACUAAGUAGGAAACCUUCAUGAGAUUUAUGAGCAAAUUAAAAGUGACAAUGCUUAUCAAGAAUGUAGCACUUAGAGACAAAUACUCAAAAGUUUCCAACUUGGGGUUUGUUACCGGUGAGUAGCUCGUAUGCCGUUUUAUCAAGAAGCUUGUGUAAGUAGAGUCGGUUUAUGGUGUGACAAGUUGUUUCCAUGGCUUUUGCCCAAAAGUAUCUUGGCGUCUUGUAUUCGUCAAGCAUUGUUCUGGCCAUCUCUAUGAGAGUUCAGUUCUUCCUCUCAACAACUCCAUUUUGUUGAGGUGUGUACGUCGCCGAGAACUCAUGUGAGAUACCUUCUUUUUUAAUAAAAGUAUCCACAUUUGUGUUCUUGAAAUCCGUUCCAUUGUCGCUCCGAACUUUCUUGAUCGUUACUUCAAACUGAUUUUGGGCUUUCCGAGCGAAGUUCUUGAAGAUCUUUUGUACCUUCAACUUAUCAUCAAGAAAGAAUACCUACUUAAAUAUGUAUAAAUCAUCAACAAUGAGUAAACCAUAAGAAAUUCCACCGAGGCUUUUGUAAGUAUUGGGACCAAAGAGAUCCAUGUGUAGUAGCUCGAGUGGCCUCUUUGUAGUCAUGAUGUUCUUCACAGGAUGACUUCCACCAACUUGCUUUCCUGCUUAACAAGCACUACAAAGUGUAUCCUUGUCAAAGAUAACAUCUUUAACACCAAGAGUACAAUCACCUUUAAUAAGCCUGUCAAGGUCACGCAUACCAACGUGUGAUAGCCUUCUAUGCCAUAAGCAAUCUUUAGAAGAUUUUGCAAUAAGACAUGUACGGGGUUUGCAUUUUUUAGUGAAAUUGACAAUGUAUAGAUCACCUCUACAGAUACCAGUAAAGACCAUGUUAUGAUUGUCCGUGCGAAACACUUGGGAGUCAACUUUUGUAAAUAGCAAAUUGAAACCAAAGUCUGCUAGUCUAGAUACAGAAAGGAGAUUGUAGCCAAGGGAUUCAACAAGCAUGACAUUUGGAAUAGAACUACCAUGAGAUAUGGCCACCUUACAAAGGCCAAGUACAUUACCCUUGGAGUUAUCAUCAAAGGUCACAUACCUUCGUUGUCCACGGUUUGUUGUGAUCUCAUGGAACAUGUCUUUAUCUCCAGUUAUGUGAUCGGUGCACCCACUAUCAAGUAUCCACUCUUUUCCUACGACCAUGUAGUCUCUAAGGUUCGCCAUAAGCCUAAAGGUCCUCAUGGUCUUCUCAUGCUCGAUGUCAAACUCCUGAUCUUCAUUAUAGUAGCCAUUCUCCACAUUGUCAUCAUCAUACGAAAUAUCCUCGCCACAAGAGUCAAGAAUUUCAUCAGAAUUCUGACUAUGACAAUGUUCAUGUGUAUGCAUGUGAAUGGUUUCAACAAUGACAUUGUUAAUGGUAAUGAUAUCUCCUUUAGCAUGCAUGAGGUCACGAAGCUUAAAUAGGCAUUUAUCAAAAUUAGGAUCAUUUGGAUUCAUUUUGUGAAAGGCAAUGCAUUUAUGGAAAAUGAUAUCAAAAAAAUUCACGGAAUAGUUUUGAUAUAUUUUCUCUAAAUUUUUCCACAAAGUAUGAGCACACUCAAAAUUCAGCAAUUGAUUAAGAAUAUUUCUUGGCAGUCCUCUAAUGAUGAGAUUUACAGUUUUAAGAUUACCAAGGAUAUAAAGUUCUUCAUCAUGGGAAAGAUGUAAGGCAUCAAUGGGAGAAACAUAGGGGUAUUAAACAUACUUGCGCAAAUGGAAUUCAUCGAAUAUAUCAAGGAUUUCAUAUUUCCAUUGUCUAUAAUGCUCUCCAUUGAGAAUAGGCACUCUACAAAUAAUAUUCCCCAAGCUAGGCAGAUCCACCUUCCUCCAAUGGUGUUUAAACCAAGGCUAUGGAGAGCAAAGCUCUGAUACCGAUUGUUGGAUCGAUAGAAGGGGUGUCUAGAGGGGUGGGGAAUAGACUACUUGCAUAAAUUAAAAUCCUAGCCUAUUGCCAAUUUUAAUGGUCGGCAGAUUUUAGCAAUUCUAACAAGUCUAGUGCAUGCUACACAUGCUAGUCAACAUAUAUGGCAUUGUAAAGUAAAGACAUUGCACAUGUAAGUAAGGAGUGGAGUUUAGGAGGAUCAAACUGAAAGAUUGACACAAAGACUUUUGGCGUGGUUCUGACAGGUGGUGCUAUUGUACGUCCAAGUUAGUGGAGACUUCAACCCGUGGAGGAUAACACCUGCGGGAGUCCACGGAUGGCUCCACCCACAAGGGGUCCAGAAAGAAGCGACUUUGUCUAUUCCACCAUGGCUUACGUCCACAAAGGACUAGCCUCACUCGUGGUAGAUAUUCACGAAUCAGGCGAUCUCCUUGCCCGUACAAACGUGUGAUUCAACUCCACAUCACAAAGUAGGAGGCUCCUCAUGACGAGAUGAUGUAUUUACUUCUCGCACCUCAUUGGUUACCCCAAGUGGAAGGUUGAGAUGUAGUCAGCUGUAAGUUUUCCCUCACACGGGAACUGUAAGGUCUAUCGAACCAGGAGGACUCCUAGGAUCAACAAGUAGGUGUCUUCCACCCUGCCGCUAGCAGAAGACGUGGACCUUCACACACAACAAAUAAAUUUGCUCCCAACGAGUACAAAGAGGUUGUCAAUCUCUCCGGCCUUGUAGUUUGCAAAGUAUCAAAACACAAGCGGGAAAAGUAAUAGUAAUUGCAACGGAAAAAGUAAAUGAAAACGGUAAAUGAUGGAGGUGUAAACAAUGAUGGUGAUAUGGACCAGAGUCACAUGAUGUUCACUAGUGAUGUCUCUCUCCCAAAAUACGAUAAAAAAACUAUGCUUGGGUAAACAAAUUACAUCUCGGCAAUUGAGAGAAUUAUGAAUGCUCCGCAAUGCUAAUUACGCUAUUUGAUACUUAGAGGUUCAAUAGUAAUGGGUAGUACGCCAAGACAAGUAGAAUGUUUAUUCAUCAACAUAUACUUACUAAUCAUCCACCUUGAGAUAUCUAUCCAAAACAUCUUGCCGGUAUUAAGUUGCGAUCCCCACCCAAAGUGUAAACUCAAAGCAACGGACAACUGCAUUAACGAACUAUGCGUAAGGUAAACAAUGCUUGCAACCAUGGUCACAAGCACCAUUGUUUUCUCCCUGGUGGCAACAGCACAUCCCCUAGUCUCAUGUUUCUAUCACUCAAGCUAGACAUCGAGGGGCAUGAAUCCACAAUCAUGCAUCACGCUCCCUCUUGGAGUUAUAAUCUACUACUCGGUCAGAGCAAUAAAUAGCAACGAAGAACAUGCAUGAAUCAAUAAGGAACAUAAUAUAAAAGGAUAAUCAAAUAUAUAACUCAUAACAAUCUGAACAUAAUCUCAUAAUCCAUCGGAACCCAACAAAACGAGCAUAGCAAUAGCAAGAGAAUUACAUAGAUGCCUUGGUCAUGUAGGGCAGCUCACAAGGACUAGCCAUUGAAGCACAAGAUUGGAGAGAAGACAUCACAUAGCUACUGGUCAUGGACCCAUGGUCCAAGGAAGACUACACACGGCACGUCCGGGAAGCGUCCAUGGCGGUGGAGAAGCUCUCGGAGGUCAAUCUUCCCUCCGGCACGGUGCCGGGAAGAGGUCUCGUGACGCAGCCGGUCUCGGAAGCGUUGCAGCGGCGGAACGAUGGAGAAAUUCGCAAUUCUGGAUGUUAUGGAAGGGUUUUCUCUCGAAGGACUAAAUAUAGGCCAAAGGAGGGCACCGGAGGAGGUGGGACCCACCCAGGCAGUCUCUUGGCAUGGCCUAGGGCCAGGCCGCGCCCACAGGUCGCGUGGGAGGCCCCUGGCCCCCCUGUAGCCCAUCUUGGGUGAUCUGGAAGCUUCCAUUAUGAUGAUUUUAUAUAUUUUUUUCUUCGAAUUUUUUGGGCUUCGGAAAAUUGGGUAAAAUCCCGUGCAAAAAGACAUCAGCAGACAGAAACUGGCACUGGGUGCACUGAGUUAGUAGGUUAGUCCAAAUAUGUGUAAAAUGAUAUAAUAGUGUAGCAAAACAUAUAACAAUGUCACCCAAAAGAUCAUGGAACAAGCAGAAAUUAUAGAUAUGUUUGGGACGUAUCAACAUCCCCAAGCUUAAUUUCUGCUCGUCCUUGAGUAGAUAAAUGAUAACACAAUAAUUUGUAUGGUGACAUGCUAACACACAUAUAAGAACUUCAAAGUAAAGCAAGUGAGAUAUGCAAUUUAAGUCAAGACAAUAACAAGAAGAGUUUAUAUCUAGUAUUGAAAUUAGCAAAUUAAGAACAUAAAGCUGCAAGAGCUCUCGCUGUCCGUGACUCGAAUGUCUCCAAAUGGUGUUUGUGUGCAAGGAGUGGGAGAUGGGUUCAGAGAUAAAAUAUUUUUAGCUGAGAACUCAAUCUACUAAACCUCACACUUGGUCUCCUUCGGAAUCUCAUUUUGACUUAGCCCCAAACCACUAGUCAGACACAAGUCAAAAUGAUCCUCUCCCUUUCGACUUUGAGCAAUCAUGCAAUGGAUGAGCGUAAGCAAGAUAUGUUGGCACUUAGGAUGGAAAAUAUAAUAAUGAUGGGGAAGGAAGAGAAAAAGGUGUGAAAGGCUCACAACAAUGAGGACAAGCAUAGGCGAGAGAAAGCCAAAUGAUAGAUAUGAUGUGAGGAGUAGAGAUUGCCAUGUAACGGGUGCACAUAUGAGCUAAGGUAAGCUCUCCAAUGGAACUAGUGGGGGUGCCUCCAACUUGUUUGCUCAUGAAGACCUAGAGCUCAUUUGAGGAGGCUCAUCAUUGGAAUAUGUAAACCAAGUUCUAUAGUGUAAGGGUCCCCACAUAGUUAUGCAUGAAUGAUAAUCUCUAUGUAGUACAAAUAUAGCAAUAGAGUACGAGUGUGGAUCUUUCAAAAGGAAUAGUAUUGUUGCCCACUUCUCUCUUUUUAUUUCUCUUUUUUUAUCUUUCUUUUUGUGUGGCCUCUUUGGCUCUUUCUUUUUAUCUCUCAUUAGUCCUCUUUGGGAUCUUUUGUUUUGUCCUCUUUGGGAUCUUUCCCUCACUUAAGGGCAACACUUUAUGUUUGACAUGAAUAAAAUGAAGAUCAUCACACUUUAUAAGAAGUACCCAACAUAAAGACAAGUGAAAACUAUCAUGAUGUAUGCAAAUUUAUGCGUCUGCCAGUGUAGCAGGAUAUGCAAUAUACUAGCACGUCAUGUAGCAAUAAUAUGGUCAAGACCCAACUAUCAUGCGGCUCUAUGAUCAAGCAAAAGCAUGUAUGAGAGGAAGAUCAAGUCAUGAGAUGGUGGAUGUUGCAUCGCAAUGUAUCUCAGAAAGGCUAUGGAAAUGCCUUAAUAGGUAGGUAUGAUGGUUGUUUUGAGGAAAGAUAUAAUGAGGCUUAUGUAUGAACAAUCGUAUCAUGUCAUGGUUUUGGAUGCACCGGUGGAGUUUGCACCAACUCAAUGUGAGAAAGCGUAAUGCACGGUACCGAAGAGGCUAGCAAAAUAUGGAUGGUGGAAGUGCCAACAAUCAAAUAUUCACAUUAGUCCGAAGAACUCAUACACUUAUUAUCGGUAACUCUCUAUCUAGUUAGGAAAUUCACAAAGAGACAAGUACCCUGAGGAGGAGUGUUUGGGGGUUUGGUUAUCCUUGCGCAUGCUCAACUCAUGGUAACAUGAAAAAUAGAUUUUCAUGAAAAGCUAAUGUUUCUCAUGAAUGCUAAAAGGUUUUUGCAAAUAAAACUUAAGCUUAUGAUUUGCAAAACAAUGAAAACGCAAAACAUGGAAGAAUUUGUGGAAAACAGAACAACAUUCGGGGCACUUCUGCAACUCAAAUCAAAAAACUCAUAACAGAUGCCAGAAAGGCAACUAUAUAGAGCAUUCUUUCAAAACAGUUCAGAUCAAAAAGAUGAUCUAGUGAUUUUUGGUGAAUUUUUCCGUCAAGUAGACAGAAUCUGUUUCUGGACAACAUGUCACAAUUUUUGAACUUUCUUGCAAUCGGAGGCUAUAACUUGGCACAAAGCUUAAAAAUAAAGAUACAAUGAUGUUGCUACAGUAGUAACACACAUCAAGAUAAAUAAAACAGAAAGUAAUAACAAAUUGGGUUGCCUCCCAACAAGCGCUUUCUUUUAUGCCUUUGAGAUAGGCAUAAGGCAAGAAGAUCAAGUAUUAUCAACUUCAAAAGAAUAACUUGCCCCAGUAACGGACUAAUAAGGUAACUUAAUCUUCUCUCGAGGGAAGUGUUACAUUCCCUUUUUAAGGGGGGAUUGGAAUUUAAUGAUUUACUCUUUCAUGUCAAUGAUAGCACCAAUGGUGUGGAGAAAAGGACGUCCCAAAAUAAUUGGACAUGAAGGAUCACAUUUAAUGUCCAUAAUAAGAAAAUCAACGGGCACGUAAUUAUCAUUGACAACAAUAAGCACAUCAUCAAUUCUCCCUAAAGGUUUCUUUAUGGAAAAAUCAACAAGAUGAACACCAAAAGAACAUGGAUCAUAAGGUUUCCAAUCAAGCAUAUCAUACAUUCUUUUGGGCGUAACGGAGGCACUAGCUCCAACAUCACACAAUGCAAAGCAAGAGAUAUUAUUCAAUUUAAUCUUCACCAUAGGAUCCCAACCAUCUUCUAGUUUCCUAGGAAUAGAAAUCUCUAGCUUGAGCUUCUCCUCCCUAGCUUUGAUAAGAGCAUUGGUAAUAUGCUCGGUGAAGGCAAUAUUGAGUGUACUAGUGUGGGGAUCUUUAGCCAUUCUUUGCAAAAAGGUGAUGACUUCGGAAGGACUACAAUUGUCAAAAUCAAUAUCAUUGCUAUUAAGUAAAAUUGUAGUGUCAUCGUCUAUGUUUGAUUUUCUCUCUAUUAUAAGAGUUUGGACGCCUUCCCAAGUUUGGGGACGUCUAGGAGCAACUUGAAACCAAAGAUCAUGUGGCUUCCCGAUGCAACCAUGCCAAGGGCAUAAUUCCCCAUAAUGACUAGUAUAGUCACAAGGUUUACUUGUAAAAAAACCCUUAGUGGUAACUGGAGCAAUAGAAGAGAAAGUAUAAUCAUUGUUGUUGUGGCCUCAAUGGCGGGAGCAGCAAUAGGUGUGCAGAUAAAGUCAUUGUUGUUGUGACUAGUGAAGUCACCCAACGUGGUGUUUUCAGUGGAACCCAUAGUAACAGCAACAAGCAAAAACAAAGCAACUAAUAUUUUGUGGUUUUUGGUAUAAGACUCUAAAGCAAAAACAAAAAAGCAAACUAACAAGACUAAAAAUCAAACGUAAAGGAUAGCGUGCAACUCCCCUAUCUUGAAGACUGGUGUCCCGGCAACGACGCCAGAAAACUUUGCUUGAUGACGAGAUGAUGUAUAUACUUCUCGCACCUCGUUGGUUACCCCAAGUGGAAGGUUGAGAUGUAGUCAGCAGCAAGUUUUCCCUCACACGGGAACUAUUGUUGGAAAUAUGCCCUAGAGGCAAUAAUAAAAUAGUUAUUAUCAUAUUUCCUUGUUCAUGAUAAUCGUCUAUUGUUCAUGCUAUAAUUGUAUUAACAGGAAACGGUAAUACAUGUGUGAAUAAAUAGAUCACAAUGUGUCCCUAGCAAGCCUCUAGUUGGCUAGCUCGUUGAUCAAUAGAUGAUCAUGGUUUCCUGAUCAUGGGCAUUAGAUGUCAUUGAUAACGGGAUCACAUCAUUGGGAGAAUGAUGUGAUGGAACAGACCUAAUCCUAAGCAUAGCACUAGAUCGUAUUGUUCAUAUGCUAAAGUUUUUCUAAUGUCAAGUGUCUUUUCCUUCGACCGUGAGAUUGUGCAACUCCCGUAUACCGUAGGAGUGCUUUGGGUGUAUCAAACGUCACAACGUAACUGGGUGACUAUAAAGGUCCACUACGGGUACCUCUGAAAGUGUCUGUUGGGUUGGUACAAAUUGAGAUCGGGAUUUGUCACUCCGCGUGACGGAGAGGUAUAUCUGGGCCCACUCGGUAGAACAUCAUCAUGAGCUCAAUGUGACUAAGAAGUUAGUCACACGAUGACGUGCUACGGAACGAGUAAAGAGACUUACCGGUGACGAGAUUGAACAAGGUAUAGGUAUACCGACGAUCGAAUCUCGGGCAAGUUCUAUACCGACAGACAAAGGGAAUUGUAUACGGGAUUGAUUGAAUCCUUGACAUCGUGGUUCAUCCGAUGAGACCAUCGUGGAGCAAGUGGGAGCCACCAUGGGUAUCCAGACCCCGCUGAUGGCUAUUGGCCGGAGAGGUGUCUCGGUCAUGUCUGCCUGUCUCCCGAACCCGUAGGGUCUACACACUUAAGGUUCGAUGAUGCUAGGGUUAUGGGGAAUUGUUAUACGAGGUUACCGAAAGUUGUUCAGAGUCCCGGAUGAGACCCUGUACGUCACGAGGAGCUCCGGAAUGGUCCAGAGGUAAAGAUUGAUAUAUUGGAUGGAUGGUUUUGGACACCGGAAAUGUUUCGGGAGUCACCGGUAAUGUACCGGGACCACCGGUAAUGGUCCCGGGGGUCCACUGGGAGGGGCCACCAGCCCCAAGAGGUAACAUGGGCCAAAAGAGGGAGGGAAACCAGCCCAAAGUGGGCUGGUGCGCCUCCCACAAGGAGGCCCAAGGCACAGGAGGUGGAGAGGGCGGGAACCCUAGGCGCUGGUGGGCCUAAGGCCCACCUAGGCGUGCGCCACCCCCUCCCCCUGCCCUGGCCACCGCACCUCCCAUCUGGGGGGGCUUCCGCACCACCUAGGGUGGGAACUCUAGGGGUGGCACCCCCCUCCCCUCCUCCUAUAUAUAGUGGGGGUUUUGGGGCUGUUUUACACACACUUUUCCAUCUCCCUCGGCGCCCCCCUGCCCCCCUUCUUCCUCCUCUCCCACGGUGCUUGGCGAAGCCGUGCCGGGAGACCUCGUCUCUCCAUCGACACCACGCCGUCGUGCUGCCAGAGAUCUUCCCCAACAUCUCCCUCCUCCUUGCUGGAUCAAGGUGCAGGAGACGUCAUCGGGCUGCACGUGUGUUGAACACGGAGGUGCCGUCGUUCGGCACUAGAUCGGAAUCACACCGUGAUCUGAAUCGCCGCGAGUACGACUCCAUCAACCGCGUUCUACCAACGCUUCCGCUUAGCGAUCGUCAAAGGUAUGAAGAUGCACUCACCCCUCUCUCGCUGCUGGUUGAUACGUCCAUUUUGCAUCAUGCUUUCAUGUUGAUAUUUAUUACUUCUUGGUCUGUUAUAUUACUUGUGGUAUCAUAUUUAUGCCUUUUCUCUCUUAUUUUGCAAGGAUUAUUUGAAGAGGGAGAAUUCAGGCAGCUGGAAUUCUGGACUAGAAAAGGAGCAAAUCCUAGUCCACUAUUCUGCACAUCUCCAAAUGCCCUGAAAAUUUACGUGGAUUUUUUCUGGAAUAUAUUAAAAAUACUGGGCGAAAGAACUACCGGAGGGGGGCCACCAGGGCCCCACAAGCUUGCCCACNGUUAUGUGAACGUCGACUACAUAACACUUCACCAUAUUUGGGCCUAGAGGAAGGCAUUGGGAAGUAGUAAGUAGAUGAUGGGUUGCUGGAGUGACAGAAGCUUAAACCCCAGUCUAUGUGUUGCUUCGUGAGGGGCUGAUUUCGAUCCACUAGUUUAAUGCUAUGGUUAGACUUUGUCUUAAUUCUUUUUUUGUAGUUGCGGAUGCUUGCAGGAGAGGUUAAUCAUAAGUGGGAUGCUUGUCCAAGUAAGGGCAGUACCCAAGCGCCGGUCCACCCACAUAUCAAACUAUCAAAGUAACGAACGUGAAUCAUAUGAACAUGAUGAAACUAGCAUGACAGAAAUUCACGUGUGUCCUUGGGAGCGUUUUUCCUCCUAUAAGACUUUGUUCAGGCUUGUCCCUUGCUAAAAAAGGGAUUGGGCCACUUGCUGCACCAUUUCCACUACUUUUUAUUUGUUACUCUUUGCUUGCUACGUUUCACCUCGCUACACAAUCACUUGUUACCGCUACUUUCAGUGCUUGCAGUUAUUACCUUGCUGAAAUCCGUUUAUCAGAGCCUUCUGCUCCUCGUUUGGUUCGACACUCUUACUUAUCGAAAGGACUACGAUUGAUCCCCUAUACUUGUGGGUCAUAAAGACUCUUUUCUGGCGCCGUUGCCGGGGAGUGAAGCGCCUUUGGUAAGUGGAAAUUGGUAAGGAAACAUUUUUAUAUUGUGCUGAAAUUUAUUGUCACUUUUCACUAUGGAAACUCUUCCUUUGAGGAGUUUGUUCUGGGUAUCUUGACCACGAACAGAAGCACGAGGAGUUGCUCCUCAACCUGAGGUACCUACUGAAAAUAUCUUUUAUGAAAUUCCUUUGGGUAUGCUAGAGAAACUGCUGGCUAAUCCUUUUACACGAGAUGGAUCUUCACAUCCAAACUUUCAUCUAAUCUAUGUAGAUGAAGUUUGUGGUUUAUUUAAGCUUGCAGGUUUGCCUGAGGAUGAGGUAAAUAAGAAAGUCUUUCCUUUAUCUUUGAAGGAUAAGGCGUUGACAUGGUGUAGGCUAUGUGAUGAUGCUGGAUCAUGGGGCUACAAUCAGUUGAAAUUGGAAUUUCAUCAAAAGUUCUAUCCUAUGCAUUUAGUACAUCGUGAUCGGAACUUUAUUUAUAAAUUUUGGCCUCGUGACAGGGAAAGCAUAGCUCAAGCUUGGGGGAGGCUUAAAUCAAUGCUAUAUUCAUGCCCCAAUCAUGAGCUCUCGAGAGAAAUCAUCACUCAAAACUUUUAUGCUCGGCUUUCUCAUGAAGAUCGUACCAUGCUUGACACUUCUUGUGCCGGUUCUUUUAUGAAGAAGGAUAUUGAUCACAAGUGGAAUUUAUUGGAGAGAAUCAAACGCAACUCUGAAGACUGGGAGCUGGAGGAAGGUAAGAAGUCAGGUAUGAAUUUCUAGUUUGAUUGCGUUAAAUCUUUUGUUGAGAUAAACACUUGUAGAGAUUUUAGCGCUAAGUAUGGACUUGACUCUGAGAUAGUAGCUUCUCUAUGUGAAUCUUUUGCUGCUCAUGUUGAUCUUCCCAAAGAGAAGUGGUUUAAAUAUCAUCCUCCUGUAGAAAGGAACAUAGCCAAAACCAAUCUAGUUGAGGAGAAAAUCAUAGCUUUUAGUGAUCCUGUUGUUCCUUGUGCUUACACUGAGAAACCACCACACCCUGCUAGGAUGAAGGAUUAUUCUAAAGCUCCAACUGUGAUACGUAGGGGUUACAUUAGACCACUAGCACCCCAUGAGGAGAUUAGAGUUGAACCUAGUGUUGCUAUUAUCAAAGAUCUCUUAGCCGAAGACAUAGACGGGCAUGUUAUUAAAUUCUGUGAGGACUCCGCUAGAAUUGCUAAACCUCACGCGGAAGACAAGCACGGACCCGUAGUUGGCCUACCCGUUGUCUCUGUUAAGAUAGGAGAUUACUGUUACCAUGUUUUAUGUGAUAUGGGAGCUAGUGUUAGUGCAAUACCCCGUUCUCUCUAUGAUGAAAUCAAAUAUGAGAUUGCGCCUGCUGAGUUACAACCCAUUGAUGUCACUAUUACGCUAGCUAAUAGAGACACUAUCUGUCCUGUGGGAAUUGUGAAAGACGUAGAAGUCCUGUGUGGUAAGACGGAGUAUCCUACUGAUUUCCUCGUCCUUGGUACUGCACAAGAUAGCUUUUGUCCCAUCAUAUUUGGUAGACCCUUUCUCAACACUGUCAAUGCUCACAUUGAUUGCAUUAAGUAGACUAUCACAGUAAGUUUCGAGGGUGUGUCUCAUGAAUUUAACUUCUCCAAGUUUGGAAGACAUCCCCAUGAAAGAGAGUCGUCUGGUAGAGAUGAAAUCAUUGCUCUUGCCUCUAUUGUCGUACCUCCUACGGAUCCUUUAGAGCAAUAUCAGCUUGAGCAUGAAAAUGAUAUGCAUAUGGAGGAGAGAGAUGAGAUAGAUAGAAUUGUCUUAGAACAACACCCUAUUCUCAAGAAUAAUCUGUCUGUUGAACUGCUUGGGGAUCCUCCCCCACCAAAGGGUGAUCAUGUGUUCGAGCUUAAACAUUUGCCUAAUACUCUUAAGUAUGCCUAUCUUGAUGAGAAGGAGAUAUAUCAUGUCAUUAUUAGUGCUCUCCUCUCAGAGCGCGAAGAUAAGAAGUUACUAAAAACUCUGAGGAAGCACCGCGCUGCUAUUGGAUAUACUCUUGAUGAUCUUAAGGGUAUUAGUCCUACUCUAUGUCAGCACAAGAUUAAAACCGAUCCAGACUUUAAACCAGUUGUUGAUCAUCAAAGGAGAUUAAAUCUGAAGAUGAAAGAUGUCGUUAGAAAAGAAAUAUUAAAGCUUCUAGACGGAGGAAUUAUUUAUCCUGUUGCUCAUAGUGAUUGGGUAAGUCCAGUACAUUGCGUACCUAAGAAGGGAGGUAUGACCGUCGUUCCUAAUGAUAAGGAUGAACUAAUCCCACAAAGGAUUAUUACCGGCUAUAGAAUGGUGAUAGACUUCCGGAAACUGAACAAGGCAACCAGGAAAGAUCAUUAUCCUUUGUCGUUCAUCGACCAAAUGCUAGAAAGGCUAUCAAAGCACACACACUUCUGCUUUCUAGACGGUUAUUCAGGUUUCUCGCAGAUACCUGUUGCACAAUCUGAUCAAGAGAAAACCACUUUCACCUGCCCUUUCAGUACCUUGCCUAUAGACGUAUGCCUUUUGGCUUAUGUAAUGCACUGGCCACCUUCCAAAGAUGUAUGAUGGCUAUAUUCUCUGACUUUUGUGAAAACAUUGUCGAGGUUUUCAUGGAUGACUUCUCCAUUUACGGGUCUUCCUUUGAUGAUUGCCUCAGCAACCUUGAUCGAUUCUUAUAGAGAUGCGAAGAAACCAACCUCGUCUUGAAUUGGGAGAAGUACCACUUUAUGGUUAAUGAAGGUAUCGUCUUAGGACACAAAAUCUUUGAAAGAGGCAUUGAAGUUGAUAAGGCUAAGGUUGAUGCAAUUGAGAAAAUGCCUUGCCCCACAGAUAUCAGAGGUAUACGAAGUUUCUUAGGUCAUGCUGGUUUCUAUAGAAGGUUCAUUAAAGACUUCUCUAAGAUUUCUAGGCCUCUUACCAACCUCUUGCAGAAAGAUGUUCCUUUUGUUUUUGAUGAGGAUUGUGAGGAAGCCUUUGAAAUACAUAAUAAGGCUCUGAUAACCGCACCUAUUGUUCAACCACCUGACUGGAACUUGCCCUCUGAAAUCAUGUGUGACGCUAGUGAUUAUGUUGUUAGUGCUGUUCUAGGACAAAGAGUUGACAAGAAGUUGAAUGUCAUUCACUACGCUAGUAAAACUCUAGACAGUGCCCAAAGAAACUAUGCCACUACGGAGAAGGAAUUUUUAGUAGUCGUGUUUGCAUGUGAAAAGUUCAGAUCUUACAUAGUUGACUCCAAAGUCACUAUUCACUCUGAUCAUGCUGCUAUUAAGUACCUUAUGCAGAAGAAGGACGCUAAGCCUAGGCUGAUCAGAUGGGUUCUCUUGCUACAGGAAUUUGAUUUGCACGUCGUUGACCGAAAGGGUGCUGAUAACCGUGUAGCAGAUAACUUGUCUAGGCUAGAGAAUGUCCUUGAUGACCCACUACCAAUUGAUGAUAGCUUUCCUGAUGAGCAAUUAAGUGUCAUCCGCACUUCACUGAAUGCACCGUGGUAUACCGAUUAUGCAAACUACAUCGUAGCCAAAUACAUACCACCCAGUUUCACCUAUCAACAAAAGAAGAAAUUCUUCUUUGAUUUGAGACACUACUUUUGGGAUGAUCCUCACCUUUAUAAGGAAGGAGUAGAUGGUGUUAUUAGACGUUGUGUGCCUGAACAUGAACAGGGAUAGAUCCUGCAGAAGUGUCAUUCCGAAGCCUACGGAGGACACCACGCUGGAGAUAGAACUGCCCAUAAGGUAUUGCAAUCAGGUUUCUAUUGGCCCACUCUCUUCAAGGAUGCCCGUAAGUUUGUCUUGUCUUGUGACGAAUGCCAAAGGAUAGGGAACAUCAAUAAGCAUCAAGAGAUGCCUAUGAACUAUUCACUCGUCAUUGAACCAUUUGAUGUAUGGGGCUUUGAUUAUAUGGGACCCUUCCCGAUUCCAAUGGGUAUACUCACAUCUUAGUUGAUGUGGAUUACGUUACUAAGUGGGUAGAAGCUAUCCCCACUAAAAAUGUUGAUCACCACACCUCUAUUAAGAUGCUUAAAGAAGUCAUAUUCCCAAGAUUUGGAGUCCCUAGAUACUUGAUGACUGAUGGCGGUUCACACUUCAUUCAUGGUGUUUUCCGUAAGAUGCAUCUCCUUAUCAUGAUGUCAACUAUAGAGUUGCAUCUCCUUAUCAUCCUCGGUCCAGUGGUCAAGUUGAGUUGAGUAAUAGGGAGAUCAAGUUGAUCCUACAAAAGGCCGUCAAUAGAUCUCGAAAGAACUGGUCAAGCAAACUUGACGAUGCACUAUGGGCUUAUAGGACUGCUUAUAAGAAUCUCAUGGGCAUGUCACCAUAUAAAAUGGUUUACGGUAAGGCCUGUCAUUUACCUCUUGAGCCGGAACACAAAGCUUAUUGGGCAAUCAAAGAGCUCAACUUUGAUUUCAAACUUGCCGGUGAGAAGCGGUUGUUUGAUAUCAGCUUGUUAGAUGAAUGGAGAGCCCAGGCAUAUCAGAAUGCCAGGUUGUUCAAGGAAAAGAUUAAGAGAUGGCACGACAAAAGAAUACAGAAACGAGAGUUCAAUGUAGGUGAUUAUGUCUUGCUAUACAAUUCACGUUUGAGAUUCUUUGCAGGCAAGCUUCUCUCUAAAUGGGAAGGUCCCUAUGUUGUCGAGGAAGUAUAUCGUUCCGGUGCCAUCAAAAUCAAUAACACGGAAGGAAAUUUUCCUAGAGUGGUAAAUGGGCAAAGAAUCAAGCAUUACAUCUGUGGUACUCUCAUAAAUGUUGAGACCAACAUCAUCAAUGUCAUAACUCUAGAGGAGUACAUAAGGCAUGUUUAUCGACCUGUUUCAGACCUUGAAAGAAAAGAUAUAUCUGUUUCGGCAAGAAAUUGGACUCAGAUACUUUUCCAAUAGGAAAUUUAUUCCGUUUUGGAAUUUUUGGAAAAUUAGAAAAAGAAAAAGUAGUCCGGAGAGCAAACGAGGAAGCCACAAGGGCCCACUCCGCCACCCUCCGUGGUGGCGGUGGGCAAGCUUGUGGGCACCUCGUGUGCCUCCCGGACUCCGUUUUCUUGCGGAGAACUCCUUCUAGACCAGAAAAAAAUCAAUAUAUAGUCGCCCGAAGGUUUUGAUCUCCGUAUCGCGUAGUUUUCCUCUGUUUUCGUUUCGAGCUUGUUGUCUGCCGCAGAUUUAGAGCAAAAAUGCCUCAGGAAUCUGUUGGGGAGAAUGAUCUUCAUCAAGUUCAUGAGGAAGUAGAUGCUGAUCUAAAAAGAGUAGAAGUUACGGAAGCGAGGGACCAAGCUAAGGAGAAAACCCAAGCUAGGGAGGAAGUUCAACCUAUGUUCAACAUUGAAGACGUUGAAGGAGUAGACUUUCUCCAACCCUUCCUCCACAUGAUGUCUCCAUCCUUCAUUGAAGUCUUGAGGUUUUGCGAAACAACUCGUGCUCGCAAUAUUUCUCUUUCUCGUGAAGUUGUUUUGCUGGAAAACCAUGUCACAGAUCUCAAAGGUAUAAAUCAAAGGUUGAUAGCUCUCUUGGAAUCAAAGGCGACAACAACACCACCAUCACUGCCAAAGGAAGACAACUAAACAUUGGUAUGGGCAAUCCCCUUGGCUUCUGCCAAGCUUAGGGGAGUUGCCCUGGUAUCGUAUCACCUUUAUAUCUUUUGCUUUUACCUUUGUCUUAGUUCUUUCCUUUUUAGUUUUUAUUUCUCCUUUUAGAGGAAUAAAUCUUUAGUUUUUAGUUUGAGUCUUUUUCUUUUGUCUCUCCCCCGAUGUAUUCGAGCUUACGAGCUAUAUAAUAAAGAGUGUCUUAGUCAAGGGCUUUGCUUUGUGCCAUGAUCAAAAGUAUGAAAAGAACGAUAGCAUGAAAGAUCAUGAGACGAUCUUAUGGAAAGUGAUAACUUCACUUAUGACAUGUAUGAUGAUUGAAACUUGUUGAGAAUAAAUCAACAUAGACCUCAGUCAUUGUUGCAAUCAAUAAGAAGUAAUAAGGAAAGAGAGGUUCACAUAUAAACAUAUCAUCUUAGACACUUUUUACAAUUGUGAGCACUCACCAAACUAUUACAUGCCUAGGAGUAGAUGUUGGACAAGGAAGACAACAUAAUGAAUUGUGUUUGCUUGGUUCCAAACAAUGUUAUAUGAUUAGAGAUCCCUUAGCAUGUGACAAUUGCUUCCACCUCUUAUUAGCCAAAACUCCCGCACCAAGUAGAGAUACUACUUGUGCAUCCAUAAACCUCCAACCAGUUUUGCCAUUAGAGUCCAUCAUACCUACCUAUGGAUUGAAUAAGAUCCUUCAAGUAAGUUGUCAUCGGUGCAAGCAAUAAAAAUUGCUCUCUAAUAUGUAUGAUCUAUUAGUGUGUGGAAAAUAAGCUUUGUACGAACCUGUGAUGAGGAAGACAAAAAAGCGACAUACUUUAUAAUAAAGUUCUUUGUCACAAGAGGCAAUAUAAAGUGACGUUCCUCCGCACUAAUAGGACACGCAUUCAAACCUCAGAAGCGCAUGACAACCUCUGCUUCCCUCUGCGAAGGGCCUAUCUUGUACCUUUACUUUUUACCGUUGUAAGAGUCAUGGUGAUCAUCACCAAUUCCCUUUUUGCCUUUGUCUUGGCUACCGUCACAUGCUUUGGAAAGAUGUAUAUUCAUAUAUCAACUUGGAGCUGAGUACUUAUGCUUUAUUGUUUUUGACUUUACCCUUGAGGUAAACCGUUGGGAGGCAAAACUAUAAGCCCCUAUCUUCCUUUGUGUCCAGCUAAAAAUUUGACACCAUGAGUACCAGGUGAGUUGUAACAAUUGUGGAAAACGAAAGAGAUGAUUGAGUAUGUGGGUUUGACUUACAAGCUCUUAUUUGACUCUUUCUGAUGUUGUGAUAAAUUGCAAUUGCUUCAAUGACUAUGGACUAUUGUUGGUUACUUCUCGGUAAGGUUUUUGCUUCAUGCUUUGCUUUUUGAAGGAAUUGUUACUUUCCCAUAAGAAUCUUUAUGAUAUAUUGUUGUUCUAUGUGUGAUCAUGAUGCCCUCAUGUCCGUAUUAUGUUUUAUCGACACCUUCGUCCCCAAACAUGUGGACAUGUUUAUGGAACUUGGUUUUCGCUUGAGGACAAGCGAGGUCUAAGCUUGGGGGAGUUGAUACGUCCAUUUUGCAUCAUGCUUUCAUGUUGAUAUUUAUUGCUUCUUGGGCUGUUAUAUUACUUGUGGUGCCAUAUUUAUGCAUUUUCUCUCUUAUUUUGCAAGGAUUAUUUGAAGAGGGAGAAUUCAGGCAGCUGGAAUUCUGGACUGGAAAAGGAGCAAAUCCUAGUCCACUAUUCGGCACAUCUCCAAAUGCCCUGAAAAUUUACGUGGAUUUUUUCUGGAAUAUAUUAAAAAUACUGGGCGAAAGAACUACCGAAGGGGGGCCACCAGGGCCCCACAAGCUUGCCCACCGCCACCACCCCCCUGGUGGCGCAGGGCAGGCUUGUGGGCUGCAUGAAGGCCCACUAGCCCACCUCUUUUGCUAUAUGAAGCGUCCUGGUCUGGAAAAAAUCAAGAGGGAGCUUUUUCGUGGUUUCGCCGCCGCCACGAGGCGGAACUUGAGCAGAUCCAAUCUAGAGCUCCGGUAGGACGAUCCUGUCGGGGAAAUUUCCCUCCCGGAGGGGGGGAAUCGUCGCCAUCGUCAUCACCAACACUCCUCUCGUCGGAGAGGACUCGUCACCAUCAACAUAUUCAUCAGCACCAUCUCCUCUCCAAACCCUAGUUCAUCUCUUGUAAUCAAUCUUCGUCUUGCGACUCCGAUUGGUACNNNNNNNNNNNNNNNNNNNNNNNNNNNNNNNNNNNNNNNNNNNNNNNNNNNNNNNNNNNNNNNNNNNNNNNNNNNNNNNNNNNNNNNNNNNNNNNNNNNNUCGCGUUCGUUACUUUGGACCGGCACUUGGGUACUGCCUUACUUGGACAAGCAUCCCACUUAUGAUUAACCCCUCUCGCAAGCAUCCGCAACUACGAAAGAAGAAUUAAGACAACGUCUAACCAUAGCAUUAAACUAGUGGAUCCAAAUCAGCCCCUUACGAAGCAACGCAUAGACUCGGGUUUAAGCUUCUGACACUCCAGCAACCCAUCAUCUACUUACUACUCCCCAAUGCCUUCCUCUAGGCCCAAAUAUGGUGAAGUGUUAUGUAGUCGACGUUCACAUAACACCACUAGAGGAAAAGACAAUAUACAGCAUAUCAAAAUACCGAACGAAUACCAAAUUCACAUGACUAUUAUUAGCAUGACUUAUCCCAUGUCCUCAGGAACAAAAGUAACUACUCACAAAGCAUAAUCAUAAUCAUGAUCAGAGGUGUAAUGAAUAGCANNNNNNNNNNNNNNNNNNNNNNNNNNNNNNNNNNNNNNNNNNNNNNNNNNNNNNNNNNNNNNNNNNNNNNNNNNNNNNNNNNNNNNNNNNNNNNNNNNNNNNNNNNNNNNNNNNNNNNNNNNNNNNNNNNNNNNNNNNNNNNNNNNNNNNNNNNNNNNNNNNNNNNNNNNNNNNNNNNNNNNNNNNNNNNNNNNNNNNNNNNNNNNNNNNNNNNNNNNNNNNNNNNNNNNNNNNNNNNNNNNNNNNNNNNNNNNNNNNNNNNNNNNNNNNNNNNNNNNNNNNNNNNNNNNNNNNNNNNNNNNNNNNNNNNNNNNNNNNNNNNNNNNNNNNNNNNNNNNNNNNNNNNNNNNNNNNNNNNNNNNNNNNNNNNNNNNNNNNNNNNNNNNNNNNNNNNNNNNNNNNNNNNNNNNNNNNNNNNNNNNNNNNNNNNNNNNNNNNNNNNUUACAAGAGAUGAACUAGGGAUUGGAGAGGAGAUGGUGCUGAUGAAGAUGCCUCCCCUCCGACGAGAGGAGUGUUGGUGAUGACGUUGGCGACAAUUUCCCCCUCCGAGAGGGAAGUUUCCCCGGCAGGAUCGUCCUGCCGGAGCUCUAGAUUGGAUUUGCUCAAGUUCCGCCUCGUGGCGGCGGCGAAACCACGAAAAAGCUCCCAAUUGAUUUUUUUCUGGAACGAAACCCUUCAUAUAGCAAAAGAGGGGCGGCAGUGGGCCGUCAGGNNNNNNNNNNNNNNNNNNNNNNNNNNNNNNNNNNNNNNNNNNNNNNNNNNNNNNNNNNNNNNNNNNNNNNNNNNNNNNNNNNNNNNNNNNNNNNNNNNNNUCAAGUGUUGAUGGUGAGCAAGACCACUAGUUUCAAGAGAAACGGCAAAGGCAAGAAGGGCAAUUCGAAGAAGAGCGGCAAGCCUGUUGCCAAUCCGCCGAAGAAACCCAAGGCUGGACCUAAGCCUGAAACAGAGUGCUUCUAUUGCAAGGGUAUGGGUCACUGGAAGCGCAAUUGCCCCAAGUAUCUGGCAGAUAAGAAGGCGGGCAAAGAAAAAUCAGGUAUAUUUGAUAUACAUGUUAUUGAUGUGUACUUAACCGGCUCUCGUAGUAGUGCCUGGGUAUUCGAUACCGGUUCUGUUGCUCACAUUUGCAACUCGAAGCAGGAACUGCGGAAUAGACGAAGGCUGGCGAAAGACGAAGUGACGAUGCGCGUAGGAAACGGUUCCAAGGUUGAUGCAAUCGCCGUCGGCACAGUGUCACUUCAACUACCAUCGGGAUUAGUGAUGAACUUAAAUCAUUGUUAUUUAGUGCCUGCGUUGAGCAUGAACAUUAUAUCUGGAUCUUGUUUAUUGCGAGACGGUUACUCUUUUAAGUCUGAGAAUAAUGGUUGUUCUAUUUCUAUGAGUAACAUCUUUUAUGGUCAUGCACCGAAUGUGAGAGGAUUGUUCAUAUUGAAUCUUGAUAAAGAUACGCAUAUACAUAACAUAGAGACCAAAAGAGUUAGAGUAAACAAUGAUAGCGCCAUAUUUUUGUGGCACUGCCGCUUGGGUCAUAUUGGUGUAAAGCGCAUGAAGAAACUCCAUGCUGAUGGACUUUUGGAGUCACUUGACUUUGAUUCACUUGACACGUGCGAACCAUGCCUCAUGGGCAAGAUGACUAAGACUCCGUUCUCCGGAACAAUGGAGCGUGCAAGUGACUUGUUGGAAAUCAUACAUACCGAUGUGUGUGGUCCAAUGAGCGUGGAGGCACGCGGCGGAUAUCGUUAUUUUCUCACCUUCACUGACGAUUUAAGUAGAUCUGGUUAUGUCUACUUGAUGAAGCACAAGUCUGAAACAUUUGAAAAGUUCAAACAAUUUCAGAGUGAAGUGGAAAAUCAUCAUAACAAGAAGAUCAAGUUCCUACGGUCUGAUCGUGGGGGUGAGUAUCUGAGUUUCGAGUUUGGUACUCACUUAAGACAAUGUGGAAUUGUUUCGCAGUUAACACCGCCUGGAACACCACAGCGUAAUGGUGUGUCCGAACGUCGUAAUCGUACUUUGUUAGAAAUGGUGCGAUCUAUGAUGUCUCUUACUGAUUUGCCGUUAUCGUUUUGGGGUUAUGCAUUAGAAACAGCUGCAUUCACUUUAAAUAGGGCACCAUCGAAAUCCGUUGAGACGACACCAUACGAACUGUGGUAUGGCAAAAGGCCAAAGUUGUCGUUUCUUAAAGUUUGGGGAUGUGAUGCUUAUGUCAAAAAGCUUCAGCCUGAAAAGCUGGAACCCAAAGCGGAAAAGUGCGUCUUCAUAGGUUACCCAAAAGAGACAGUUGGGUACACCUUCUAUCUCAAAUCCGAGGGCAAAGUGUUUGUUGCUAAGAACGGAACUUUUCUCGAGAAGGAGUUUCUCUCGAGAGAAUUGAGUGGGAGGAAGAUAGAACUUGACGAGGUUGUCGAACCUCUCAUCCCUCUGGAUGGUGGCGCAGGGCAAGGGGAAACCUCUGUCAUUGCGACGCCGGUUGAGGAGGAAGUUAAUGAUGAUGAUCAUGAAACUCCAGUUCAAGUUUCUGUUGAACCACGCAGGUCGACGAGAUCACGCGCUGCUCCAGAGUGGUACGGUAAUCCCGUCUUAUCAAUCAUGUUGUUAGACAACAAUGAACCUGCAAAUUAUGAAGAAGCAAUGGUGGGCCCAGAUUCCAACAAAUGGCUAGAAGCCAUGAAAUCCGAGAUAGGAUCCAUGUAUGAGAACAAAGUGUGGACUUUGGAGAUACUACCUGAGGGCCGCAAGGCUAUUCAGAACAAAUGGAUCUUUAAGAAGAAGACGGACGCUGACGGUAAUGUGACCGUUUAUAAAGCUCGACUUGUGGCAAAGGGUUUUUCACAAGUUCCAGGAGUUGACUACGAUGAGACCUUCUUACCCGUAGCGAUGCUUAAGUCCGUCAGAAUCAUGUUAGCAAUAGCUGCAUUUUUCGAUUAUGAAAUCUGGCAGAUGGAUGUCAAAACGGCGUUCCUUAACGGUUUCCUUAAGGAAGAGUUGUAUAUGAUGCAACCCGAAGGUUUUGUCGAUCCUAAAAAUGCUAACAAGGUGUGCAAGCUCCAACGAUCCAUUUAUGGACUGGUGCAAGCAUCUCGGAGUUGGAACAAACGCUUUGAUGAGGUGAUCAAAGCAUUUGGGUUUAUACAAGUGGUUGGAGAAUCUUGUAUUUACAAGAAAGUGAGUGGGAGCUCUGUGGCGUUUCUAAUAUUAUAUGUGGAUGACAUAUUGCUGAUUGGAAACAACGUAGAGCUUUUGGAGAGCAUAAAAGGUUACUUGAAUAAAAGUUUCUCUAUGAAGGACCUAGGAGAAGCUGCUUACAUUCUAGGCAUUAAGAUCUAUAGGGAUAGAUCAAAACGCCUCAUAGGACUUUCACAAAGCACAUACCUUGAUAAAGUUUUGAAGAGGUUCAAAAUGGAACAGUCCAAGAAAGGGUUCUUGCCAGUGUUACAAGGUACGAGAUUGAGUAAGACUCAGUGCCCAGCAACUGAUGAAGAUAGAGAGCAUAUGCGCUCCGUCCCCUAUGCUUCAGCCAUAGGCUCUAUCAUGUAUGCAAUGCUGUGCACUAGACCGGAUGUUAGCCUGGCCAUAAGUAUGGCAGGUAGGUUCCAGAGUAAUCCAGGAGUGGAUCACUGGACGGCGGUCAAGAAUAUCCUGAAGUACCUGAAAAGGACUAAGGAGAUGUUUCUCGUGUAUGGAGGUGACGAAGAGCUCGCCGUAAAAGGUUACGUCGAUGCAAGCUUUGACACAGAUCCGGAUGACUCUAAGUCGCAAACCGGAUACGUAUUUAUUCUUAAUGGGGGUGCAGUAAGCUGGUGCAGUUCCAAGCAAAGCGUCGUAGCAGAUUCUACAUGUGAAGCGGAGUACAUGGCUGCCUCGGAGGCGGCUAAGGAAGGUGUCUGGAUGAAGCAGUUCAUGACGGAUCUUGGAGUGGUGCCAAGUGCACUGGAUCCAAUAACCUUGUUCUGUGACAACACUGGUGCCAUUGCCUUAGCAAAGGAACCAAUGUUUCACAAGAAGACCACACACAUCAAACGACGCUUCAACCUCAUCCGCGACUACGUCGAGGAGGAGGACGUAAAUAUAUGCAAAGUGCACACGGAUCUGAAUGUAGCAGACCCGCUGACUAAACCUCUUCCACGGCCAAAACAUGAUCGACACCAGAACUGUAUGGGUGUUAGAUUUUUUACAAUGUAAUUCACAUGGUGAUGUGAGGGCUAGAUUAUUGACUCUAGUGCAAGUGGGAGACUGUUGGAAUUAUGCCCUAGAGGAAAUAAUAAAUGUAUAGUUAUUAUUAUAAUUCCUGUAUCAAGAUAAUAGUUUAUUAUCCAUGCUANNNNNNNNNNNNNNNNNNNNNNNNNNNNNNNNNNNNNNNNNNNNNNNNNNNNNNNNNNNNNNNNNNNNNNNNNNNNNNNNNNNNNNNNNNNNNNNNNNNNUGUUUUUGCAGGGUAUGAUUGUGAUGUGAUAUGGCCAACAAUGUGAUGUGAUAUAUUGGAUGUAUGAGAUGAUCAUGUUGUAAUAGAAAUAUCGACUUGCAUGUCGAUGGUACGGCAACCGGCAGGAGCCAUAGGGUUGUCUUUAUACUAACAUAUGUGCUUGCAGAUGCGUUUACUAUUUUGCUAGGAUGUAGCUUUAGUAGUAAUAGCAUAAGUAGCACGACAACCACGAUGGCAACACGUUGAUGGAUGAUCAUGGUGUGGCGCCGGUGACAAGAAGAUCGUGCCGGUGCUUUGGUGAUGGAGAUCAAGAAGCACGUGAUGAUGGCCAUAUCAUGUCACUUAUGAAUUGCAUGUGAUGUUAAUCUUUUUUGCACCUUAUUUUGUUUAGAACAACGGUAGCAUUAUGAGGUGAUCUCUCACUAAAAUUUCAAGACGAAAUUGUGUUCUCCCCGACUGUGCACCGUUGCUACAGUUCGUCGUUUCGAGACACCACGUGAUGAUCGGGUGUGAUAGACUCAACGUUCACAUAGAACGGGUGCAAAACAGUUGCGCACGCGGAACACUCGGGUUAAGCUUGACGAGCCUAGCAUGUGCAGACAUGGCCUCGGAACACAUGAGACCGAAAGGUCGAUCAUGAAUCAUAUAGUUGAUAUGAUUAGCAUAGGGAUGCUUACCACUGAAACUACUCUCGACUCACGUGAUGAUCGGACUUGGGAUAGUGUAAGUGGAUCAUGAACCACUCGAAUGACUAGAGAGAUGUACUUUUUGAGUGGGAGUUUAGCGUAUAAUUUGAUUAAGUUGAACUCUAAUUAUAUUGAACAUAGUCUAAAGUCCACUUUGAAUAUAUUUGUGUUGUAGAUCAUGGCUCACGCAAGUGUCAUCCUGAAUUUUAAUACGUUCCUAGAGAAAGCUAAGUUGAAAGAUGAUGGAAGCAACUUUGUAGACUGGACUCGUAAUCUUAAGCUAAUCUUACAAGCUGGAAAGAAGGAUUAUGUCCUNNNNNNNNNNNNNNNNNNNNNNNNNNNNNNNNNNNNNNNNNNNNNNNNNNNNNNNNNNNNNNNNNNNNNNNNNNNNNNNNNNNNNNNNNNNNNNNNNNNNCCACUGUGCUGGAAAGCGGCAAGGGCAAGGUUGCCGCCAGAGCUCCGCGUGCACUGUCGGUGGUGGUCGUGGUAGCACUCCGCAUGUGCAACUGGAGGCAGAGCGGCUACGCCUUGAGUGGCACGCAGCCAUCGGACAAGGCUAUCGCGACCCUUGAGAGCCCUUUGUUGGAAUUAUGCCCUAGAGGCAAUAAUAAAUAUAUAGUUAUUAUUAUAAUUCCUGUAUCAAGAUAAUAGUUUAUUGUCCAUGCUAUAAUUGUANNNNNNNNNNNNNNNNNNNNNNNNNNNNNNNNNNNNNNNNNNNNNNNNNNNNNNNNNNNNNNNNNNNNNNNNNNNNNNNNNNNNNNNNNNNNNNNNNNNNNNNNNNNNNNNNNNNNNNNNNNNNNNNNNNNNNNNNNNNNNNNNNNNNNNNNNNNNNNNNNNNNNNNNNNNNNNNNNNNNNNNNNNNNNNNNNNNNNNNNNNNNNNNNNNNNNNNNNNNNNNNNNNNNNNNNNNNNNNNNNNNNNNNNNNNNNNNNNNNNNNNNNNNNNNNNNNNNNNNNNNNNNNNNNNNNNNNNNNNNNNNNNNNNNNNNNNNNNNNNNNNNNNNNNNNNNNGUUUAUUAUCCAUGCUAUAAUUGUAUUGAAUGAAGACUCAUUUACAUGUGUGGAUACAUAGACAAAACACCGUCCCUAGCAUGCCUCUAGUUGGCUAGCCAGUUGAUCAAUGAUAGUCAGUGUCUUCUGAUUAUGAACAAGGUGUUGUUGCUUGAUAACUGGAUCACGUCAUUGGGAGAAUCACGUGAUGGACUAGACCCAAACUAAUAGACGUAGCAUGUUGAUCGUGUCAUUUUCUUGCUACUGUUUUCUGCGUGUCAAGUAUUUAUUCCNNNNNNNNNNNNNNNNNNNNNNNNNNNNNNNNNNNNNNNNNNNNNNNNNNNNNNNNNNNNNNNNNNNNNNNNNNNNNNNNNNNNNNNNNNNNNNNNNNNNCAUACCCUGCAAAAACAAUUUAGACGUCCUCUAAUUUUGUUGUUGCAUGUUUUACGUGGUGACCAUGGGUAUCUAGUAGGAUCGCAUCUUACUUACGCAAACACCACAACGGAGAUAUAUGAGUUGCUAUUUAACCUCAUCCAAGGACCUCCUCGGUCAAAUCCGAUUCAACUAAAGUUGGAGAAACCGACACUUGCCAGUCAUCUUUGAGCAAAGGGGGUUACUCGUAACGAUGAAACCAGUCUCUCGUAAGCGUACGAGUAAUGUCGGUCCAAGCCGCUUCAAUCCAACAAUACCGCGGAAUCAAGAAAAGACUAAGGAGGGCAGCAAAACGCACAUCACCGCCCACAAAACCUUUUGUGUUCUACUCGAGAAGACAUCUACGCAUGAACCUAGCUCAUGAUGCCACUGUUGGGCACGUCGCAUGGGAAACAAAAAUUUUCCUACGCGCACGAAGACCUAUCAUGGUGAUGUCCAUCUACGAGAGGGGAUGAGUGAUCUACGUACCCUUGUAGAUCGUACACCAGAAGCGUUAGAGAACGCGGUUGAUGUAGUGGAACGUCCUCACGUCCCUCGAUCCGCCCCGCGAACAAUCCCGCGAUCAGUCCCACGAUCUGGUACCGAACGGACGGCANNNNNNNNNNNNNNNNNNNNNNNNNNNNNNNNNNNNNNNNNNNNNNNNNNNNNNNNNNNNNNNNNNNNNNNNNNNNNNNNNNNNNNNNNNNNNNNNNNNNUGAUCGCGGGAUUGUUUGCAGGGCGGAUCGAGGGACGUGAGGACGUUCCACUACAUCAACCGCGUUCUCUAACGCUUCUGGUGUACGAUCUACAAGGGUACGUAGAUCACUCAUCCCCUCUCGUAGAUGGACAUCACCAUGAUAGGUCUUCGUGCGCGUAGGAAAAUUUUUGUUUCCCAUGCGACGUGCCCAACAGUGGCAUCAUGAGCUAGGUUCAUGCGUAGAUGUCUUCUCGAGUAGAACACAAAAGGUUUUGUGGGCGGUGAUGUGCGUUUUGCUGCCCUCCUUAGUCUUUUCUUGAUUCCGCGGUAUUGUUGGAUUGAAGCGGCUUGGACCGACAUUACUCGUACGCUUACGAGAGACUGGUUUCAUCGUUACGAGUAACCCCCUUUGCUCAAAGAUGACUGGCAANNNNNNNNNNAUGAGGAUGUUCCACUACAUCAACCACAUUCACUAACGCUUCUGUUGUACGAUCUACAAGGGUACGUAGAUCACUCAUCCCCUCUCGUAGAUGGACAUCACCAUGAUAGGUCUUCGUGCGCGUAGGGAAAUUUUUGUUUCCCAUGCGACGUUCCCCGACAGUGGUAUCAGAGCGAGGUUCAUGCGUAGAUGUCUUCUCGAGUAGAACACAAAAGUUUUUGUGGGCGGUGAUGUGCGUUUUGCUGCCCUCCUUAGUCUUUUCUUNNNNNNNNNNNNNNNNNNNNNNNNNNNNNNNNNNNNNNNNNNNNNNNNNNNNNNNNNNNNNNNNNNNNNNNNNNNNNNNNNNNNNNNNNNNNNNNNNNNNGAAGCCAUGAAAUCCGAGAUAGGAUCCAUGUAUGAGAACAAAGUGUGGACUUUGGAGAUACUACCUGAGGGCCGCAAGGCUAUUCAGAACAAAUGGAUCUUUAAGAAGAAGACGGACGCUGACGGUAAUGUGACCGUUUAUAAAGCUCGACUUGUGGCAAAGGGUUUUUCACAAGUUCCAGGAGUUGACUACGAUGAGACCUUCUUACCCGUAGCGAUGCUUAAGUCCGUCAGAAUCAUGUUAGCAAUAGCUGCNNNNNNNNNNNNNNNNNNNNNNNNNNNNNNNNNNNNNNNNNNNNNNNNNNNNNNNNNNNNNNNNNNNNNNNNNNNNNNNNNNNNNNNNNNNNNNNNNNNNNNNNNNNNNNNNNNNNNNNNNNNNNNNNNNNNNNNNNNNNNNNNNNNNNNNNNNNNNNNNNNNNNNNNNNNNNNUGCAACCCGAAGGUUUUGUCGAUCCUAAAAAUGCUAACAAGGUGUGCAAGCUCCAACGAUCCAUUUAUGGACUGGUGCAAGCAUCUCGGAGUUGGAACAAACGCUUUGAUGAGGUGAUCAAAGCAUUUGGGUUUAUACAAGUGGUUGGAGAAUCUUGUAUUUACAAGAAAGUGAGUGGGAGCUCUGUGGCGUUUCUAAUAUUAUAUGUGGAUGACAUAUUGCUGAUUGGAAACAACGUAGAGCUUUUGGAGAGCAUAANNNNNNNNNNNNNNNNNNNNNNNNNNNNNNNNNNNNNNNNNNNNNNNNNNNNNNNNNNNNNNNNNNNNNNNNNNNNNNNNNNNNNNNNNNNNNNNNNNNNACAGGAUCACUAAAAGCAAUGACUUUCUCCUCAACUAGAUUGGUUUUGACUAUGUUGCUUUCUACAGGAGGAUGAUACUUAAACCACUUUUCUUUGGGAAGAUCAACAUGAGCAGCAAAGGAUUCACAAAGAGAAGCUACUAUCUCAGAGUCAAGUCCAUACUUAGCGCUAAAAUCUCUAGAAGUGUUUGUCUCAACAAAAGAUUUAACGCAAUCAAAAUGGAAAUUCAUACCUGACUCCUUACCUUCCUCCAGCUCCCAAUCUUCAGAGUUACGUUUGAUUCUUUCCAAUAAAUUCCACUUGUGUUCAAUAUCCUUAUUCAUAAAAGAACCGGUACAAGAAGUGUCAAGCAUGGUACGAUCUUCAUGAGAAAGCCGAGCAUAAAAGUUUUGAGUGAUAAUUUCUCUCGAGAGCUCAUGAUUGGGGCAUGAAUAUAACAUUGAUUUAAGCCUCCCCCAAGCUUGAGCUAUUCUUUCCCUGUCACGACGCCAAAAGUUAUAAAUAUAAUUCCGAUCACGAUGUACUAAAUGCAUAGNNNNNNNNNNAAGCUUGAGCUAUGCUUUCCCUAUCACGAGGCCAAAAGUUAUAAAUAUAAUUCCGAUCACGAUGUACUAAAUGCAUAGGAUAAUCUUUUGAUGAAAUUCCAAUUUCAACCGCUUGUAGUCUCAUGAUCCAGUAUCAUCACAUAGCCUAUACCAUGUCAACGCCUUAUCCUUCAAAGAUAAAGGAAAGACUUUCUUAUUUACCUCAUCCUCGGGCAAACCUGCAAGCUUAAAUAAACCACAAACUUCAUCUACAUAGAUCAGANNNNNNNNNNGAGAUCCAUCUCCUGUAAAAGGAUUAGCCAGCAGUUGCUCAAGCAUACCCGAAGGAAUUUCAUAAAACAUAUUUUCAGUAGGUACAUCAGGUUGAGGAACAACUCCUCGUGCUUCCAUUUGUGGUGAAGAUACCCCGAACAAACUCCUCAAAGGAACAGUUUCCAUAGUNNNNNNNNNNAACUUUUGAUGAAAUUCCAAUUUCAACCGCUUGUAGUCCCAUGAUCGAGUAUCAUCACAUAGCUUAUACCAUGUCAACGCCUUAUCCUUCAAAGAUAAAGGAAAGACUUUAUUCUUUACCUCAUCCUCGGGAAAACCUGCAAGCUUAAAUAAACCACAAACUUCAUCUACAUAGAUCAGAUGCAAGUCUGGAUGUGAAGAUCCAUCUCCUGUACAAGUAUUAGCCAGCAGUUUCUCAAGCAUACCCGAAGAAAUUUCAUAAAAGAUAUUUUCAGUAGGUACCUCAGGUUGAGGAACAACUCCUCGUGCUUCUGUUCAUGGUGAAGAUACCCCGAACAAACUCCUCAAAGGAACAGUUUCCAUAGUGACAAUUGACAAUAAAUUUCAGCAUAGUAUAUAAAUGUUUCCUUACCAAUUUCCACUUACCAAAGGCGCUUCACUCCCCGGCAACGGCGCCAGAAAAGANNNNNNNNNNGUGACAAUAAAUUGCAGCACAGUAUAUAAAUAUUCCUUACCAAUAUCCACUUACCAAAGGCGCUUCACUCCCCGGCAACGGCGCCAGAAAAGAGUCUUGAUGACCCACAAGUAUAGGGGAUCAAUCGUAGUCCUUUCGAUAAGUAAGAGUGUCGAACCCAACGAGGAGCAGAAGGCUCUGAUAAACGGUUUUCAGCAAGGUAAUAACUGCAAGCACUGAAAGUAGCGGUAACAAGUGAUGGUGUAGUGAGGUGAAACGUAGCAAGCGAAAAGUAACAAGUAACAAGUAGUAGCAAUGGUUCAGCAAGUGGCCCAAUCCCUUUUGUAGCAAGGGACAAGCCUGAACAAAGUCUUAUAGGAGGAAAAACGCUCCCGAGGACACACGGGAAUUUCUGUCAUGCUAGUUUCAUCAUGUUCAUAUGAUUCGCGUUCGUUACUUUGAUAGUUUGAUAUGUGGGUGGACCGGCGCUUGGGGACUGCCCUUACAUGGACAAGCAUCCCACUUAUGAUUAACCCCUCUCGCAAGCAUCCGCAACUACGAAAGAAGAAUUAAGACAACGUCUAACCAUAGCAUUAAACUAGUGGAUCCAAAUCAGCCCCUUACGAAGCAACNNNNNNNNNNGACCGGCACUUGGGUACUGCCUUACUUGGACAAGCAUCCCACUUAUGAUUAACCCCUCUCGCAAGCAUCCGCAANNNNNNNNNNACAUAGACUCGGGUUUAAGCUUCUGUCACUCCAGCAACCCAUCAUCUACUUACUACUCCCCAAUGCCUUUCUCUAGGCCCAAAUAUGGUGAAGUGUUAUGUAGUCGAUAUUCACAUAACACCACUAGAGGAAAAGACAACAUACAACAUAUCAAAAUACCGAACGAAUACUAAAUUCACAUGACUAUUAUUAGCAUGACUUAUCCCAUGUCCUCAGGAAAAAAAGUCACUACUCACAAAGCAUAAUCAUAAUCAUGAUCACAGGUGUAAUGAAUAGCAUCAAGGAUCUGAACAUAAACUCUUCCACCAANNNNNNNNNNGCAUAGACUCGGGUUUAAGCUUCUGACACUCCAGCAACCCAUCAUCUACUUACUACUCCCCAAUGCCUUCCUCUAGGCCCAAAUAUGGUGAAGUGUUAUGUAGUCGACGUUCACAUAACACCACUAGAGGAAAAGACAAUAUACAGCAUAUCAAAAUACCGAACGAAUACCAAAUUCACAUGACUAUUAUUAGCAUGACUUAUCCCAUGUCCUCAGGAACAAAAGUAACUACUCACAAAGCAUAAUCAUAAUCAUGAUCAGAGGUGUAAUGAAUAGCAUCAAGGAUCUGAACAUAAACUCUUCCACCAAGUAAUCCAACUAGCAUCAACUACAAAGAGUAAUCAACACUACUAGCAACCUUACAAGUACCAAUCGGAGUCGCGAGACGGAGAUUGGUUACAAGAGAUGAAUUAGGGAUUGGAGAGGAGAUGGUGUUGAUGAAGAUGCCUCCCCUCCUACGAGAGGAGUGUUGGUGAUGACGUUGGCGACGAUUUCCCCCUCCGGGAGGGAAAUUUCCCCGGCAGGAUCGUCGUGCCGGAGCUCUAGAUUGGAUCUGCUCAAGUUCCGCCUCGUGGCGGCGGCGAAACCAUGAAAAAGCUCACAACUGAUUUUUUCUGGAAUGAAACCCUUCAUAUAGCAAAAGAGGGGGGCAGUGGGCCGUCAGGGAGCCCACAAGCCCUGUAGCCGCCACCAGGGGGUGGCGGCUACCAGGCUUGUGGCACCCUGGUAGCUCCCCUCUGGUUCUUCUUUCGCCCAGUAUUUUUUAUAUAUUCCCAAAAAUUUCCACGUAAAUUUUUAGGGCAUUUGGAGAUGUGCAGAAUAGAGGACUCAGAUUUGCUCCUUUUCCUGUCCAGAAUUCCGGCUGCCUGAAUUCUCCCUCUUCAAAUAAACCUUGCAAAAUNNNNNNNNNNAAGAGAAAAGGCAUAAAUAUGGUACCACAAAGUAAUAUAACAGACCAUAAAGUGAUAAAUAUCAACAUGAAAGCAUGAUGCAAAAUGGACGUAUCAGGCGACGACGACGACGGCGGCGAUGGGCUCGGGUGCGACUGCGACGACGGUUGGUGAUGGGUGACGGCGACGACGACAACGGCGAUGGGCUCGGGGGCAACGGUGACAGCGAUGGGCUCGGGGACGACGGCAACGACAAUGGGCUCGGGGACAACGAUGGGUUCGGGGACGACGGCGACGACGAUGGGCUCGGGGGCGACGACGAUGGCGAUGACAACGGGCUCAGGAGCGACAACGACGGCGAUGGGCUCGGGGCGAUGACGGGCUCGUGAGCGACGGUGACGACGAUGACGGGCUCGUGAAGGAGGCACGGGCCGGCGGCGAUGGGCUCGGGUGCGACGGCGACGAAGAUAGAACGGGGGGGAAUGGAAGUUGGUGGAAAUUUCGACAACUCCCGCAGUAUACGAACACCUUUGUUCCGGGUUGUGGCCCAAACCAGGACCAAAGCACACCCUUAGUCCCGGGUUGUUACACCAACCGGGACUAAAGGUCAAUUUCGACAACUCCCGCACUAUAUGAAAAAGCUUUUGUUUCGGUUUGUGGCACCAACCGGUACCAAAGCCACACUUCCGCUGGCACAAAAGGGCGGGAAGAAGAGUACUUUCGUACCGGUUGGUGGCUAGUACCGGGACAAAAGGUCUGUCGGCCCAUUUGAUAUUUUUCAUACGUUUACUGAAUUUUGUUUUGAGCUAAAUGACCCUAAAAUUGAAAAGCACUACAAAUGAAUUGUGAAAAUGUUGAAAGUUGGCAUGGUAUAAUUAUUUCAUGCACAUAGCAUGUGCUAAAAAGUUGAGAGGGUUGCGGCAAAAACUGGAUGCACAUCGUGUACAAAACAGACAAUCUCUUUCGAAGUAUUAGGGUUUCAUACGAAAACUCAUGUGUUACAAAGGGAUUUCAUUUUUUGAACUUAUUUGAACUCCGGACUUUUUUUGUGUUCAAAAUGCACCAUUCAAAGACACAUCAUCAAUUUUCUACUAUUUCUGACUUCAUUUGGUAUUUUUCAUGCAUUUGCUCAUUUUUUUGAGCUAAAUGACCCUUAAAUUAAAAAGCACUACAAAUGAACUUUGAAAAGGUUGAAAGUUGGCAUGGUAUCAUCAUUUCACCCACAUAACAUGUGCUAAAAAGUUGAGAGGGUUGCGGCAAAAACUGGAUGCACUUCGUGUACAAAACGGAUAAUCUCUUUCGAAGUAUUAGGGUUUCAUACGAAAACUCAUCUCUUACAAAGGGAUUUCAUUUUUUUUGAACUUAUUUGAACUCCAGGCUUUUUGUGUGUUCAAAGUGCACCAUUCAAAGACAAAUCAUCAAUUUUUAACUAUUCCUGACUUCAUUUGGUAUUUUUCAUGCAUUUAGUGAUUUUUUUGAGCUAAAUGACCCUUAAAUUGAAAAGCACUACAAAUGAACUCUGAAAAGGUUAAAAGUUGGCAUGGUAUCAUCAUUUCACCCACAUAGAAUGUGCUAAAAAGUUGAGAGGGUUGCGGCAAAAACUGGAUGCAAUUUGUGUACAAAAUGGACAAUCUCUUUCGAAGUAUGAGGGUUUCAUACGAAAACUCAUCUGUUACAAAAAGGAUUUUAUUUAUUGAACUUAUUUUAACUCCCGACUUUUUGUGUAUUCAAAAUGCACCAUUCAAAGACACAUCAUCAAUUUUUAACUAUUUCUGAUUUCAUUUGGUAUUUUUCAUGCUUUAGUGAUUUUUUUUAGCUAAAUGACCCUUAAAUUGAAAAGCACUACAAAUGAACUCUAAAAAUCUUGAAAGUUGGCAUGGUAUCAUCAUUUCACCCACAUAGCAUGUGCUAAANNNNNNNNNNNNNNNNNNNNNNNNNNNNNNNNNNNNNNNNNNNNNNNNNNNNNNNNNNNNNNNNNNNNNNNNNNNNNNNNNNNNNNNNNNNNNNNNNNNNNNNNNNNNNNNNNNNNNNNNNNNNNNNNNNNNNNNNNNNNNNNNNNNNCAAUCUCUUUCGAAAUAUAAGGGUUUCAUACGAAAACUCAUCUGUUACAAAGGGAUUUCAUUUUUUGAACUUAUUUGAACUUCAUACUUUUUGUGUGUUCAAAAUGCACCAUUCAAAGACAAAUCAUCAACUUUUAACUAUUUCUAACUUCAUUUGGUAUUUUUCAUGCAUUUAGUAAAAAAAUUAGCUAAAUGACCCUUAAAUUGAAAAGUGCUACAAAUAAACUCUGAAAAGGGUGAAAGUUGGCAUGGUAUCAUCAUUUCACCCACAUAGCAUGUGCUAAAAAGUUGAGAGGGUUGCGGCAAAAACUGGAUNNNNNNNNNNNNNNNNNNNNNNNNNNNNNNNNNNNNNNNNNNNNNNNNNNNNNNNNNNNNNNNNNNNNNNNNNNNNNNNNNNNNNNNNNNNNNNNNNNNNUCCGCGUUCAGCACACGUACAGCUCGACGAUGAUCUCGGCCUUCUUGAUCCAGCAAGAGAGACGGAGAGGUGGAAGAGUUCUCCGGCAGCGUGAUGGCGCUCCGGAGGUUGGUGAUGACCCUGUCUCAGCAGGGCUCCGCCCGAGCUCCGCAGAAACGCGAUCUAGAGGAAAAACCGUGGAGGUAUGUGGUCGGGCUGCCGUGGAANNNNNNNNNNGAAGAGUUCUCCGGCAGCGUGACGGCGCUCCGGAGGUUGGUGAUGACCUUGUCUCAGCAGGGCUCCGCCCGAGCUCCGCAGAACCACGAUCUAGAGGAAAAACCGUGGAGGUAUGUGGUCGGGCUGCCGUGGAAAAGUCGUCUCAAAUCAGCCCUAAAACCUCCGUAUAUAUAGGUGGGAGGGAGGGGCCCUUGCCUUGGGGUCCAAGGACCCUCAAGGGGGUCGGCCGAGCCAAGGGGGAGGACUCUCCCCCCCCCCAAACCGAGUUGGACUAGGUUUGGUGGGAGGGAGUCCUCCUCCCUUCCCACCUCCUCCCUUUUUUUUCUUUUCAUCUUGAUUUUUCUUCUCUUGGCGCAUAGACCACUUGUGGGCUGUCCCACCAGCCCACUAAGGGCUGGUGUGUCUCCCCAAAGGCCUAUNNNNNNNNNNUAAGAGUUCUCCGACAGCGUGACGGUGCUCCGGAGGUUGGUGAUGAUCUUGUCUCAGCAGGGCUCCGCCCGAGCUCCGCAGAAACACGAUCUAGAGGAAAAACUAUGGGGGUAUGUGGUCGGGCAGCCGUGAGAAAGUCGUCUCUAAUCUGCCCUAAAAGCCCCAUAUAUAUAGGAGGAGGGAGGGGGACCUUGCCUUGGGGUCCAAGGGAUCCCCAAGGGGUCGGCCGAGCCAGGGGGGAGGACUCUCCCCCCCCAAACCGAGUCCUACUUGGUUUGGUGGGAGGGAGUCCUUCCCCCUUCCCACUUCUUCCUUUUUUUCCUUUCCUUUGAUUUUUCUCCCUUGGCGCAUAGGGGAUUGGUGGGCUGUCCCACCAGCCCACUAAGGGCUGGUGUGACCCCCCCAAAUGCCUAUGGGCUUCCCCGGAGUGGGUUGCCCCCCUCCGGUGAACUCCCGGAACCCAUUCGUCAUUCCCGGUACAUUCCCAGUAACUCCGAAAACCUUCCGGUAAUCAAAUGAGGUCAUCCUAUAUAUCAAUCUUCGUUUAGGGACCAUUCCGGAAACCCUCGUGACGUCCUUGAUCUCAUCCGGGACUCCAAACAACAUUCGGUAACCAACCAUAUAACUCAAAUACGCAUAAAACAACGUCGAACCUUAAGUGUGCAGACCCUGCGGGUUCGAGAACUAUGUAGACAUGACCCGAGAGACUCCUCGGUCAAUAUCCAACAGCGGGACCUGGAUGCCCAUAUUGGAUCCCACAUAUUCUACGAAGAUCUCAUCGUUUGAACCUCAGUGCCAAGGAUUCUUAUAAUCCCGUAUGUCAUUCCCUUUGUCCUUCGGUAUGUUACUUGCCCNNNNNNNNNNUAGAGACUCCUCGGUCAAUAUCCAAUAGCGGGACCUGGAUGCCCAUAUUGGAUCCUACAUAUUCUACGAAGAUCUUAUCGUUUGAACCUCAGUGCCAAAGAUUCAUAUAAUCCCGUAUGUCAUUCCCUUUGUCCUUCGGUAUGUUACUUGCCCGAGAUUCGAAAGUCAAUAUCCGCAUACCUAUUUCAAUCUCGUUUACCGGCAAGUCUCUUUACUCGUUCCGUAAUACAAGAUCCCGCAACUUACACUAAGUUACAUUGCUUGCAAGGCUUGUGUGUGAUGUUGUAUUACCGAGUGGGCCCNNNNNNNNNNUCGUCAGUAUCCUUAUACCUAUUUCAAUCUCGUUCACCGGCAAGUCUCUUUACUCGUUCCGUAAUACAAUAUCCUGUAACUUUCACUAAGUCACAUUGCUUGCAAGGCUUGUGUGUGAUGUUGUAUUACCGAGUGGGCCCCGAGAUACCUCUCCGUCACACGGAGUGACAAAUCCCAGUCUUGAUCCAUACUAACUCAACUAACACCUUCGGAGAUACCUGUAGAGCAUCUUUAUAGUCACCCAGUUACGUUGCGACGUUUGAUACACACAAAGCAUUCCUCCGGUGUCAAUGAGUUAUAUGAUCUNNNNNNNNNNNNNNNNNNNNNNNNNNNNNNNNNNNNNNNNNNNNNNNNNNNNNNNNNNNNNNNNNNNNNNNNNNNNNNNNNNNNNNNNNNNNNNNNNNNNUUUGACAUAAGCAUCACAUCCCCAAACUUUAAGAAACGACAACUUUGGCCUUUUGCCAUACCACAGUUCGUAUGGUGUCAUCUCAACGGAUUUUGAUGGUGCCCUAUUUAAAGUGAAUGCAGCUGUUUCUAAUGCAUAACCCCAAAACGAUAACGGCAAAUCAGUAAGAGACAUCAUAGAUCGCACCAUUUCUAAUAGAGUACGAUUACGACGUUCGGACACAACAUUACGCUGUGGUGUUCCAGGCGGUGUUAACUGUGAAAGAAUUCCACAUUGUCUUAAGUGAGCACCAAACUCGAAACUCAGAUAUUCACCCCCACGAUCAGACCGUAGGAACUUGAUCUUCUUGUUACGAUGAUUUUCCACUUCACUCUGAAAUUGCUUGAACUUUUCAAAUGUUUCAGACUUGCGCUUCAUCAAGUAGACAUAACCAUAUCUACUCAAAUCGUCAGUGAAGGUGAGAAAAUAACGAUAUCCGCCGCGUGCCUCCACGCUCAUCGGACCACACACAUCGGUAUGUAUGAUUUCCAACAAGUUACUUGCACGCUCCAUUGUUCCGGAGAACGGAGUCUUAGUCAUCUUGCCCAUGAGGCAUGGUUCGCACGUGUCAAGUGAAUCAAAGUCAAGUGACUCCAAAAGUCCAUCAGCAUGGAGUUUCUUCAUGCGCUUUACACCAAUAUGACCCAAGCGGCAGUGCCACAAAAAUAUGGCGCUAUCAUUGUUUACUCUAACUCUUUUGGUCUCUAUGUUAUGUAUAUGCGUAUCUUUAUCAAGAUUCAAUAUGAACAAUCCUCUCACAUUCGGUGCAUGACCAUAAAAGAUGUUACUCAUAGAAAUAGAACAACCAUUAUUCUCUGACUUAAAAGAGUAACCGUCUCGCAAUAAACAAGAUCCAGAUAUAAUGUUCAUGCUCAACGCAGGCACUAAAUAACAAUGAUUUAAGUUCAUCACUAAUCCUGAUGGUAAGUGAAGUGAAACUGUGCCGACGGCGAUUGCAUCAACCUUGGAACCAUUUCCUACGCGCAUCGUCACUUCAUCUUUCGCCAGCCUUCGUCUAUUCCGCAGUUCCUGUUUCGAGUUGCAAAUAUGAGCAACAGAACCGGUAUCGAAUACCCAGGCACUACUACGAGAGCCGGUUAAGUACACAUCAAUAACAUGUAUAUCAAAUAUACCUGAUUUUUCUUUGGCCGCCUUCUUAUNNNNNNNNNNNNNNNNNNNNNNNNNNNNNNNNNNNNNNNNNNNNNNNNNNNNNNNNNNNNNNNNNNNNNNNNNNNNNNNNNNNNNNNNNNNNNNNNNNNNUUAUACUAACAUAUGUGCUUGCAGAUGCGUUUACUAUUUUGCUAGGAUGUAGCUUUAGUAGUAAUAGCAUAAGUAGCACGACAACCACGAUGGCAACACGUUGAUGGAUGAUCAUGGUGUGGCGCCGGUGACAAGAAGAUCGUGCCGGUGCUUUGGUGAUGGAGAUCAAGAAGCACGUGAUGAUGGCCAUAUCAUGUCACUUAUGAAUUGCAUGUGAUGUUAAUCUUUUUUGCACCUUAUUUUGCUUAGAACAACGGUAGCAUUAUGAGGUGAUCUCUCACUAAAAUUUCAAGACGAAAUUNNNNNNNNNNNNCUUUUAUGCACCUUAUUUUGCUUAGAAUGACGGUAGCAUUAUGAGGUGAUCUCUCACUAAAAUUUCAAGACGAAAUUGUGUUCUCCCCGACUGUGCACCGUUGCUACAGUUCGUCGUUUCGAGACACCACGUGAUGAUCGGGUGUGAUAGACUCAACGUUCACAUAGAAUGGGUGCAAAACAGUUGCGCACGCGGAACACUCGGGUUAAGCUUGACGAGCCUAGCAUGUGCAGACAUGGCCUCGGAACACAUGAGACCGAAAGGUCGAUCAUGAAUCAUAUAGAUGAUAUGAUUAGCAUAGGGAUGCUUACCACUGAAACUAUACUCAACUCACGUGAUGAUCGGACUUGAGCUAGUGUAAGUGGAUCAUGAACCACUCAAAUGACNNNNNNNNNNUUGAUAUGAUUAGCAUAGGGAUGCUUACCACUGAAACUACUCUCGACUCACGUGAUGAUCGGACUUGGGAUAGUGUAAGUGGAUCAUGAACCACUCGAAUGACUAGAGAGAUGUACUUUUUGAGUGGGAGUUUAGCGUAUAAUUUGAUUAAGUUGAACUCUAAUUAUAUUGAACAUAGUCUAAAGUCCACUUUGAAUAUAUUUGUGUUGUAGAUCAUGGCUCACGCAAGUGUCAUCCUGAAUUUUAAUACGUUCCUAGAGAAAGCUAAGUUGAAAGAUGAUGGAAGCAACUUUGUAGACUGGACUCGUAAUCUUAAGCUAAUCUUACAAGCUGGAAAGAAGGAUUAUGUCCUUAAUGCUGCGCUAGGAGAUGAACCACCCGCUACGGCUGAUCAGGAUGUUAAGAACGCUUGNNNNNNNNNNNNNNNNNNNNNNNNNNNNNNNNNNNNNNNNNNNNNNNNNNNNNNNNNNNNNNNNNNNNNNNNNNNNNNNNNNNNNNNNNNNNNNNNNNNNUAACUAUACAUUUAUUAUUGCCUCUAGGGCAUAAUUCCAACAUGAAGACUCUUCAAGGCCUUGUGAGAAUUAUCAAGUAUGGCAAGCUCUUCCUUGAGUCUAACAUGGUCAACCCCAAGUGCAACCUUUUUGGAUUAAAGCACACGAGUAAGAACAAGAGCAUGAUCAAGAUCUUUCUUUAAUUUAGCAAGAUCAUCGUUAUGUGACUCCACAAGAGCCAAACGAAGUCCUUGCUCUUCUUCAAGAGCAAUCAAAAGAUCCGCUAUCUAAUCUGCAUAGUCACGACUAUGUCCUUGUAAUGUAGAGAUAUUUUCUUCAUGAGAUUCAAUGAGGUCAUUAGCCUCUCCUAGUUGUUCCAAGAGAGGAACAAAUGCUUCUUAGAUUUACCCUUGAUCUUUCUCAUGAAUUUGUCAAAGGAGUUUUCCUCAUCAUCUACCUCUUCCUUUUCAUCACCACUAUCAGGGGUAGUGGAAAUGGUAGCUUUGAAGUUGGUAGUUUUAAUGUUGGAUGUUACCUUGUUUGAUGCCUUGGCCAUAAGGCACUUGGCAAUGCGGUUCUCGAUGGGGGUGUUGAAGAGGGACACCUUGCUCGGAGAAGAGGAUGCAGUGGCCACGGUGGCCAUCCCCGUCACUUCCCCACUUGAAUCAGCAUCCUCAUCCUCAUCGGAGAGGUACUCUUCUUGAGCCACCAACACCUUUUGGGGCUUGUUCUUGAAGAAGUUGUUCUUGCUGGGGAAGGGCAUGGCCUUGUCUUUGCAAAUAAGUUUGCCAACAUUGUCCUCCCUCUUCUCAUAAGGACAGUCAGCUACAGACCAACUCACAUUCCCACAGUUGAAGCACGUCAUCACUCGUUGCUUGCCUUUGGACCCAUUUGAGUUGUUUUUGGAGAAAUUAGGCUUUUAGUUUCUCUUGUUGCCCCAAAACUUUCUUGACGCAAGAGCCAUAUACUCGUGAUAAGAGUUCUUGGUGUCUUCGGGACACAAAUCCUCUUCUUCUUCUUCAUCUUCCUACAAAACAGCCUUGGCCUUCAAAAGGUUGGGAGAGUCUUUUCUUGACCAUUGGACAUGGGCUAGAGCAUUGUCAUCGAUCUUGUUCACUAUGUUCAUGGCAAUGAAAUCAUCCAACACAUCACUUGAUGACAUGGAGUGAAAGUGUGGCCUUUGACGGAUGAUGGAGGACAUGGAUUUGUUGAAGGGCAUAAUAGCCUUGAUAAACUUACGCUUGAUCCAAUUGUCAUCCACAUCCUUGCGUACAUGAUCUUGAAGAGAAACUGCAAGAGUAGUCACCCUUCGUUGGAGAUCAUGAGGAACUUCAUCCUCAAUCAUAACAAAUUCAUCGGCCUCAUCAAGAAUCACUUCAUAGUUUGACCAUUGAAUACUAGAGCUUCCCUUGUACAUGGAAAUGAUGUGCUCCCAACAAUCUUUGGCAUGAGUGAAGGGACGCAAAUGGACAAGAUAUUCAAUAGGAACAGCUGCUUGAAGGAUGAACAAGGCGGAGUGGUUCAGCUGAUUGUCAAUGUCUUCUCUUGGUGUGAGGUUUACUCGAUCAUGUGGGUAGUAGCCUUGCUCAAUGAUUCUCCAAAGUUGUGUUGAGUUGUGACUCACAUGAACUUUAUAUGAAAAAGCUAGUUAGCAAAAUCAUUAUUAACAAGCUUAGGUGGAGGACCGAGUUUAAUAAUAUGCGGUGGGUGAACCGGUCCUCCAUAGACCACGGGAGGAGGAACCGAGGCAAAGGUAUUUUCCCGAGUUGUUCCUUGAGGCAAUUCAUCUCUAUCACUACUAGCAUUUUCCUUUUCGGAAUUGGUCCAUGUAUCCGAAGUUGUGGGAUUCACCACAUGCAACGGGUUGGUAGACAAUUUGAAACUAUCAAGGAAAUCUUUGAGCAUGUUCUUGACCUCGAUAGCCACUAAGGAUCUAAAGCUGGACAUGGCCUCAUUUUGGUCCUCACGGGUGACCGAGUUCGCAAGAGAUGCCUCACGCAACACCACUGGCCUAACCUCUUCGUCACACAUACUCUUUGGGUGGUGAAACCCUUAAUAAAGAAACUAGGCUCUGAUACCAAUUGAAAGGAUCGAUAUGGUUGACUAGAGGGGGGUGAAUAGGCUACUGACAAUUUUUAAGCUUUUCUUAACCAAAUUAAGUUUAGCAACAAAUAGGUUGUCUAUAUAUGCAACUAAGUGAGAAACCUAUAUGAUCCUAGCAACAGGAAUAACAAGCAAAUAACCAAUACAAGUAAAGGUAAGGAAUAACCACAAGUGGAACCGAUGAAGACAAGGAUGUGUUUCCGAAGUUCCUUCCUUUUGAAGGGAAGUACAUCUCCAUUAGAGCAGUGUGGAGGCACAAUGCUCCCCAAGGUACCACUAAGGUCACCGUGUUCUCCUCACGCCCUCACACAAUGCGUGAUGCCGUGAUUCCACUAUUGGUUCCCUUGAAGGCGGUGACCGAACCUUUACAAACAAGGUUGGGUCAAUCUCCACAAGUGAAUUGGAGGCGCCCAACAAGACUACGAAGCCUUACCACAAUGUAAUAUUGCUUCAAGGUGACCUAUUUCAUCUAGGGUUCUCAAACACCCAAGAAUAACAAUAUGUGCAAGGCAUUAGUGGGGGGAAUAAAAUUUCUCUUGGUGGAAGUGUGGAUCGAGUCCCACUCCUCCAAACCAUAAAAAAUCAACAAAAAUUGAUGACUAGGGAAGGAGAUCGGGCUGGAAUGAGCUUGGUGGCAACAAUGGAGCUUUUGGAAGGAUAAGAGGUGAGUCUCCACGGGGUAGAAGACCCACUUAUAUAGUGGUAGAAAAUAUGAACGUUUUCUGCCCAUAAGUCAUGCAGGAGCGGUAGUAUGCUUGGGGGAGCGGUACUUCCGCUUGCACGGAAGUACAAGCCGGGCAGCCAAUAGACGAGUGUCAUGGGGGGUAGUAGUUCCGCCGGAGCGGUACUACCACUCCUACCAGCGGUACUUCCAUUAUGCACUCACAGACACCCCUGACAAGAAAGAAAGAGGGAAGCAGUAUAUUAGUACCGCUCAAGGCGAUACUUCCACUACAAACUUCCGCUCAAGAAUUCAUCCGAAACAGAAUCGAAAAAAUGGGAUAUGUAAGCGGAAGUGGGCCCGGAAGUAGAGAGCGGCACUACCUCCCAAGCGGUACUACCGCUCUACUCCCAGCGGUACUUCCACUUACCAAGAACAAAGAGGACAACUUCGAAUUGCCGAGGAGGAAAGGAGGGGACGAAUGUGUAUGUGAGAGAUUCUCCCAACCUUUCCAAAUGCGGACCUCCUCUUGAUAGUACGAAUUACCGUAUGACUCAAGUACACCAACACUAAAUCAUACGAAGUACUCCAUCUUCUUGUUUAACAUCUGAGGGGAAGAAUAACCAUCUCGUGUCACCUGAUAACCUGUGAAAGCUCAAAGCACACGAUUAGUACGCAAAGGUGUUUUCAUCAACCAACAAAACAAGUUAGGGAAGAUUAUGCUCUUACGAUGUUCUUGGUUGUUCUAGGCAUAGGAAAUUUUUGAUUUGCAUGCAUGCACCUAUGGUAGAAGCCAACAGUUAAAGUAUAGAAUAUAAACAUUAAUGUUAAACUUGGAAAAAAAAUUACUUUUAUUAUUGCCUCUAGGGCAUAUUUUCAAUAGAUCGGGUGGCGGGGCAUCGGGGCGGGUGACUUGUACACAAUGACGUAGGGCACACACGGAUCGUAUAAUGGAGAGUGCGCGCAAGUCAAAUGCUUGGACGAGAUAGGUACUGGAACGUCCUUUACAGGACUAAUAUCUAUCUAUGUGUUUUUCGCUUCACAACUUCUGACCUCUUCUAGCCAUAAUCACAAAAUCACUCAACCAGAUAUAGCUUUACACGAGGAUUUUUUGGUCGGUUCCAAUAGGUGACAACAAAGUGUCAAAAGUACUUAGGUCAGCUUGACUCGGUCCCAUUGAGAGGUUUUUAUCUAGUCUCACCGAGAAGCCUAAAGUUCAAACCUUUUACACAGGUCGGUCUCACCGAGUGGUUUCACACCCCCCAAGUGUGCAUAAAGGUGUGUAACGGUUGGAAUUUCAAUGAUGCCUAUAUACGCCCCACCCAUUUCACCCAUUCUUAGAGAGCUACUGAUACGUCUCCAACGUAUCUAUAAUUUUUGAUGGUUCCAUGCUAUUAUCUUGUCAACUUUGGAUGUUUUGUAUGCAUUUUAUAUCUUUGUUGGGACUAACGUAUUAACUCAGUGCCAAGAUUCAGUUCCUAUUUUUCCGUGUUUUUGACCCUUUUCGGAGAAGAAUAUUAAACGGAGUCCAAACAGAAUAAAAUCUUCGGAAUGAUUUUUCCGUAACAAAAGAUACGCACGGAACUUGAGAACCAAGGCAAAGGACUCCGGGGGAGGCCACAAGCCCCCUAGGCGCGGCCUGGGGGGCGCCUAGCAGGCUUGUGGGCCCCCCGAAGCUCCUUUGACCUACUUCUUCCGCCUAUAAAUUCCCUAAAAAUCUGAAACCGUGGGAGGGAGCCAUGAAAAUACUUUUCCCCCGCCGCAAGCUUCUGUCUCCGCAAGAUCCCAUCUGGGGACCGUUCUGGUGCCCUGCGGGAGGGGGGAUUCGGACACGGAGGGCUUCUUCAUCAACACCAUUGCCUCUCCGAUGAUGCGUGAGUAGUUCACCACAGACCUUCGGGUCCAUAGCUAGUAGCUACAUGGCUUCUUCUCUCUCUUGGAUCUUCAAUACAAAGUUCUCCAUGAUCUUCAUGGAGAUCUAUCCGAUGUAAUCUUCUUUUGCAGUGUGUUUGUCGAGAUCCGAUGAAUUGUGGAUUUAUGAUCAGAUUAUCUAUGAAUGCUAUUUGAGUUUCCUCUGAUCUGUUAUAUGCAUGAUUUCGUAUCCUUGUGAUUCUCUUCGAGUUGUGGGUUUCGUUUGGCCAACUUGAUCUAUAAUUCUUGCAAUGGGAGAAGUGCUUGGUUUCGGGUUCGUACCGUAUGGUGUCCUCACCAAGUGACAGAAGGGGUAGCAAGGCACGCAUCAUGUUGUUGCCAUCAAGGGUAAACAUAUGGGGUUUAUAUCUAUUGCAUGAAUUUGUCCCUCUACAUCAUGUCAUCUUGCUUAAGGCGUUACUCUGUUUGUUAUGAACUCAAUACACUAGAUGCAUGCUGGAUAGAGGUCGAUGUGUGGAGUAAUAGUAGUAGAUGCAGAAAGUAUUGAUCUACUUCUCUCGGACGUGAUGCCUAUAUGUAUGAUCAUUGCCUUAGAUAUCAUCAUGACUUUGCGCGGUUCUAUCAAUUGCUCGACAGUAAUUCGUUCACCCACCGUAAUAUUUGCUAUCAUGAGAGAAGCCUCUAGUGAACACUAUGGCCCCGGGGUGUACUUCACUUCAUAUUUUCAGCUCUACACUUUCACUUUGUUGCACUUUCCGCCUUCAGAUCUCACCUUGCAAUUAAUCGUGAAGGGAUUGACAACCCCUUUAUAGCGUUGGGUGCAAGUUUGUUUGUUUUUGCGUAGGUACUUUGGAGACUUGCCUUGAUAGUUCUACUGGAUUGAUACCUUGGUUCUCAAACUGAGGGAAAUACUUACUGCUACUGUGCUACAUCACCCUUUCCUCUUCAAGGGAAAAACCAACGCAAGCUCAAGAGGUAGCAGCUACCACUUCAAAUCACACACUUUCCAUGUUCAUAUUCUGAUAGAGAACCACCUAUUCUCGUGUUGAGAUCAAAGGCCUUCCACUCCAACCAUAGAACUUUGGUCUCUCGCCCCCUCAAUUGCUUUACACCCAAAUCCCUCUUUUACCACAUAGCCAAAACCUAUGAGAGAGUGCUUAAGUGUUGAUAAGACUAUCUUGUGAAGCAUAAGAGUGAGAAGUUCACCGUCAACAACAACAUCUACUACCUUUUGGAGAGUGGUGUCUUCUAGGUUGGUUAUGUGUCGCCACUGCUGUAGAAAUGGCUAGCCACAACUCUUGUUGAUGGCGCGCCAUUUCUCACCAAUGCCAGCAGUAAUAUUUUCAAAUAGUGCUGGCGCUGGAUAAUUCGAACGCCAUAGCUAUUUGCUUAGUGUAGGGGUUGCAAAUUACGCCCAUUCGACCCACACAAACAAUAGUCGGUUUUAACAACUCGACGCAAUAAAAAAGGAACUAAUCCUUUCAUUACUCUUGAUCUCCAACUCCACCGGCCCGUCCUCCUCUUGAUCCCCGCAACCGCCCCGCCCGUUGUCGUCGCCUGACGUGUCCCGUCUCCGCCUGACACCACCCCGCCCGACGUCGCCCGCACAUCUCCUCGCCCCCGAGCACCUCCGAUGGUAAGACUACAUCCAUUUUAGUUUUUUCAGAGGAGAAAAUGUAGGUGUUUCUUAGAAUUCUAGGUUUGUUUUAGGAAUGCAUAUGUCGAUUACAUCCUUUUUAUGCAGCCAACACAUUUUAGAAAAUGUAGGUAUUUCUUAGUGUUAUAGGUUAGUUUUAGAAAAUUCAAAGGAGAAAAUGUAUGUGUUCCUUAAGUCUCCAUAGUUUGGUAGCAAAUGUUUGUCCAAAUGAUUUUUUUUCUUUUUUGGUAGUGCAGUUCUUCGUUCAUAAUUGUGUAAUACUAGGAUUUUUUUUGUUCUAAGGUGUGAUUCAUGAUAGUUAGGUAGCAUAUGUGUGCGGAUAAUGGAUUAGUGUUUUUUCUAUGUUUUCGUGGUUUCUAGAUGCAACAUCCCAUAGAAAUAAAUGAGAUUGAAUUAACAAAUCCCCGUCUCUAUGAUUAUUUAUCAAUCAAACUUUCAAAGUGAUAUAAAAAAUAGGUAUCUACACAAUUGAUCUAUCUCUUCCUUUUGUGCAGCUAACACGCUCAUAUUAGUUUCUCAUUUGGAAACCUGAUUGUAAAAAGGGAGAAGAUAAAAAUGUACUUCUAAAAGAACAAGGACUUGAUGUUGUAUAACAAGACUAGUGUUGGGAAAUGAACCCUUACUUUUUCUAGAAACUUAGUUCUUUUUUUGUAGAAACUUCAUUCUUUUUUGUAGAAACUUAGUCCUUUUUGGCAUGGAGUUCACAGGUUUCAAUAGAUAUUGUUAAUUAUACCAAAGUACGCGAAACAUUCAAAUAAAUAGUUGAUGAUACACUCUAAAACAUUACAUAGUUGAUUAUAGAGCUUGCACGUGUUUCUAUCUAAUGUGUCUACAAUUUUUUUGAUAAUACACUCUAAAACAUUACAUCACAAGGUUUUCUAUUUGAUGCUACAACAUGGUUGACUCUAGCAUUUGGGAAGGCUCCUGUGAUAACUCAUCGGAGUUUGCCAAAGAUAAAUGUCGAGUGAGCACAAACCAAGUAAUUAUGGUUAAAAAAACAUGCACGCGAUUGCAAACAUCAAUAUAUCUAACCAUUAAUUAAUUGUUGAUGUUUUUGAAACCCUUGCGAGGCAUACAUACGGGGCCCGCCUUCUCCAUCGCCAAUUGAGAAGCAGACAUGUGCCAUGUACGUGCUCAAUCACGAGUUGGUCGCGCAUAAUAGUAUCGUCAAGGUCGUGGAAGAGUUAAUUGCUUCCUCGACGAAGGAGAGGGAUAAAAUUACCGAUGACAAUGAUAUUGCAUAUGAUAAGAUUUACAGUCUCAAAUGUCAAAUCACGUCGUUGAACCUCAAGAUAACUAAUUAUAAGAAUGAAAUACAAGUCCUGAAGUCCGAGAGGACUCAACUGAAGAUGGACAAAGCACAUUACGUCAUGGAGGGGAAGAUGCAUAGGAAUAUGCUCCGUGAGCUUAAGUUAGUCCUUAGAAAAUAGGUAGUGAGAGGCAGAUUGAUAUACAUUGUGAUCGAAGUUGGUGCUUUCUUUUAUGAAUUGGUAACUUUUGUGAAUUGCUGAAAUGUUUAGUUUGUGAAGUUGGUAACUUUUGUGAAUUGCUGAAACGUUUAGUGUCGUGGUUUUGUCACGGCAGAUGUCCUCGUGAAAGGACUUAGUACUGGAGCCAUCGCACCUUGGUGGCGACUCAAAGGGGUUAAACGGGAGGAACACGGCGAUUUACCCAGGUUCGGCCCCUCGAGAGGAGGUAAUAGCCUACGUCCAGCUUUGUGUGUAUUGAUGUGGAUUCGAUUACAAGGGAGGCGUAACUCGCCUAACCUAGCACUCGAUGAUUUUCUACCCCCCUCUCUUCCUUAGGACUCGCCUUUAUAUAUAGGUCNGCCAGGCCGAAGCCCGGGUAACCUAGAGGAUGAAUCGCCUUACUGGUAACCCGGCCCAUCUUGGGCGGGUCACUUAAUAAGUAAUAUCCCCAACAUUAGGCCCCAGAUUGACUUGAACUUUCACGCCAAUGCUUCCGCUCAGUUGAAGGUGAUUCACUCCUUCGUCUUUCUCCAUACGUCAGAAAUUGUAACUCGCCAUCUGGCACCGAAAAAAUCUUUGAAUCGCCAAACCAUUUCCUGUUGGCAUCUUCUUAUCCCUCGAUUCUCGGGAAAACUAACAUAAUCCCAACGGAUCUUUAGUGCAUCGUUAUACCAAAAUCUUCGGACGUCAUCAUGGCGAAUCUUUUUAUUCCCCAGCGGUUCCCGCUCACGGCGCCUCGAUUCCAGCGCCCGUCCCGAUAAAUAGACGGAGGGGACAGGGAUGGCGCUUCCCACCUACCAGUCUCGUCAGUCCCCCCCAUUAUCACAGCAAAAGGCCUCAUCGCCUCCCGAGGGCUCCGCCGCCGGCCCCACCUUCCGCCCUCGUCCGAGAAGCUUCAGCGCCGCCCAUAAGCCGUUGCCGUCGUCAAGCCUCGCACCUCGGACGAUCCGUCCGCCGCCAUUGACCAUCGCAUCAUCAUGGACCACCUCAUUGCUCGCCUCGAACUCCGCCGCCGCCGAAGAUUUCUUUGUUCGUCGGGACCCCCGUGCUUCUUCAACGAUCUCCGUCACCGCCGGCCUUCUUCGAUCGAGAGCAUCAGGUUAGGCCUUCAUUCACCUUCUUAGGAGUAGGUUCAUUCCUUGCUUGAGCUUUCGCCAUUGCCAUACCUUUGAAGCUUUUCGCUCAUAGUUGCUCAUCUUCCUCGAAUCAAUUAGCACGAGCAUCGAUAGGGUAGCCAGUGCCCUGAAUAAUUUUAAUUAUCCGCUGUACUCGCGAAUCUUUGAACACAAUGUCUUCACCAAACGAGGGGCGUCACUUGAUAAUAAAUUGUCCGUGCCCAGUUAUAUUCGUAGGUUUUCACAUCUGUUUGGUAGAUCCAAUCCUCAUUUACUAUUUGCGAAAAGCCGUUUGUAGCCUUCAUCCCCCCCCCCUUAGUGCUUCGGAGUGAAUAGAUUUUACCAUCCGCGGAAACGUAGCCUUUGGGAAUAACCCUACUUACAUAAGUCGCCAUAGCAACCCAACCCGGCCUCUUGGUCUAGCGGGUUAAAUGAACCGAUUUCUUCCCAUAUAGUAGGUGUCCAAGACAUGUAAUAUCAUACUUUUACCUACUUGUAGCAUGGGCGCCGUCUUCAAGAGUGACUGGCUUCCUACCAAGGUUGAUGACGCUGUCUUAGCUAAUUAUGUGAAAGCGGGCUGUUUGGAUCCUCAAGAUGUCAUUGGAUGGCGCACCGGGUUGGGAGAAGAUCUCCCUAACCCCAAAGAAGGGGAAAUAUUAGUUUUUGUUGAACAUUUGGAACGGGGUUUUAAGCCGCCCGGAUCGAAAUUUCUUAGGGACGCUUUGACCUUCAUGAACGUCCGACUCCAGGAUCUGGGACCCAAUUCCAUAAGCAAUUUGAGCCAGUUCCAAGUUCUUUGUGAAGCUUAUCUGCGGAUCGAGCCUUCUGUCCCUCUAUUCUGGCAUUUUUUCAUCUGAAUCGCCAGACGGAAUUCCACAAUGCCCCAGUUCCCUUCACUCAUCAUGCCUAGCCAUCCCAAGGGCUGGGGCGAAUCUUGGUUUUAUUGUCAAGAGACGUCUCCUGCUGGUGAGAAUAAGCUUCUGGGUUACAGGCCAACCCGCCUUCCGGUCAACUUCAAGCUCCCAGACAAGCUCACCGAGGAAGAAGAGUCGGAGUUCAUCCCAAUAUUAUCUGAGCUGAGAUCCCUGACGAACAAUGGUCUUACCGGGGUUGACCUGAUCUGCUGCUGGGUCGAAUGGCGGAUUCUUCCUCUGAGCCGCCGAGAUGGCCUGAUGUGUGAGUUUGAUGGCACUCUGGAUCAUCCUCAAUGCUACUUUCACACAGCAUUAACAGAAAAGGACAUUAUUGCCAUCAUCAAAAAGUUGACCGGCGAGCCUACGGGAAAGUACGGCCAAAUCGGCCUUAAGCCCUUUUGCAAGAUUAACCCGGCGCCCAAGGUAACCAAAACUGACCCGCCCUCGGUAUUUAUCCCUUCUGUUUCAUUGCCGUCAUGGUUUCAUAAUAUAUACCUUUUCAGAAAGGCGAUAAGUUCUGGUCCAGGAGACCUAAAAAGCAAGCCAUGAAAACUGUUAAGCCGCCCUCUAAGAAAGCCAAGGGCAAAGGAAAAUCUGCUGCGGCUGAGCCAUCCGAAGUCGACGAAUCUCAAGUCGGCGAUGUACUUUCAGAGGUACAAAUCCGUCCUCUUUUCACUCGCCACCUAUCACUUUUUACCUUUUAUUUAUAUCUUUCUUUCUCCUUGUAAUAGAAUGAAGAUAACGAAAGCCAAGAAGACUCUGUUGAGGUAAUUUCUGUUUCCUUCGAUUCAUCUCCUUCUCCACCUAAGCCGGCCCGGCGAAUAUGUGGGAAAGUCCCCUUCUCACAUCCAAAUGCUUAUUUGGAUGCAAAUUUCCUACUGAAGAAAACAUAGCAUGCCUCAAACCGGAAAACACGAAGUCACUGUGGCGAUCUGGUAUCUGGCUUACCAGCAACGAACAAAAGAAAGCCAAGCGAGGUACUUUUAUGAGUAACCAUUAUUCGUGCUUCUUUGGAUCAUAUUUGUAACCCGCCUGUAUUAUUGAUAUAUAACUCUUUGCAGAACUCUCCUCCAACUUCCGGAGACUCAGUGAUGUCAACACUUCCACCAAUGAUUCGAGUUCCAGGGUAAGUCUUUUGAUAACCUUGCCUCGACUUUUGAGAAUAACGAUCUUUUCAAUUCCUUAACGUGCUUAUUCCCUUUUGUUAGGGCACAAGCCAAGAAAAGGAAAACCAGUGGAUCAAUUCCUGAUGCAACUUCAGAACCCCCAAAGAAAUCAACUCCGACUCAAGACGAUCCGGAUCAUGAUGAGCCUGCGAUUCUAGUGGAUUUUCCUGAGUCGCCGAAGGAAACAAUGGAUGCCUCUAAAUCGCCGAACCCAUUGAUGACAACAGAAGACCCAGAUGUUGUAGUUAUUACUGGCUCUGGCUUUUCUAAGCCGGCAGCGACAGUUUUGUCCAAACAUGUAGCAUCCUCCUCUCAGGCCAUUCUCGAGUCUGGGCUCUCCAAGGCGAAAAUUUCCGACUAUGCAAAUCUGGAGUUUAAGGAACUCUGUUCUGGCUUUGCAAGUCGCCUAGAGGCGAGCUAUGAGAUGGAAAAAACCUGCUGAAGAUGUUAAACAACAAACAUGAGGUAAAUUUUGUUAUACUUAUAUUAUUCCCAGUAACCCCCAAGGGCCGGGUCAUCAGGAAAAAGAUGAGCCGGGUCUUGAAAUUUUAGAAAAAGCUUCACGACCAGUAACCCCCAAGGGUCGGGUCAUCAGGAAAAAGAUGAGCCGGGUCUUGAAAUUUUAGAAAAAGCUUCGCGACCAGUAACCCCCAAGGGCCGGGUCAUCAGUAAAAAGAUGAGCCGGGUCUUGAAAAUGUAGAAAAAGCUUCACGACCAGUAACCCCCAAGGGCCGGGUCAUCAGUAAAAAGAUGAGCCGGGUCUUGAAAAUGUAGAAAAAGCUUCGCGACCAGUAACCCCCAAGGGCCGGGUCAUCAGUAAAAAGAUGAGCCGGGUCUUGAAAAUGUAGAAAAAGCUUCGCGACCAAUCUUGAUUUCUGUAUAAUUUCUCCGGAAAAAAUUAUGCAUUAGCCCCCAAGUGUCAGGGAUAUUGCUUUGCAGUAAUUCUGAGACUUGUCCUUAUUUUAAACUUUCAAUAGGAAAACCUUGCUCAGACCGAAUUGGCGCUGGGCGAUUUAAGGAAAAACUUAGCUGAACAACAAGACGCCCGAACUCAGUCGGAAGAAAAGUGUAAAUUGGCUCUGACCGAACUGGAAAAACUCAAAGCCGAGUUAGAAAAAGCACAAGCUGACCAAAACGCCGCUUUGAAGAGAGCAGAGAAAGCUAAAGCGAAGCUGGUGACUGUUCAACAGGAGUUAUCCGGCUUAAAACGUCAUAUCUCUAACAUGAUGCAAGCCAUCUUUGGUAAACCUUACCUAAAUAUUCAACCUUAUCCCCCCCUUUUUUUUACUCAAAUUUCUGAUGUUAAGUCGCUAAUCAUCAUAUUUCAGGUCCAAGAGUCGCCAACCUGCAAGAAGACUGUGUGUUGAUGCUGAAGGCGAUUUAUACGCUGACAGAGCAGUUGUACACAGGCAGUGUGUUGACCGUCAAAGCUGUGAUGGGUGCCAAAAACCUAUUACUUCCAUCAAGAAGGUACUUGGAUGUUUGUCCACACUUCCUCCCCAGAUUGGCGAGUUAACCCGGUCAGCCACCCGGAAAGGUGUCCUGACUGCCGUGAGUCGCUGCUUAGCGUAUGCCCCAGAGAUCAAUUUAGAAGAAGUAGCCGCUGGCUUCCCUCAACUUAACGACGAUGGAUCGGAAUUUGUUGAAGAGGAUUACCAAAAAGUUGUCAAGGAUUCUCGGCUGGCUGCAACUCGACUCGCCGCAAGCCUUGAUUUAACGAAGUACCAGGCGGCUUAUGAUAGUAGGAAUAAGAAAGUCAGCCCGCCAACCUUCGUGGUGACCAACCUAAUUCCUCGGCGACCCAAGAAUCCUUUCGACUGGGAAGCAUACUUGGCAUCAAUUUUGACCGACGAAGACGACUUUGCUACUUUGGCCAGGUGCAAUUGGGUAUUGGGCGAUUUACAAAUCAAAGUUGGUCAGAGCUCACGCCAGGAUUUAGCGAAGUAGACUUUCCUGAAUUUGGCCUGCGAGCCAUGUAAUAGUCAGUACUGUUUUUUGAUGAUAUCUUCUGCGAGAAAAACCCUUAUAUCGCUUUUUAAGGCGAUUUGAAAUAUUUGGCCCGCCUUUAUAAGAGUCUUCUAUAAUGCUUAAUCUGCCAAGGAUGAAACAAAUCUUAGCACCCCCCGGUCUUAAGCUUUGAAAACAUCAUCUGUGAAAACAAAUGAACUAUGGAUAGUUUCAACAAGUAUGUAGAAAGGAAAAAUGGUUUAAAACCUUCAAGAUUAAAUCAUAAUAAAAGUAACUUCGUCGGCUCAUACGGUCGCGACAGGGGGAGGCGAGUCAGAAAGCUCGUGCACCCACCCUAAAUGCAGGUUUCGUCGGCUCAUACAGUCGCGACAGGGGGAGGCGAGUCAGAAAGCUCGUGCACCCACCCUAAAUGCAGGUUUCGUCGGCUCAUAAGGUCGCAACAGGAUGACACAAUUUGCAUUUUUCAAUGAAGAAGCCCCCAAGUCGGAGAGUGUUUUAUUACUUCAUAAUGAAACUGAAAAACUUACAAAACGUGGAGCUUUAAGAGCUCAAGUGUAGUAAGGCCGCAAAUGAGCAAUAUUCCAGGGGCGAGUUGACUGAGCCUCUGUAGUCGGUCGAUUAGGCCGAAGAUCCAUCAAAUAAUAAGAGCCAUUGCGGAGGUUCUUGCUGACGACGAACGACCCUUCCCAAGGGGAUGAUAGCUUGUGCAUGCCUGCCCGAUCUUGUAUCAGACGAAGUACUAAGUCGCCCUCCUGAAAAGUCCGACUCUUAACCCGGCGACUAUGAUAACGCCGCAGAUCUUGCUGGUAGAUAGCCGAACGCGCCGCAGCCAGGUCACGCGACUCUUCCAAGGCAUCCAAGCAAUCCUGACGCGUCAGCUCAUUAUCUUACUCCACAUAUGCAGCGACUCUAAGAGAAUCAUGUCUUAUGUUAGUAGGGAGGACAGCCUCUGCUCCAUAGACCAAAAAGAAAGGAGUGAACCCUGUGGAUCGAUUCGGGGUGGUCCGAAUACUCCACAGUACCGAAGGUAAUUCUUCAACCCAACACCCUAGAGUCCUUUCCAGGGGAACCAUGAGCCGAGGUUUAAUCCCUCGCAAGACUUCCUGAUUCGCCCGCUCUGCUUGCCCGUUGGACUGCGGGUGAGCAACUGCAGAAACAUCAAGCCGGAUAUGUUCUCGACGACAAAAAUCCAGCAUCGCUCCUUGGGACAAGUUAGUACCAUUGUCCAUGAUAAUACUGUGCGGAUAUCCAAAACGGAAAAUCAUCUUUUUCAGAAAUUUGACCGUUGUCUCUGCAUCGCAAGCUCCAACAGGUUCCGUCUCAACCCAUUUAGUGAACUUAUCAACUGCCACCAAUAAGUGAGUUUUCUUGUUAGAGGACAUUUUAAAGGGACCGACCAUGUCCAGCCCCCAGACCGCGAAGGGCCAAGUAAUGGGAAUCAUCCUCAAUUCUUGAGCCAGCACAUGAGCCUGUCUCCCAUAUCGUUGGCACCCCUCGCGCCGUCGUACUAUGUCUUCCGCAUCGGCAUGAGCCGUCAGCCAAAAGAAACCAUGUCGAAAAGCCUUUGAAACCAAAGAACGUGACCCAGCGUGAUGCCCGCAGUCUCCAGAAUGAAUGUAAUUUAGGAUCACGCAUCCUUCCUCGGAGGAAACACACCGCUGAAAGACCCCAGAAGCACUCCAUUUAUAUAACUCGCCAUUAAUGAUGACCAUGGAUUUGCUACGUCGAACGAUCUGGCGAGCCAAAACUUCGUCGGUGGGUAAUUCGCCGCGAGUGAGAUAAGCCAGAUAAGGAAGAACCCAGUCCGGAGCGACAUGGAGAGCCGCCACGAGCUGAGACUCGGGAUCUAGUAUCGCCAACUCCUCCUCCGUGGGUAAAGCCACAGACGGUUUAUGCAAGAUAUCCUAAAAAACAUUAGGGGGACCGGUUUUCUUUGUGAGCCGAGUCGCGAGAGGGCAUCAGCUGCUUCGUUGAGUCGCCGAUCAACAUGAUCCACCUGAUAUCCAUGAAAAUAGCCCGCCACAUCAGACACAGCUCGUCUGUAAGCCGCCAUCAUAGGAUCCCGAAAGUCCCAGGUACCCGAAACCUGUUGCGCCACCAAAUCUGAAUCACCAAAACAUCUGACUCGGGUUAGGUUCAUCUCUUUUGCCAGUCGCAAACCGUGAAGCAGAGCUUCAUAUUCCGCCGCAUUAUUCGUGCAGGGAACCAUGAGUCGGAGAACAUAACAGAACUUAUCUCCUUGCGGAUUAUCAGCACCACACCAGCCCCCGAGCCCUCCAACUGCCUGGAUCCAUCAAAGUAAACAGUCCAAUAGGUAAGGUCAGGCCGAUCUUCCGGAGCCUGAAGUUCCGUCCAAUCGUUGACGAAAUCAACUAGUGCCUGGGAUUUGAUGGCUGUGCGGGGGGUAUAUUGUAUGUGAUGAGACCCAAGCUCUAUCGCCCAUUUGGCGAUUCGCCCUGUUGCCUCCCGAUUUUGGAUGACGUCACCGAGGGGGGCGGAACUGACCACAGUGAUCGGGUGCUCCUGGAAAUAAUGUUUAAGCUUUCGACUCGCCAUAAACACCCCAUAGACCAGUUUUUGCCAAUGCGGGUAUCGCUGUUUGGAAAGAGUUAACACCUCAUUGAUAAAAUAUACCGGACGUUGCACCGGGUAUUCCUUUCCUUCCUCCUUUCUUUUGACGACCACAGCCAUGCUGACUGCCUUGGAAUUUGCCGCGAUAUACAGGAGCAUAGGCUCCUUUUCAGUUGGGGCUGCCAGGACCGGCGGGUUAACCAAUUGAUGUUUCAAGGCCUGAAGCACCUCGUCUGCCUCAUCUGUCCAUACGAAUCGGUCGGAUUUCCUCAACAAUUGAUAAAGAGGAAUCACCUUUUCCCCAAGGCGGCUCACGAAACGACUUAGAGCCGCAAUGCGGCCCGCCAGUCGCUGAACUUGAUUAACAUUCGUCGGCUUCCCGAGAGAGGUAACCGCUUCAAUUUUGUCCGGGUUAGCCUCGAUGCCGCGCUCCGAUACCAAGAAACCCAGUAAUUUUCCUGCAGGUACACCAAAAACGCACUUGGUAGGAUUUAGCUUCAUCUGAUAUACUCGUAAAUUAUCAAAGGUUUCCUUAAGGUCUUCCAAAAGUGUCUCCCCCUGGCGGGUCUUGAUCACAAUGUCGUCAACGUAAGCAUGGACGUUGCGGCUAAUUUGGUUAUGAAGACAAUUCUGGAUGCAGCGUUGAUAAGUCGCCCCUACGCUCUUGAGUCCGAACGGCGUGGACACAUAAAAAAAGGCCCCGAAGGGGGUUAUGAAGGCCGUCUUCUCCUGAUCUUCCACGGCCAUCUUGAUCUGAUGAUAACCUGAAUAGGCGUCCAAAAAGCACAAUCGUUCGCAUCCCGCCACCGAGUCAAUGAUUUGGUCGAUGCGGGGAAGAGCGAAAGGAUCUUUGGGACAAGCUCUGUUGAGAUCCGUAUAGUCAAUACACAUACGGAAAGUGCCAUUCUUCUUGAGUACUAACACCGGGUUAGCCAGCCAUUUGGGGUGAAAAACUUCCACGAUGAACCCGGCGGCUAAAAGACGGGCGACUUCUUCUCCAAUCGCCUUGCGUCGCUCCUCGUUAAAUCUGCGAAUGUACUGUUGGACAGGUUUGCAUUUUGGGUCAAUAUUAAGAUGGUUCUCAGCGAAUUCUCUCGGUACACCCGGCAUGUCAGAGGGCUUCCAUGCAAAGAUGUCCCGAUUCUCACGGAUGAAUUCGAUGAGCGCGCUUUCCUAUUUGGGGUCCAGACCCGUCCCAAUGGUGAACUGCUUGGAUGAAUCGCCAGGCACAAAAUCGAUUGUCUUAGUAUCAUCCGUCGGUUUGAACUUGAGGGGCGACUCAGAAUCUGUAGUCGGCUUCUUGAGUGGUGACAUGUCUGCCGGGUCAACAUUGGCCCGAUGAUGUUUGAGCUCUUCCGCCGCACAGGCGACUUCCGCAUAAGUCGCGUCCCCUUCCUCACACUCCUUUGCGAUUCUUCUAUCUCCGUCAACCGUGAUGGGUCCUUUAGGACCAGGCAUUUUGAGCUUGAGGUAGACGUAGCACGGGCGGGCCAUGAAGCGGGCGUAAGCCGGUCGCCCGAACAGCGCAUGGUACGGGCUCUUCAGCUUGACCACCUCGAAGAUUAGAGACUCCGACCUGUAAUUCUGCGCAGUUCCAAACGCUACUGAGAGCCUGACCCGGCCUAUGGGAUAAGCCGACUUUCCCGGGACAAUGCCGUGGAAAACCGUGGUUGAAGGCAUCAAGUCUUUCUCCAAUAGAUUCAUCCUCCGGAAGGUGUCGAAGUAUAGGAUAUUAAUGCUGCUGCCACCAUCCAUUAAUACCUUUGACAGGGUGUAACCCCCCACUUGGGGAGCCACGACUAAUGCCAGGUCGCCCGGGUUAUCUAUUCUUGGCGGGUGAUCCUCUCUGCUCCAUGUUAUGGUCUGCUCGGACCAGUGGAGAUAUCUGGGAAUCGCUGGCUCAGUUACACUGUACGCCCGGUGAUUUACCCUUUUAUCACGCCUGCAAGCAUUAGUGGUGAAAACGUGGUACUGCCCAUUACUUAGCUGUUUGGGAUUGCUGCGGAAGCCCCCAUUGUCAUCGUGGUCCUGUGGAGCCCCCUGUGGGGGCGGCUGCUGGAAAACUCCCAGCGGGUUGUACCGCCGCUAGUGGUGCACCGGGUACUGGCCGCCGCCUGGUUGCGGGCCUCCCUGAGCCCCCUGUUCGGGAAAACCGCUGAAGGGGUUCUGCCUUUGGUUGGACGCGGCGAGUUGGUCCUGGCGCCGGUUCGGAUCUUCGUUUUGGCUCUUCUUGAUUGCCUCCGCCCAAAAUUCUCGCAUCACGAAACAGUUCUCCCAAGAGUGGCCCGCCGGGCCGUCGGCCGUGGUGUGGUGCGGGCAAGGGCCUUUGAGUAGCUCUUCAUAGUUACGCGGCCUUUUCCCACUGAAACCUCGAUUCUUCUUUUUGUCGUCAUUGGCAUUGGUGUUGGCAACCAAGUCCGAGGGCUCCUCCUGUGGCCUACGCUUGCCGUUGGUCCCCUGAUUGUGACGGUUGCGGCCCUGGAAACGGGUGUGAUUUUUUGUCGAAUCGCCCUUUUUGGGCGAGUUACCCUUACCAUCCUCGCCGGGAUCCUUGGUAUCAUCGGCCUCGGCAUACCUAGUGAGGGUGUCCAUCAGUUCGCCCAUGUCCUGAACUUUCCGUUUGAGUCGCCCCAAUUUCUGGACCAACGGUUCAUAGUGGCAGUUGUGCUCGAGGAUAAGCACAGCUUGUGCUGCCGUGAUACCAUCUGACGAAUGAAUAAUUUCUGCGACCCGUCGUGACCAAUGGUGUGCCGACUCAUCCGGGCGUUGUACGCAGUGUUGUAAGUCGACGAUCGUCAUCGGUCGUUUACUGGUUCCCCGGAAGUUUUUGAUGAAACGCUCUUUCAGCUCGGCCGAGGACUGGAUAGAAUUGGGAGGUAAGUUUUUCAGCCAAGUGCGCGCCGACCCCUCGAGCAUCAUGGUGAAAUAUCUGGCGCAAACCGCCUCAUUUACGUCGAGCAUGUCCAUGGCAAUCUCAUAGCCCUCGAUCCAUGAUGUUGGUUCGAGAUCUGGUGUGUAAUUAGGCACCUUUCUUGGUCCCUUAAAAUCCUUGGGCAUUCUUUCGUUCCGAAGGGCUAUGGACAAGCACGGUACCCCAACUCGCCCUCCGGUCCCUACGAGGGGGGCCUGGGCGUCUUGAAUGUUGGGGAGAUCUCUGCUCGGCGGGUUCCGCUCGGGCGGGUUGUCCUGCGGGAAGUGUCGCGGGCCACUGUUUACGGCUAGCUGAUCCUCCAGCCUACUCCUCGUAUAGCUCGCCUGAGGGGUGGAGUGCAAUCUCUCAAGGCUGUGUGAGAACUGUGCGUUUUGAACCACCGUUGUCUUCAACAUCUCGAUGGCAUUCCUUGCUUCUAUCUCAGCUGGGGUGUUGCCGUGAAUCGGGAGAGACUCCAGGUGGCGAGUUGCGGCAAGCACAUUAUCCACCAGAUUGGAGAAGUGGCCUUGGGGGGUCCAGAAACGGGGAAUCUGGCCCUCGGUCGGAUGAUCCGGCGGGUUAGGUGGGCGACCCUCUCCUCCUGCUGGGGCGGCUCCUACCCCGGGGGUUCGUGGAGUAUCGAACAAACGGGUCGGAUUGAGGUCGUGAGGCAGGCGCCCCUGGUGUCUUCUCUGAUGGACGGCAUCGGACGCGCGCUGCUGUCUUUCGAGUCGCCAAUGGUCGGUGUUUAAACGCAUCCUUUCGGCCGUAAUUUGGGCUUGCCGAGUCUCGAUUCUGGCGGACUCCACCUCAGCAUCCCGGUGGGUUUUAGCCACCGCCUCUCUGAGCUCUGCUAACUCUGCGUUUAUCUCUUCUUGGUUCUCCGGCGUGAGGGGAGUCGCCGUUAGUCUCGUGAUCUCUGCUGCUAAAUCCGCCAGGACUGCGGCUGGGCUCCUGGACGCUUCGCCAGUCCCAGCGCCUCCAGUGGGGUUUUGUGUCGGCUGAGUCGCUCCGGCCAUGUAGAUGGCGAUCUGGCGGCGGGUUCGGUCAAGCACUUCCGGAUCCAUGGCCAGAGAUAAGCCUCUGAGGCCGUCCCCGUGGAGGGACCGGAUAGAAUCUGAGUCGCCCAUGGAUGAUUCAUCGCCCGAGUUGAUCGGGGUAAUCUCCUGACUCGCUGGGUGCUCUGGCUCCUCCGAUCCCUGCGUGAACCCCACAAAGACCGGGCGACUUAAGUUUCGUGUUAUAACUGGGCGGACGUACCUGGCCGGCUCGACGAUGUCGGUGGAGAUGUCCGGCUCAGGGACGGGUGAUCCGAUCAUGCCGAUGAAGACGUUGAUUCCGUCGAAGGGGACCCUGUAGCCAGAUUCGAUCGAACUCGCUUCGGGUCCCCAUAGCUGGUUGUCGAUGUAGAUUAUCCCGCGGCGGCUCCGGGACAUGAGCGCCGUCGCGUAACUCCCAAACCCUGGUAGGGCUCCCUUUGAGAACUCAACUCCACCGUGCGCAGGCCCCACGGUGGGCGCCAACUGUCGUGGUUUUGUCACGGUAGAUGUCCUCGUGAAAGGACUUAGUACUGGAGCCAUCGCACCAUGGUGGCGACUCAAAGGGGUUAAACGGGAGGAACACGGCGAUUUACCCAGGUUCGGCCCCUCGAGAGGAGGUAAUAGCCUACGUCCUGCUUUGUGUGUAUUGAUGUGGAUUCGAUUACAAGGGAGGCGUAACUCGCCUAACCUAGCACUCGAUGAUUUUCUACCCCCCUCUCUUCCUUAGGAUUCGCCUUUAUAUAUAGGUCGAGGCCUUAUGGUUUACAAGAGUCCCUUCCUUCUUACAAUUCGUGACCAUUGUGGUCUCUAAGUCGCCGUCCUUCAAAACCCGGAGACCUUCCGGAAAUCAUAACCAUCCCGCGGCCUUGAACCGGCCAGGCCGAAGCCCGGGUAACCUAGAGGAUGAAUCGCCUUACUGGUAACCCGGCCCAUCUUGGGCGGGUCACUUAAUAAGUAAUAUCCCCAACAUUUAGUUUGUGAAGUUUCCACUGUUGUGUAUUUUUUAGUUAAAUAUGACAAUGUUGGCCCGCGGUUCUGUAGAAAUGUUGGAAAUAUUCCCUGGAGGCAAUAAUAAAUUAGUUAUUAUUAUAUUUCCUUGUUCAUGAUAACCGUCUAUUAUACAUGCUAUAAUUGUAUUGAUUGGAAACUCAAAUAGAUGUGUGGGUACAUAGACAACACACUAUCCCUAAUGAACCUCUAAGGACUAGCUCGUUGAUCAAAGAUGGUCAAGGUUUCCUGACUAUAGACAAGAGUUGUCAUUUCAUAAUGGGAUCACAUCAUUAGGAGAAUGAUUUGAUGGACAAGACCCAAACUAUGAAUGUAGCAUGUGAUCGUGUCAGUUUAUUGCUACUGUUUUCUACAUGCAUGUCAAGUAUCUAUUUGUAUGACCAUGAGAUCAUGAAAAUCCCGGGAACCGGAGGAGUGUCUUGUGUGUAUCAAACGUCACAACGUAACUGGGUGACUAUAAAGGUUCUCUAAAGGUAUCUCUAAAGGUGUGUGUUGGGUUGGCGUGAAUCAAGACUAGGAUUUGUCAGUGCGUAUGAUGGAGAGGUAUCUCUAGGCCCACUCGGUAAUACAACAUCACAAUGAGCUUGCAAGCAAUGUGUCUAAGGAGUUAGUCACGGGAUCUUGUAUUACGGAACGAGUAAAGAUACUUGCUGGUAAUGAGAUUGAACUAGGUAUGGGGAUACUGGCGAUCGUAUCUCGGGCAAGUAACAUACCGAUGGACAAAGGGAAUAGUAUACGGGAUUGAUUGAAUCCUUGACAUCAUGGUUCGACCGAUAAACAUCUUCAUAGAAUAUGUAGGAACCAAUAUGGGCAUCCAGAUCCCGCUAUUGGUUAUUGACCCUAGAGGUGUCUCGGUCAGGUCUGCAUGGUUCUCGAACCCGUAGGGUGUGCACACUUAACGUUCGGUGACGCUAGAGUAGUAUUGGGAUAUGUACGUUGGUGACCCAAUGUUGUUCGGAGUCCCGGAUGAGAUCUCGGACAUCACGAGGAGCUCCUGAAUGGUCCGGAGGUAAAGAUUUAUAUAUGGGAAGUCCUAUUUUGGCUAAUGGAGAAGUUUUGGUUUUAUCGGUAUUGUACCGGGAAGCUUCUGGAAGGUUCCAAAGGAUUCCGGAGCAGUCCGGAAGGGUCCCUCCAUCCCCUAGAACGUGCAUGGGAUGUAAGGAGGCGUCCAAACCAUGUUGGGCCAGCCCCCUAGGGCCCAUGCGAUUGGGAGAGAAGAGUCCCUAAAGGGGAAGGCACCUACUAGGUUCCUUGGCGACGGAGGAAACCUCUCUAGGCCCACACCCCCUCCUUGGAGGAGGGGCUAUGGCUGCAACCCAGCCCUCCCCCUUGCCUCCUAUAUAUAGUGGGGGAGCGAGGGGCUGAACACACCAAUUCCCACGCCCCAGGGGCAGCCCUACCUCUCCCAUAACUCCGUUUUCUCCUCAGAUCGGUUCCGGCAGCGCUUGGCGAAGCCCUGCUGGCACUGCUCCACCAUCAUCUCCACCAUGUUGUCCUUCUGGUUGAGAUCCCAUCUACUUCACCUUCCUCUCUUUAUGGAUCAAGAAGGAGGAGACGCCGUCGAGCUGUACGUGUGCUGAACGUGGAGGUGCCGUCCGUUCGGCACUAGAUCGGGAUGGAUCGUGAUAGAUCGUUGGACGGAUUAUGAUGGGAUCGUGGGACGGAUCAUGAUGAGAUCGCAGGACGGAUCAUGAUUGUAACACGAAUAUGUUCGACUACAUCAACUGCGUUAUAUACGCUUCCGCUUAGCAAUAUACAAGGGUAUGUAGAUGCACUCCCCCUCUCGUUGAUGUUAGUCUCCAUAGACUAAUCUUGGUGUGCGUAGGAAAUUUUUUGUUUCCCAUGCGACGUUCCCCAAUAGUGGCAUCAUGAGCUAGGUCUAUGCAUAGAUUACAUCACGAGUAGAACACAAAUGAGCUUGUGGGCGUUGAUAUUUGUAUUGCUUCCCUCCUUAGUAUUUUCUUGGUUCAGCGGUAUUGUGGGAUGAAGCGGCCCGGACUAACUUUACUCGUCGACGUACGAGAGACCUGUUCCAUCGACUAAUAUGCAACUUGUUGCAUAAAGAUGGAUGGCGGGUGUAUGUCUCUCCCAUUUUAGUUGAACCGGAUUCGACAGAGGCGGUCCUUGUAGAAGGUUAAAUAGCAACUUGCACAUCACUGUUGUGGUUUUGGGUAGGUAAGAAGCAUUCUUACUAGAUACCCAUAGCAGCCACGUAAACCAUGCAACAACAAAUUAGAGAAUGUCUAACUUGUUUUUGCAGGGUAUGUUGUGACAUGAUAUGGCCAAAGACAUGAUGAUAUAUAUUUGAUGUAUGAGAUGAUCACGUUGUAAUAGUUAAUAUCGACUUGCAUGCCGAUGCUACGGCAACCGAAAGGAGCCAUAGGCUUGUCUUUAAUUAUUGUAUGACCUGCGUGUCAAUCAUUAAGCACUAUGUAGUGCUUUACUUUAUUGAUAAAUGGUAGCAAUAGUAGUACAAGCAUGGUUGGCGCAACAACCUUGAUGGCAACAUAAUGAUGGAAAUCAUGGUGUUAUGCCGGUGACGAUGGAGAUCAUGUCGGUGCUUUGAAGAUGGAGAUCGGAAAGCACAAGUUCAUGGCCAUAUCAUGUCACUUAUGAUUUGCAUGUGAUGUUAAUCCUUUUUAUGCACCUUGUUUUGCUUAGGCCGACGGUAGAAUUAUAAGGUGAUCCCUCACUAAAAUUUAAAAAUAAAAUUGUGUUCUCCCUGAGUGUGCACCGAUGCAAAAGUUUGUCAUUUCGAGACACCAGGUGAUGAUCGGGUGUGACAGACUCUACGUUCACAUACAACGGGUGCAAGAUAGUUUUGCACACGCGAAGCACUUGAGUUAAACUUGACGAGCCUAGCAUGUACAGACAUGGAAACGGAACACACGAGACCGAAAGGUCGAACAUGAGUCAUAUAGUAAGAUAUGAUUAACAUAGAGAUGUUCACCAUUGAAGCCACCUCAUCUCACGUGAUGAUUGUACAUGGGUUGGUGGAUUUGGAUCAUGUUACACUCGAAGAACCUCAGGGAUGUUGAAUUGAGAGGGAGUUCUUAAGUAAUAUGAUUAACUGAACUCAUUAUCAUGAACAUAGUAAAAAUGUCUUUGCAAAUUAUGUUAUAGAUUAUUAGCUUGCGUUGUAGCUCCCUUGUUUUGAUAUGUUCCUAGAUAAAACUAAGUUGAAAGAUGAUAGUAGCAAUUAUGCGGAUUAGGUCUGUAAACUGAGGAUUGUCCUCGUUGCUGUGGAGAAGGCUUAUGUCCUUAAUGCAUCGCUCGGUGAGCUACCCCAAGCAUCGUCUGUAGAUGUUGCGAACAUCUGACACACACGUUUUGAUGACUACGUGAUAGUUCAGUGCGUGAUGCUUUAUGGCUUAGAAUUGAGGCACCCAAAUGUUUUGAAUGUCACGGAACCUGUGAGAUGUUCCAAGAGCUGAAAUUAGGAUUGUAGGCUCAUGCCCGUGUCGAGAGGUAUGAGACCUUCGACGAGAUUCUUUGCGUGUAAAGUAAAGGCGAAAAAGCUCAAUCAUUGACCAUUUGCUCAGAUUGUCUAAGUGCUACAAUUGCUUGAAUUGGGUGGGAGUUGAUCUUCCAGAUGAUAUAGUGAUUGACAUAGUUCUCCAAAGUCGGUGCCACCAAGCUACUAAGCUUCAUGAUGGACUAUAGCAUCCCUGAGCUAUUUGCGAUGUUUGACACCGUGAAGGUAGAAAUCAAGUAGGAGCAUCAAGUCACUAGUAGAAAAUGGCCCAUUUGUCCCGGUUCCAGAGGCCCAUUAGCCCAGGUUCUUUAACCAGGACUAAAUGGUCGGGACUAAAGCCCAAAACCUUUAGUCCAAGUUCGCUUACGAACCGGGACCGAAUGGUCUCCAUGUGGCCGCUAGGGCGAGCCCGGGCAGGAGGUUCUUUAGUCUGGGUUGGUCACACAAACCGGGACAACAUGGCAUCUACGCGUCAGCAUCUGCCCAGAGCUGGGGUUUUUUUUAUCGAGGGGGGUUGGAGGGUUAAUUUAGUGGUUUCAUAUUGUGUUAUCUAGGUAAUAGAGAGAAGUGUCCUCUCUUGCUCCAUGCUUGGUCGACGCUAGCUACUAUACAUAUAGAGAUAACAUGAUGUUAGCUAAUAAGAAAAUGAAGGAAACCAUUUACAAUACUUAACAUCUUUUAUAAUAUAACAUCUUUUACGAUGCCUAACAUCAUCUACCUAAGAUCCAAUCACAAAUAGGUCACAUGCCAUUCUCGGUCACUAGAUAUGACGUGGUCAAGAAGGAAUCCCGCCAAUUCCUCUUUAAUUUCUCGUAUGCCAUCAUCUGAUAGGGGUUCAUCCCGCUUCUUCCAGAUCUAAUUUAAAGAAGGGGGUCAAUACAUGCAUAUAUAUGAAUAAAACUCAACACAGUUGAUGGUAAUAUAUAAAAUAAAAUUAUGAAUAUUAUUUACGUACUUCAAAUUGUUCGUCAGAGAUGCCCCGCCCAGAGGUCGAGAGGCGAAUGAACUCGCAUACGUAGAAUGCACAUUUUUCAGUCCCACCUACCUGGUACAAGCACUUUACGAGAAUAUAUAGAGUUCAAUUGAACUGAUAAGCAAGCAUGGCAAUGAUAUAUUGAUGAAAAAAUGAACCAAUUAGAGAUGCGCGGAACUAGCUAGCUAGUACUACUUACUAGUGGGUGUAAAUUGCAACACUUUGGGUAUACCGCAAACCUUAUUCGUGAACUUCUUCCAAAUCCUGCCAGGCAAAGAAAAUGAUUACUUGAUAUCAGGAAACUAACGAAAGUUGCAUGCCGGUAUGGUCCCGGUAUUGAGUGAACUUACUUCUUGUGCAUUGCAGUCAUGUCCGCAUAAUCCUCGGGAUCUUUACAUCUCGAGUCUAAGACACUUACUUUUGCCGCGUCAAGCUUAAUGGAUAGCAGAAUCCAGUGGUAACUGCGCACACAUAUAUAACUCAUCAAUUAAAUUUACUAAUUAACCUCGAGUAAGCGAAACCGAGUAUACAGAGAAGACAACAACACUCACCUGAAGUUGUAAGGAAAGAGUAUUUCCCUUUUAUUUUGAUUUACAAGCAACGAAUUUAGCAACUUAACCUCGAUCUCUUUGGAUUCAUUUCGUAUCGACAAUACAUUUACCGAUUCUGGGCUAAUGAACCCAACGUCAAAGAUUCCUGCUUUUUUUAAUUCGACGAUCUUCAAUCUGCAUAAUAUAUAUAGUGAGGAUAAUUAUAGAUACAUGCAAUGAACGAGCUGAUCUAGAGACUUAACUAUAGAAGUAAUACUUACAAACAGUAGGAAGUCAAGAGUUGUUUGUCGAGAGCCAGGUCAUUUUAUAACAGAAAUAACUCCUCAAAUUCAACAAGCACCACUGAAGCUUCAAUGAAUUCGUGAUCUUUUUUCACUCUCAUAUACACAGUCGUUUUCUCCCUGAAGAUGUUCAUGUACCACUCAUGCAAUUCAUGCAUCCUCGGUGUUAGAGGAGGAUGACCAGGUUUGAUGAGAGGCUUCCCGAGCACGAAUUUAUAUUUUUCUUCAUUUGUUACCUCAGCCAUCUUAAAAAAUAUUGAAUCGCUCACGUAAUCACCAGGAUUGGUAUCGGGCAGCAACCCCGAAUCAUUAGCGACGACGAUAUCGCUAGACACCUUGAGUGGGGGGCACGGUUGCUUAUUCUGUUGGCCGAGCUGGGGAAUUGCUUUCCCAUUUCUUCGUUUUGCUAACAUUGCAUCACUGCUAGCCGCCAGAGCGACGGCGGAGUCUGUCUUCCUCUUGAGAGAAGGAGCAGGAUGCCGCAUCUUUCUUACUUAUGUAAUUUUCGGCGGAGCGGCGACGACGUAUGUCUUCAGCUGUUGCGGAGGAGGCGGACUGCUUCGACGCGCCUGAGGAGGAGCCGAAGGAGGAGGACUGCUACGACGCGCUGGACGAGGAGCCGAAGAAGGAGGCGGAGUGCUCUGACGCGCCGGAGGAGGAGCCGAAGAAGGAGGCAGACUGCUCCAACGCGCCAGAGAGGAGUCGAAGAAGGAGGCACAGUGCCCUCACGUGCCGGAGGAGGAGCUGAAGAAGAAGGCGGAGUGCCCUCACGCUCCGGAGGAGCCGGAGUUCCCUGAUCAUUCGCUGGAGGAGGAUGAGGAGUGCCCUGAUCAGUCGGAGGAGGAGGAUGAGGAGUGCCCUCAUAACUCACCGGAGGAGGAGGAGGAGGCAUCCAGUUUGGAGGAUUGAUGUACUCCUUCGGCCAUAGACAUGAACUCCACAAAGCAUGAACCAACUUAUUAUUCUCAUCUUCACCUGUAGGGUGGUCAAGCUCGAGCUGCUCAAAAUCCUUAUUUACUUCAUCCACCAUCACAAGAGCAUAACCACGUGGAAUCGGACGGCAGUGAAAAGUUCCAUUGGAUUGAGGAGGUGCAACAACGCCAAUAGCAGCCUUGAAAGUGAUGAUCCAGCAUUUCGUCAAAAGCUCGCAAGGUUGAGACUCCAUGAUAGUAUCCACACGGUAGCUAGGAGCUGUGAAGUCAGGCUGAACUAGCUACGUGGAAGCCAUGCUGCUUUUCCUCUGAAAUGGCGAGGUAAAUUCUAGGGUAGUUUCAUGCCGCUGAGAUGGUUGGUCGACAACUCGCUGGCUCUAAAGUUCCUCUAGAAUUUGUAGUCUUGCAUUGAUCUUCUGCAUGUCGCUCAGCUCUGUUUUCCUCUUUCUCGCUCGGCUUCUAUAACCGGCUGCGCCGGGAAACCCAACCAUCCACGGAACAGAGCCUGGUGUGCCUCGUGUUUGUCCAGGGUGCUCAGCAUUCCCUAGGGCCUCAGUCAGCUUGUCCUUCUCUCUUUCAGGAAAGAACGCCCCUUCCUGCAUUGCGGUGAUACACUGCUGAAGCUUGUUGAUGGGUGUUGCAAGUUGCUUGUCCGUCCAACGACAAUCCCCUGUUUCGGGUUCCAAAGUUCCCCCAACUCCAAAGAACCAAUUCCUUGAACGGUCGGACCAGUUCCAUGUCUGUGGUUGGACCCCUUUAGCAAUCACGUCUUUCUCAGCUUUGUCCCACGACGGACGGCCGUUGAGGUAGCCACCUGACCCCGUGUGAUGGUGAUACUGAUUCUUUGCACCAUUGUUCUUGUUUCUCUCUGACAUUUCCUUACUCUUGUCCGAUGACUUGUAGGCCACAAAUGCGGGCCAGUGCUCUCUAAUCUUCUCAAAUCGGCCGACGAAUUCUGGAGUCUUCCCUUUGUCGACAUACUUUGAUUUUAACUCUUUCUUCCACCUCCUGAAUAGUUCUGCCAUCUUCUUAAGAGCACAUGCCUUGACCAGUGGCUCUAUAACUGGCUUAUUCGGAUCCUCCUCUGGCGGUAUGGUGAAAUUUUCCUUCAAUGCGGUCCAAAGAUCAUCUUUCAGCCUAUCGGUGACAUAAUCGCCUUCAGGGACAUUGUCGCCCUUAGGCUUAUUCCAUUGCUUGAUGCUGAUCGGGAUGUUGUCCCUAACAAUAGCUCCGAACUGAGCAGAAAAUGUGUCCCUGGUCCAUUUGGGUUCAAUCGGUUGCCCAUCAUCCGACAGUUCUGUGAUCGUGAACUUUUGAUCCUUGCCCAACCUUCUCGUCGGGGCUCGUCUCGUUACCAAAGUUUGGCUCGAUCCGGACUUUUCAAUAGCUCCCUCCUCCGUUCGAUCACCGGAGCCAUCAUCAUGGUCUCCUUCCUCCGGGAUUCGGUAGUCACCGAAGCCAUCAUGAUAAUGUCCUUCCUCCUCCAUUGUUCGAUCACCGAAGCCAUCACGAUAAUGUCCUUCCUCCGGGAUUCGGUAGUCAUCGAGUUCGCUAAGCAAAAAAUCGACAUUACUACCGUCGCCGUCGAUUAUAUCCCCCAAAAUUUCUUAUUUUUCCAUGUCUCUUGGAAUAUCCAUUGUUUCUGCAAAUAUUUCAAAGUAGGGGAAGCCCUUUAUACAUAAUCCCAAAUAUUAACAUAAAAACUUUGAUAAUACAGGUCCGUAUUUGUCUUUCGCGUGUGGUUUAGCAAUUCUAGCGGAGUCCUCACAGAAUUUGAUAACAUGCCCGUCUAUGUCUUCGGCUAAGAGAUCUUUGAUAAUAGCAACACUAGGUUCAACUCUAAUCUCCUCAGGUGGUGCAAGUGGUCUAAUGUAACCCCUACAUAUCACAGUUGGAGCUUUAGAAUAAUCCUUUAUCCUAGCAGGGUAUGGUGGUUUCUCAGUGUAGGCACAAGGAACANCAUUGAUUUAAGCCUCCCCAAGCUUGAGCUAUGCUUUCCCUAUCACGAGGCCAAAAGUUAUAAAUAUAAUUCCGAUCACGAUGUACUAAAUGCAUAGGAUAAAACUUUUGAUGAAAUUCCAAUUUCAACCGCUUGUAGUCCCAUGAUCGAGUAUCAUCACAUAGCUUAUACCAUGUCAACGCCUUAUCCUUCAAAGAUAAAGGAAAGACUUUAUUCUUUACCUCAUCCUCGGGAAAACCUGCAAGCUUAAAUAAACCACAAACUUCAUCUACAUAGAUCAGAUGCAAGUCUGGAUGUGAAGAUCCAUCUCCUGUACAAGUAUUAGCCAGCAGUUUCUCAAGCAUACCCGAAGAAAUUUCAUAAAAGAUAUUUUCAGUAGGUACCUCAGGUUGAGGAACAACUCCUCGUGCUUCUGUUCAUGGUGAAGAUACCCCGAACAAACUCCUCAAAGGAACAGUUUCCAUAGUGACAAUUGACAAUAAAUUUCAGCAUAGUAUAUAAAUGUUUCCUUACCAAUUUCCACUUACCAAAGGCGCUUCACUCCCCGGCAACGGCGCCAGAAAAGAGUCUUGAUGACCCACAAGUAUAGGGGAUCAAUCGUAGUCCUUCCGAUAAGUAAGAGUGUCAAACCCAACGAGGAGCAGAANNNNNNNNNNNNNNNNNNNNNNNNNNNNNNNNNNNNNNNNNNNNNNNNNNNNNNNNNNNNNNNNNNNNNNNNNNNNNNNNNNNNNNNNNNNNNNNNNNNNNNNNNNNNNNNNNNNNNNNNNNNNNNNNNNNNNNNNNNNNNNNNNNNNNNNNNNNNNNNNNNNNNNNNNNNNNNNNNNNNNNNNNNNNNNNNNNNNNNNNNNNNNNNNNNNNNNNNNNNNNNNNNNNNNNNNNNNNNNNNNNNNNNNNNNNNNNNNNNNNNNNNNNNNNNNNNNNNNNNNNNNNNNNNNNNNNNNNNNNNNNNNNNNNNNNNNNNNNNNNNNNNNNNNNNNNNNNNNNNNNNNNNNNNNNNNNNNNNNNNNNNNNNNNNNNNNNNNNNNNNNNNNNNNNNNNNNNNNNNNNNNNNNNNNNNNNNNNNNNNNNNUGGACAAGCAUCCCACUUAUGAUUAACCCCUCUCGCAAGCAUCCGCAACUACGAAAGAAGAAUUAAGACAACGUCUAACCAUAGCAUUAAACUAGUGGAUCCAAAUCAGCCCCUUACGAAGCAACGCAUAGACUCGGGUUUAAGCUUCUGACACUCCAGCAACCCAUCAUCUACUUACUACUCCCCAAUGCCUUCCUCUAGGCCCAAAUAUGGUGAAGUGUUAUGUAGUCGACGUUCACAUAACACCACUAGAGGAAAAGACAAUAUACAGCAUAUCAAAAUACCGAACGAAUACCAAAUUCACAUGACUAUUAUUAGCAUGACUUAUCCCAUGUCCUCAGGAACAAAAGUAACUACUCACAAAGCAUAAUCAUAAUCAUGAUCAGAGGUGUAAUGAAUAGCAUCAAGGAUCUGAACAUAAACUCUUCCACCAAGUAAUCCAACUAGCAUCAACUACAAAGAGUAAUCAACACUACUAGCAACCUUACAAGUACCAAUCGGAGUCGCGAGACGGAGAUUGGUUACAAGAGAUGAACUAGGGAUUGGAGAGGAGAUGGUGCUGAUGAAGAUGCCUCCCCUCCGACGAGAGGAGUGUUGGUGAUGACGUUGGCGACAAUUUCCCCCUCCGAGAGGGAAGUUUCCCCGGCAGGAUCGUCCUGCCGGAGCUCUAGAUUGGAUUUGCUCAAGUUCCGCCUCGUGGCGGCGGCGAAACCACGAAAAAGCUCCCAAUUGAUUUUUUUCUGGAACGAAACCCUUCAUAUAGCAAAAGAGGGGCGGCAGUGGGCCGUCAGGGAGCCCACAAGCCCUGUAGCCGCCACCAGGGGGUGGCGACUACCAGGCUUGUGGCACCCUGGUAGCUCCCCUCUAGUACUUCUUUCGCCCAGUAUUUUUUAUAUAUUCCCAAAAAAUUCCACGUAAAUUUUCAGGGCAUUUGGAGAUGGUCAGAAUAGAGGACUCAGAUUUGCUCCUUUCCAAUCCUGAAUUCCGGCUGCCUGAAUUCUCCCUCUUCAAAUAAACCUUGCAAAAUAAGAGAGAAAAGGCAUAAAUAUGGUACCACAAAGUAAUAUAACAGCCCAUAAAGCGAUAAAUAUCAACAUGAAAGCAUGAUGCAAAAUGGACGUAUCAACUCCCCCAAGCUUAGACCUCGCUUGUCCUGAAGCGAAAAUCAAGUUCCAUAAACAUGUCCACAUGUUUAGGGACGAAGGUGUCGAUAAAACAUAAUACGGACAUGAGGGCAUCAUGAUCACACAUAGAACAGCAAUGCAUUAUAAAGAUUCUUAUGGGAAAGUAACAAUUCCUUCACAAAGCAAAGUAUGAAGCAAAAACCUUACAUAGAAGUAACCAACAACAGCCCAAAGUCAUUGAAGCAUUUGCAAUUUAUCAUAACAUUAGAAAGAGUCAAAUAAGAGCUUGUAAGGCAAACCCACAUACUCAAUCAUCUCUUUUAUUUUCCACAAUUGUUACAACUCACGUGGUACUCAUGGUAUCAAAGUUUCAGCUGGACACAGAGGAAGAUAGGGGCUUAUAGUUUUGCCUCCUAACUAUUUACCUCAAGGGUAAAGUCAACAAUAAUAAACCAUAAGUACUCAUCUCCAAGUUGAUAUAUGAAUAUAGAUCUUUCCCAAGCAUGUGACGGUAGCCAAGACAAAGGCAAAAAUAAGGAAUUGGUGAAGAUCACCAUGACUCUUACAAGGGAAAAAAGUAAAGGUACAAGAUAGGCCCUUCGCAGAGGGAAGCAGAGGUUGUCAUGCGCUUUUGAGGUUUGGAUGCGUGUCCUCUUAGUGCAGAGGAACAUCACUUUAUAUUGCCUCCUGUGAUAGAGAACUUUAUUAUGCAGUCUGUCGCUUUUAUGUCUUCCUCAUCACAGGUUCGUACAAAGCUUAUUUUCCACACACUAAUAGAUCAUACAUAUUAGAGAGCAAUUUUUAUUGCUUGCACCAAUGACAAGUUACUUGAAGGAUCUUAUUCAAUCCAUAGGUAGGUAUGGUCGACUCUCAUGGCAAAACUGGGUUGAAGGUUUAUGGAUGCACAUGUAGUAUCUCUACUUGGUGCGGGAGUUUUGGCUAGUAUGAGGUGGAAGCAAUCGUCACAUGCUAAGGGAUCUCUAAUCAUAUAACAUUAUUUGGAACCAAGCAAACAUAAUUCAUUAUGGUGUCUUCCUUGUCCAACAUCUACUUCUAAGCAUGUAAUAGUUUGGUGAGUGCUCACAAUUGUAAAAAAGUGUUUAAGAUGAUAUAUUUAUAUGUGAACCUCUCUUUCCUUAUUACUUCUUAUUAAUUGCAACAAUGACUGAGGUCUAUGUUGAUUUAUUCUCAACAAGUUUCAAUCAUCAUACGUGUCAUAUGUGAAGCUAUCACUUUCCAUAAGAUCAUCUCGUGAUCUUUCAUGCUAUCGCUCUUUUCAUACUUUUGAUCACGAUACAAAGCAAAGCCCUUGACUAAGAUACUCUUUAUUAUAUAGCUCACGAGCUGGAAUACAUCGGGGGAGAGACAAAAGCAAAAGACUCAAACUAAACACUAAAGACUUAUUCCUCUAAGAGAAGAAAUAAAAACUGAAAAGGAAAGAACUAAAACAAAGGUAAAAGCAAAACAUAUAAAGGUGAUACGAUACCAGGGCAACUCCCCCAAGCUUGGCAAAAGCCAAAGGGAUUGCCCAUACCAAUGCUUAGUUGUCUUCCUUUGGUGGUGAUGGUGGUGAUGUUGUUGCCUUUGGUUCCAAGAGAGCUAUCAAUCUUUGAUUUAUAUCUUUGAGAUCUGCGAUAUGGUUUUCCAGCAAAACAACUUCACGAGAAAGGGAAAUAUUGCGAGCACGAGUUGUUUCCAAAACCUCAAGAGUUCAAUCAAGGAUGGAGACAGCACGUGGAGGAAGGGUUGGAGGAAAUCUACUCCUUCAAUGUCUUCAAUGUUGAACAUAGGUUGAACUUCCUCCCUAGCUUGGGUUUUCUCCUUAGCUUUGUCCCUGGCUUCCGUGACUUCUACUCUUUUCAGAUCAGCAUCUACUUCUUCAUGAACUUGGGGAAGAUCAUUCUCCCCAGCAGAUUCCUGAGACAUCUUUGCUCUAAAUCUGCGGCAGACAACAGGCUCGAAACGAAAACAGAGGAAAACUGCGCGAUAUGGAGAUCAAAACCCUAGGGCGUAUAUAUAAUGAUUUUUUCUCGACCACAAGGAGUGCUCCGCAAGAAAAUGGAGUCCGGGAGGCACACGAGGUGCCCACAAGCCCUCUAGCCGCCACCAGGGGAUAGGUGGCGGCUACCAAGCUUGUGGCCGCCUCGUGCCCUCUUCUGACUGCUUUUUAUUUUUCUAAUUUUCCAAAAAAUCCAAAACAGAGGAAAUUUCCUAUUGGAUAAGUUUCGGAGUCCAAUUACUUACCGAAACAGAUACCUCUUCGUUUUCAGGGUCUGAAACAAGGUGAUAAACAUCCCUUCUGUACUCCUAUGGAGUUAUGAUAUUGAUGAUAUUGGUGUCAACAUUUAUGGGAGUACCAGAGAUAUAAUGCUUGAUUCUUUGCCCAUUUACCACUCUAGGAAAAUUUCCUUCCAUGUUAUUGAUUUUGAUGGCACCGGAACGAUAUACUUCCUCGAUAACGUAAGGACCUUCCCAUUUAGAGAGAAGCUUGCGUGCGAAGAUUCUUAAGCGAGAAUUUUAUAGCAGGACAUAAUCACCUACAUUGAACUCUCAUUUCUGUAUUCGCUUGUCGUGCCAUCUCUUAACCUUUUCCUUGAACAACUUGGCAUUCUCAUAUGCCUAGGCCCUCCAUUCAUCUAAUGAGCUGAUAUCAAACAACGCUUCUCACCGGCAAGUUUGAAAUCAAAGUUGAGCUCUUUGAUUGCCCAAUAAGCUUUGUGUUCCAGCUCAAGAGGUAAAUGACAUGCCUUACCGUAAACCAUUUUAUACGGCGACAUGCCCAUGGGAUUCUUAUAAGCAGUCCUAUAAGCCCAUAGUGCAUCGUCAAGUUUGCUAGACCAAUUCUUUCGAGAUCUAUUGAUAGUCUUUUGUAGGAUCAAUUUGAUCUCCCUAUUACUCAACUCCACUUGACCACUAGACUGAGGAUGAUAAGGAGAUGCAACUCUAUGGUUGACAUCAUACUUAGCGAGCAUCUUGCGGAAAACACCAUGAAUGAAGUGUGAACCGCCAUCAGUCAUCAAAUAUCUAGGGACUCCAAAUCUUGGGAAAAUGACUUCUUUAAGCAUCUUAAUAGAGGUGUGGUGAUCGGCAUUUUUAGUGGGGAUAGCUUCUACCCACUUAGUGACGUAAUCCAUAGCAACUAAGAUGUGAGUGUACCCAUUGGAACUCGGGAAGGAUCCCAUAUAAUCAAAGCCCCAGACAUCAAAUGGUUCAAUGACAAGUGAAUAGUUCAUAGGCAUUUCCUUACGCUUACUGAUGUUCCCUAUUCUUUGGCAUUCGUCACAAGACAAGACAAACUUACGGGCAUCCUUGAAGAGAGUGGGCCAAUAGAAACCUGAUUGCAAUACCUUAUGAGCAGUUCUAUCUCCAACAUGGUUUCCUCCGUAGGCUUUGGAAUGACACUUCUGCAAGAUCUGUCCCUGUUCAUGUUCACGUACACAACAUCUAAUAACACCAUCUACUCCUUCCUUAUAAAGGUGAGGAUCAUUCAAAAAGUAGUGUCUCAAAUCAAAGAAGAAUUUCUUCUUUUGCUGAUAGGUGAAACUGGGUGGUAUGUAUUUGGCUACGAUAUAGUUUGUGUAAUCAGCAUACCACAGUGCACUACGUGAAGUGCGGAUGACAUUUAAUUGCUCAUCAGGAAAGCUGUCAUCAAUAGGUAGUGGGUCAUUAAGGAUAUUCUCUAGCCUGGACAAGUUAUCUGCUACAGGGUUAUCAGCACCCUUUCGGUCAACAACAUGCAAAUCAAAUUCCUGUAGCAGGAGAACCCAUCUAAUCAGCCUAGGCUUAGCGUCCUUCUUCUCCAUAAGGUACUUAAUAGCAGCAUGAUCAGAGUGAAUAGUGACUAUCAACUAUAUAAGAUCUGAAUUUUUCACAUGCAAACACGACUGCCAAAAACUCCUUUUCCGUAGUGGCAUAGUUUCUUUGGGCACUGUCCAGAGUUUUACUAGCGUAGUGAAUAACAUUCAACUUCUUGUCAAUUCUUUGUCCUAGAACAGCACCAGCAGCAUAAUCACUAGCGUCGCACAUGAUUUCAAAGGGCAAGUUCCAGUCAGGUGGUUGAACAAUAGGUGCAGUUAUCAAGGCCUUCUUAAGUAUUUCGAAAGCUUCCUCACAAUCCUCAUCAAAAACAAAAGGAACAUCCUUCUGCAAGAGGUUGGUAAGAGGCCUGGAAAUCUUAGAGAAGUCUUUAAUGAACCUUCUAUAGAAACCAGCAUGACCUAGGAAACUUCGUAUACCUCUGAUAUCUGUGGGGCAAGGCAUUUUCUCAUUUGCAUCAACCUUAGCCUUAUCAACUUCAAUGCCUCUCUGAGAGAUUUUGUGUCCUAAGACGAUGCCUUCAUUAACCAUAAAGUGGCACUUCUCCCAAUUCAAGACGAGGUUGGUAUCUUUGCAUCUCUGUAAGACUCGAUCAAGGUUGCUGAGGCAAUCAUCAAAGGAAGACCCGUAAAUGGAGAAGUCAUCCAUGAAAACCUCGACAAUCUUUUCACAAAAGUCAGAGAAUAUAGCCAUCAUACAUCUUUGAAAGGUGGCAGGUGCAUUGCAUAAGCCAAAAGGCAUACGUCUAUAAGCAAAGGUACCGAAGGGGCAGGUGAAAGUGGUUUUCUCCUGAUCAGAUUGUGCAACAGAUAUUUGCGAGAAACCUAAAUAACCGUCUAGAAAGCAGAAGUGUGUGUCUUUGGGUAGCCUUUCUAGCAUUUGGUCGAUAAACGGCAAAGGAUAAUGGUCUUUCCUGGUUGCCUUGUUCAGUUUCUGGAAGUCUAUCACCAUCCUAUAGCCAGUAAUAAUCCUUUGUGGGAUUAAUUCAUUCUUAUCAUUAGGAACGACGGUGAUACCUCCCUUCUUAGGUACGCAAUGUACUGGACUUACCCAAUCACUAUGAGCAACGGGAUAAAUGAUUCCUGCUUCCAGAAGCUUUAAUAUUUCUUUUCUAACGACCUCUUUCAUCUUAGGAUUUAAUCUCCUUUAAUGAUCAGCAACUGGUUUAGAAUCAGGAUCGGUUUUAAUCUUGUGCUGACAUAGAGUGGGACUAAUACCCUUAAGAUCAUCAAGAGUAUAUCCAAUAGCAGCACUGUGCUUCCUUAGAGUUUUUAGUAACUUCUUCUCUUUGUGCUCUGAGAGGAGAGCACUAAUGAUAAUAGGAUAUAUCUCCUUCUCAUCAAGAUAGGCAUACUUAAGAGUAUCAGGCAACUGUUUAAGCUCAAACACAGGAUCACCCUUUGGUGGGGGAGGAUCCCCAAGCAGUUCAACAGGCAGAUUAUUCUUGAGAAUAGGAUAUUGCUCUAAGACAAUUUUAUCUAUCUCAUCUCUUUCCUCCAUAUGCAUAUCAUUUUCAUGCUCAAGCAGAUAUUGCUCUAAAGGAUCCGUAGGAGGUACGGCAAUAGAGACAAGAGCAAUGAUUUCAUCCCUACCAGAUGACUCUUUUUCAUGGGGUUGUCUUCCAAACUUGGAGAAGUUAAAUUCAUGAGACACACCCUCGAAACUAACUAUGACAGUCUGUUUAAUGCAAUCAAUGUGAGCAUUGACAGUGUUGAGAAAGGGUCUACCGAAUAUGAUGGGACAACAGCUAUCUUGUGCAGUACCAAGGACGAGGAAAUCAGUAGGAUACUUCAUCUUACCACACAGGACUUCUACGUCUCUCACAAUUCCCAGAGGGCAGAUAGUGUCUCUAUUAGCUAGCGUAAUGGUGACAUCACUGGGUUCUAGCUCAGCAGGUGCAAUCUCAUCUUUGAUUUCAUCAUAUAGGGAACGGGGUAUUGUACUAACACUAGCUCCCAUAUCAUAUAAACCAAGGUAACACUGAUCUCCUAUCUUAACAGAAACAACGGGCAGGCCAACUACAGGUCCGUAUUUGUCUUUCUCGUGAGGUUUAGCAAUUCUAGCGGAGUCCUCACAAAAUUUGAUAACAUGUCCGUCUAUGUCUUCGGCUAAGAGAUCUUUGAUAAUAGCAACACUAGGUUCAACUCUAAUUUCCUCAGGUGGUGCAAGUGGUCUAAUGUAACCCCUACAUAUCACAGUUGGAGCUUUAGAAUAAUCCUUUAUCCUAGCACGGUAUGGUGGUUUCUGAGUGUAGGCACAAGGAACANNNNNNNNNNNNNNNNNNNNNNNNNNNNNNNNNNNNNNNNNNNNNNNNNNNNNNNNNNNNNNNNNNNNNNNNNNNNNNNNNNNNNNNNNNNNNNNNNNNNNNNNNNNNNNNNNNNNNNNNNNNNNNNNNNNNNNNNNNNNNNNNNNNNNNNNNNNNNNNNNNNNNNNNNNNNNNNNNNNNNNNNNNNNNNCAGCCCCUUACGAAGCAACACAUAGACUCGGGUUUAAGCUUCUGUCACUCCAGCAACCCAUCAUCUACUUACUACUCCCCAAUGCCUUUCUCUAGGCCCAAAUAUGGUGAAGUGUUAUGUAGUCGAUAUUCACAUAACACCACUAGAGGAAAAGACAACAUACAACAUAUCAAAAUACCGAACGAAUACUAAAUUCACAUGACUAUUAUUAGCAUGACUUAUCCCAUGUCCUCAGGAAAAAAAGUCACUACUCACAAAGCAUAAUCAUAAUCAUGAUCACAGGUGUAAUGAAUAGCAUCAAGGAUCUGAACAUAAACUCUUCCACCAAGUAAUCCAACUAGCAUCAACUACAAAGAGUAAUCAACACUACUAGCAACCUUACAAGUACCAAUCGGAGUCGCGAGACGGAGAUUGGUUACAAGAGAUGAAUUAGGGAUUGGAGAGGAGAUGGUGUUGAUGAAGAUGCCUCCCCUCCUACGAGAGGAGUGUUGGUGAUGACGUUGGCGACGAUUUCCCCCUCCGGGAGGGAAAUUUCCCCGGCAGGAUCGUCGUGCCGGAGCUCUAGAUUGGAUCUGCUCAAGUUCCGCCUCGUGGCGGCGGCGAAACCAUGAAAAAGCUCACAACUGAUUUUUUCUGGAAUGAAACCCUUCAUAUAGCAAAAGAGGGGGGCAGUGGGCCGUCAGGGAGCCCACAAGCCCUGUAGCCGCCACCAGGGGGUGGCGGCUACCAGGCUUGUGGCACCCUGGUAGCUCCCCUCUGGUUCUUCUUUCGCCCAGUAUUUUUUAUAUAUUCCCAAAAAUUUCCACGUAAAUUUUUAGGGCAUUUGGAGAUGUGCAGAAUAGAGGACUCAGAUUUGCUCCUUUUCCUGUCCAGAAUUCCGGCUGCCUGAAUUCUCCCUCUUCAAAUAAACCUUGCAAAAUAAAAGAGAAAAGGCAUAAAUAUGGUACCACAAAGUAAUAUAACAGACCAUAAAGUGAUAAAUAUCAACAUGAAAGCAUGAUGCAAAAUGGACGUAUCAGGCGACGACGACGACGGCGGCGAUGGGCUCGGGUGCGACUGCGACGACGGUUGGUGAUGGGUGACGGCGACGACGACAACGGCGAUGGGCUCGGGGGCAACGGUGACAGCGAUGGGCUCGGGGACGACGGCAACGACAAUGGGCUCGGGGACAACGAUGGGUUCGGGGACGACGGCGACGACGAUGGGCUCGGGGGCGACGACGAUGGCGAUGACAACGGGCUCAGGAGCGACAACGACGGCGAUGGGCUCGGGGCGAUGACGGGCUCGUGAGCGACGGUGACGACGAUGACGGGCUCGUGAAGGAGGCACGGGCCGGCGGCGAUGGGCUCGGGUGCGACGGCGACGAAGAUAGAACGGGGGGGAAUGGAAGUUGGUGGAAAUUUCGACAACUCCCGCAGUAUACGAACACCUUUGUUCCGGGUUGUGGCCCAAACCAGGACCAAAGCACACCCUUAGUCCCGGGUUGUUACACCAACCGGGACUAAAGGUCAAUUUCGACAACUCCCGCACUAUAUGAAAAAGCUUUUGUUUCGGUUUGUGGCACCAACCGGUACCAAAGCCACACUUCCGCUGGCACAAAAGGGCGGGAAGAAGAGUACUUUCGUACCGGUUGGUGGCUAGUACCGGGACAAAAGGUCUGUCGGCCCAUUUGAUAUUUUUCAUACGUUUACUGAAUUUUGUUUUGAGCUAAAUGACCCUAAAAUUGAAAAGCACUACAAAUGAAUUGUGAAAAUGUUGAAAGUUGGCAUGGUAUAAUUAUUUCAUGCACAUAGCAUGUGCUAAAAAGUUGAGAGGGUUGCGGCAAAAACUGGAUGCACAUCGUGUACAAAACAGACAAUCUCUUUCGAAGUAUUAGGGUUUCAUACGAAAACUCAUGUGUUACAAAGGGAUUUCAUUUUUUGAACUUAUUUGAACUCCGGACUUUUUUUGUGUUCAAAAUGCACCAUUCAAAGACACAUCAUCAAUUUUCUACUAUUUCUGACUUCAUUUGGUAUUUUUCAUGCAUUUGCUCAUUUUUUUGAGCUAAAUGACCCUUAAAUUAAAAAGCACUACAAAUGAACUUUGAAAAGGUUGAAAGUUGGCAUGGUAUCAUCAUUUCACCCACAUAACAUGUGCUAAAAAGUUGAGAGGGUUGCGGCAAAAACUGGAUGCACUUCGUGUACAAAACGGAUAAUCUCUUUCGAAGUAUUAGGGUUUCAUACGAAAACUCAUCUCUUACAAAGGGAUUUCAUUUUUUUUGAACUUAUUUGAACUCCAGGCUUUUUGUGUGUUCAAAGUGCACCAUUCAAAGACAAAUCAUCAAUUUUUAACUAUUCCUGACUUCAUUUGGUAUUUUUCAUGCAUUUAGUGAUUUUUUUGAGCUAAAUGACCCUUAAAUUGAAAAGCACUACAAAUGAACUCUGAAAAGGUUAAAAGUUGGCAUGGUAUCAUCAUUUCACCCACAUAGAAUGUGCUAAAAAGUUGAGAGGGUUGCGGCAAAAACUGGAUGCAAUUUGUGUACAAAAUGGACAAUCUCUUUCGAAGUAUGAGGGUUUCAUACGAAAACUCAUCUGUUACAAAAAGGAUUUUAUUUAUUGAACUUAUUUUAACUCCCGACUUUUUGUGUAUUCAAAAUGCACCAUUCAAAGACACAUCAUCAAUUUUUAACUAUUUCUGAUUUCAUUUGGUAUUUUUCAUGCUUUAGUGAUUUUUUUUAGCUAAAUGACCCUUAAAUUGAAAAGCACUACAAAUGAACUCUAAAAAUCUUGAAAGUUGGCAUGGUAUNGCACUUCGUGUACAAAACGAACAAUCUCUUUCGAAGUAUGAGGAUUUCAUAUGAAAACUCAUCUGUUACAAAGGGCAUUUCAUUUCUUCACUUUUUCGUCGCUUGUGUUCCUUGCUUAUUGCACUGUAGCCAUGGAUAAUCUUCGUCGUUUAACAGGGUGCUUCGGUCAGCCUUGACUUUGAAGGGAGGAAUUUCAUGAUACUUUUCAUAAUCUUCACACAUGUCUAUCUUGCCCUCCAAUCCCACGAUGUCCCUUUUUCCUGAAAGAACUAUGUGGCACUUUGGCUCAUCAUAUGAUGUAUUCGCUUCCUUAUAUUUUCUUUUUCUCGGUUUGGUAGACAUGUCCUUCAUAUAGAAAACAUGCGGCACAUCAUUGGCUAGGACGAAUUGUUCAGAUCCACUGUUGUCAUUCCGUACUGUGGGUCUAUCUGUACCCCGCCUCCUGACAGGUUGAUCCAUUUGCAAUGAAACAAAGGGACCUUCAAAUCAUGUCCAUAGUCAAGUUUCCAUAUGUCCACUAUUUAACCAUAAUAUGUGUCCUUUCCCCUCUCGGUUGCUGCAUCAAAGCGAACACCGCUCUUUUGGUUGGUGCUCUUUUGAUCUUGGGUGAUCGUGUAAAAUGUAUUCCCAUUUAUCUCGUACCCUUGGUAAGUCAAUACAGUCGAAGAUGGUCCCCUAGCCAACGAGUACAGCUCAUCAGAAACAGUGUUGUCACACAUGAGACGUUUUUGCAACCAACUGUUGAAAGUCCUGAUGUGUUCAAAUGUAAUCCAGUCGUCACACUGCUCCGGGUGUAUGUAGCUCAGAAUAUUCUUGUGUUCAUCGACAUACGGGGUCACCAAGGUAGAAUUAUGUAGAACUGUGUAGUGUUCUUGAGACCAAGAAUGUCCGUCCGUACACAUUAUUGACUCUGCUCGUAGUGUGCCCUUUCAAGUCAGCCUCCCCUCAUACCGCGAUUGAGGGAGACCAAUCUUCUUAAGGUCAGGAAUGAAGUCAACACAAAAUCCAAUGACAUCCUCUGUUUGAUGACCCAUGGAGAUGCUUCCUUCUGGCUUAGCGCGAUUACGAACAUAUUUUUUAAGACUCCCAUGAACCUCUCAAAGGGGAACAUAUUGUGUAGAAAUACAGGGCCCAGAACGACAAUCUCGUCGACUAGAUGAACUAGGAUGUGCAUCAUGAUAUUGAAGAAGGAUAGUGGGAACACCAGCUUGAUACUAACAAGACAUUGCACCAAAUCACUCCUUAACCUUGGCAGGAUUUCUGGAUCGAUCACCUUCUGAGAGAUUGCAUUGAGGAAUGCACAUAGCUUCACAAUGGCUAAUCAAAGUUUUCCGGUAGAAGCCCCCUCAAUGCAACCGGAAGCAGUUGUGUCAUAAUCACGUGGCAGUCAUGAGACUUUAGGUUCUGGAACUUUUUCUCUGCCUAUUUAUUAUUCCCUUUAUAUUCGAUGAUAAGCCAGACGGGACCUUUAUACUGAGCAAGCAUUCAAAGAAGAUUUCCUUCUCUUCUCUGGUAAGAGCGUAGCUCGCAAGACCUUCAUACUUCUAUGGAUGCAUGCCGUCUUUUUCAUGCACACGUUGAUGUUCCUCCCGUGCCUCUAGUGUAUCUUUUGUCUUCCCAUACGCUCCCAAGAAUCCUAGCAGGUUCACGCAAAGAUUCUUCGUCACGUGCAUCACGUCGAUUGCAAAGCGGACCUCUAGAUCUUUCCAAUAGGGUAGGUCCCAAAAUAUAGAUUUCUUCUUCCACAUGGGUGUGUGUCCCGCAUCGUCAUUCACAACAAAUAGCCCGCCAGGACCCUUUCCAAAGAUUACUUAUAAAUCAUGGACCAUAUCAAGUAUGUGAUCACCAGUACGGAGGGCGUGCUUCUUCUGGUGAUCUGCCUCACCUUUGAAAUGCUUUCCUUUCUUUCGACAUUGAUGGUUGGUCGGAAGAAAUCGACGAUGCCCCAUGUACACAUUCUUCCUGCAUUUGUCCAAAUAUAUACUGUCGGUGUCAUCUAAACAAUGUGUGCAUGCAUUGUAUCCCUUGUUUGUGUGUCGUGAAAGAUUACUAAGAGUAAGCCAAUCGUUGAUGGUUACAAACAGCAACGCGUGUAGGUCAAAUUCCUCAUGUUCGUUCUCAUCCCACACACAUACACCAUUUCCAUUCCAUAGAUGUAAAAGUUCAUCAACUAAUGGCCUUAGGUACACAUCAAUGUCAUUUCCGGGUUGCCUAGGGUCUUGGAUGAGCACUCGCAUCAUAAUGAACUUCCGCUUCAUGCACAACCAAGGAGGAAGGUUAUACAUACAUAGAGUCACAGGCCAUGUGUUAUGCUUGCUGCUCUACUCCCCAAAAGGAUUGACGCCAUCUGCACUUAAACCAAACCAUACGUUCCUUGGGUCACGUGUAAAGUCGCUCCACUUUCUCUCGAUCUUUCUCCACUGCAACCCGUCAGCGGGUGCUCUCAACUUCCCGUCUUUCUUAUGGUCUUUUAUGUGCCAUUGCAUCAACUCGGCAUGCUUUUUGUUUCUGAACAGACAUUUCAACUGUGGUAUUAUAGGAGCAUACCACAUCACCUUGGCAGGAACCAUCUUCUCGGUGCGCUGGCCUUCAACAUCACCAGGGUCAUCUCUUCUGAUCUUAUACCGCAAUGCGCCGCAUACCAGGCAUGCGUUCAAAUCCUCGUACGCACCGCGAUAGAGGAUGCAGUCAUUAGCGCAUGCAUGUAUCUUCUGCACCUCCAAUCCUAGAGGGCAUAGAACCUUCUUCGCUUCGUACGUACUGUCGGGCAAUUCUUUAUCCUUUGGAAGCUUCUUCUUCAUUAAUUUCAGUAGCGAACUAAAUGCCUUGUCAGAUACACCAUUGUCUGCCUCCCAUUGCAGCAAUUCCAGUGUGGUACCGAGCUUUUUGUUGUCAUCUUCACAAUUUGUAUACAACCCUUUUUUGUGAUCCUCUAACAUGCGAUCAAACUUCAACUUCUCCCUUUCACUUUCGCAUUCUCUAUGUGCAUCAACAAUGACCCGACUCAGAUCGUCAUCGGGCACAUCGUCUGGUUCCUCUUGAUCUUCAGCUUCCCCCAUUGCAGCAUCAGUGUAUUCAGGGGGCGGGUAGUUGUCAUCAUCCUCUUCUUCUAUGUUGUCUUCCAUCAUAACCCCUCUUUCUCCGUGCUUGGUCCAAACAUUAUAGUGUGGCAUAAAACCCUUCUGAAGCAGGUGCAACUGAAGGGUUUUAUAGUCGGAGAAUUCCUUCGUAUUCCCACAGAUAGUACAUGGACAAUGCAUAAAACCAUUACGCUUGUUUGCCUUAGCUGCUUCGAGAAAAUUAUGCAUGCCAUUAAUAUACUCGGAGGUGCGUCGGUCACCGUACAUCCAUUGAUGGUUCAUCUGUGUGCGUUAUAUAAUAAAGUGUAUUAAAAACUACACAAAUCUUGAUGAAAAUGGAGCUUGGACAAGAAGCUUCUAAAGGAGAAAGCUUAAGUGUGGCUCGGGCAUUUCAUCGAACACCUCAUGUGCAUAGGAGGUGAGCUAGAGCACCACAAAGCUCUCCCACGGCCGGCCAAAAAAAUAGAGCAGUGCACUUCUCUGCUCGCGGGGGUAUAUAUAGGCCAACCGUUGGUCCCGGUUUGUGGUUGGAACCGAGACCAAGGACAACCUGAGGUCCCGGUUCCAGCCACAAACCGGGACUACUGGUUGUGGGCCAGGAGCGAGGCACAUUGGUCCCGAUUCGUGUCUGGAACCGGGACCGAAGGUGACAAACGAACCGGGACAAAUGGCCCACGAGGCCUGGCCGGUGCUCUGGCCUCACGAACCGGGACCUACGCCCACAUGGGUCCCGGUUCGUGAGUGAACCGGCACUAAUGGGAUUUCAUCAAGUGGACCAAAGCCCUCUUUUUUACUAGUGAGUAUUGAUGGUUAGUAAAACCAAUAGUUUCAAGAAGGGCAAGGGAAAGAAGGGAAACUUCGAGAAUGACAAGUCAGUUGUCGCUCCAAUGAAGAAACCCAAGGUUGAACCCAAACCCGAGACUAUGUGCUUCUAUGAUGAGGGGAAUGAUCACUAAGGCCGAACUGCCCUAAAAACCUGGUAGAUAAGAAGGCUGGCAAUGUCAACAGCAGUAUAUUAGAUAUAUGUGUUAUUGACGUGUACUUUACUAUCACUCCUAGUAGCACAUGGGUAUUAGAUACCGGUUCAGUUGCUAAAUGUUAGUAACUUGAAAUAAAAGCUAAGGGGAUAAACGGAGACUAGCUAAAGGCGAGGUAAGGAUGUGUGUUGGAAGUGUUUCCAAGGUUGAUGCGAUCGCCAUCGCACGCUCCCUUUACCUUCAGAAUUAGUGUUGAACCUAAAUGUUAUUUGGUAUUUGCGUUGAGCAUGAACAUCAUUGGAUCGUGUGUGUUGCAAAACGAUUAUUCAUUUAAGCCAGAGAAUAAUGGUUAUUCUGUUUACAUGAAUAAUACCUUCAAUGAUCAUGCACCCAAUGUAAAUGGUUUAUUGAAUCUUGAUCGUAGUAAUACACAUGUUCAUAAUAUUGAUGCAAAAAGAUACAAAGUAGUAAUGAUAGUACCACUUACUUGUGGCACUGCCGCUUAAGUCAUAUUAGUAUAAAACGCAUGAAGAAGCUCCAUGCUGAUGGAUCUUUAAACCCACUCAUUUUUGUAUCGUUUGAGACAUGCGAACCAUGCCUAUUGGUGUAAACGCAUGAAGAAACUCCAUGCAGAUGGAUCUUUUGGACUCACUUGAUUUUGAAUCACUUGAGACAUGCAAAUCAUGCCACAUGGGCAAGAUGCCUCAAGGCCUCGUUUUCUAGUAAGAUGGAACGAGCAAGUGACUUAUUGGAAAUAAUACACUUUGAUGUAUGCAGUCCAAUGAGUGUUGAGGCACCUAGUGGAUAUCAUUAUGUUCUUACUUCAUAGAUGAUUUGAGUAGAUACAGGUGUACUUACUUGAUGAAUCAUGAGUCUGAAUUAUUGAAAAGUUCAAGCAAUUCAGAGUGAAGUUGAAGAUCGUCGUGACAAGAGGAUGAAAUAUCUAUGAUGUGAUCGUAGAGAUGAAUAAGUGAGUUGCGAGUUUGGUAUACAUUUAAGACAAUGUGGAAAUUGUUUCACAACUCAUGCCACCUGGAACACCAUAGUGUGAUGGUGUGUCCAAACAUCGUAGCCGCACCCUGUUGGAUAUGGUGCAUACUAUGACGUCUCUUACCGAAUUAGCACUAUCGUUAUGGGGUUAUGCAUUAGAGGCAACCACAUCCACUUUAAAUAGGGCACCAUUUAAUUCCGUUGAGAUAACACUGUAUGGACUAUGGUUUGGAGAAACCUAAGCUAUCGUUUCUUUAAAGUUUGGGGCUAAGAUGUUUAUGUCAAAAGGCUUCAUCCUAAUAAACUUGAACCCAAAGCGAAUAAAUGCAUUUUCAUAGGAUACCCAAAACAGUUGGAGAGGGGGCUUUUUGGGGUUAGGGUUGACACCUACAGGGUCGCUCGCGCAAGCAAUGCGGGAGGGGAAAGUGUCUUCUCGUUUUUAUUGAGCAUUGCCUGGAAGGUGUGCGAGGUGCACAUACUUCCAUUGAUCUGCUAAUUAUUCUAGAGAGCGAAUGAAACAACCUUUAAGGAGUUGGGCAGUUGCAAGAUUUUGUCUUGGUGCUAGCAUGGAUAACUAAUGAUAUAGUUCCACUCCUAUAGUAGCUCAUGGGUUCCAAAGUUGCAAAAAUUCAUCGAAGUGUCAAUGGAGUUGUCGAUGGAUUAGCUAGGUUAAGUGGAUAUGCAGUAUGAAAAUGAAACUCAUAUGUAUGGUGCAGGUGAAUCAUCAUGUUGGCCAAUAUUAUUGAAUAUGGGCUAUCAUGCUUAGUGAAUGGGAAAUAACCGCAAAAGAAAACUAGUCCCCGCAACGUCUGAACCGUGAUCAAACCAAGACCCAAGUGUAGUAAUUCAUAGGCGGGCGAAGUACUUGCACGAUAACAAAAACAACCAUGAAAAGUUUUUUUAAGAAAAACUUUCAAUCUAUUCAUCAACUAUAAAUGGAUCAAAGCAUCCAUUAGAUGGCGUUUCCUUGGGUUCCUAGGCGCUAGGGAAACAACCCUCUACCCAGCCAUGGGGCUAGGGUUCCUCUUGCCUCCUGCCAGCAUCGACGCCAGCCUGUCUCAUCUCCUGUGGCCUUGGGGCCAUGAAGCUGUGGUGGACCUCGGCCAUUACUAGCAGGGGAGAUUCGUUUUUGGAUGCUUCCUUGAGCUUUCUUAGGCUUUGUGUCCUGCUCACAUAGAUGAGGCCAUGACGGCUCUCUGAAGAUGGAAUAAGAUUCUCCUCACCUAUCCCCCGUCCCGGUGGUGCUUCUAGCAUCAUCGGAGGGCGUGUGAAGGCUUAUCUUUGGCGAAUCUCAUGGGAUCAGAGGGCGUGUGAAGAUUUGUCCACGUGGAUCCGGUCCUUAUUCGUGUAUGUUCGUGUGUCUAUAAGUUGGAUCCUUUCGAUCUAAACAUCUCUUCACCAAUGGCGGUUGCUCUUCUCAUGCGUUCAUCCUAUAAGGCCUUAGCACGAUGACUUCCCGACCAUCUACUAAAACACGUUUUGUCUAGUUCGAAGGAGGAAGGGGUGAUGAUAGUGGCGCACCUUUGGCUCGACACAGGGCUUGUAGUCGUCGCUAGGUGUCUACGAAUCUAGAUGUAAUCUUUAUUAUUUUUAGUACUUAUUGUACUAUCAUGAUUGACGAUGAAUAGAUCGGAAGUUUUCGUAAAAAAACUAUCAAGAAAAUAUAGAUAAGCGAGAAUUAAAAAAUAUGCAUUCAAGUCCGUAGACCAUAUAACGACGGCUACAAGCACUCAAGCAAACUGCUAGCUAAGUAUAGUAAAACAAAACAAACCUUCUUUUAUAAAAAAAGAGAAAAGAUAACGCCCACAAGUGUGUCCGUUUGCAAACCGUCCACACGCAUGGAUAGUUGUCCGUUCGUGGUUGCACAAUUUUGAUAAUUUUUGAUAGAUUUUUUAUGCCACAUAGGAAGGGGCUGGUGUGUGGACGUUUAUCAGUUCGCCCAUACGCAUGUUUCGCGCACGCAGAGAUCGCGGUUGCCAACCCGACGUGUGGUGAAACUCGUGUCGCGCCCGCAUGCCUGUCAGUUGCCAUAUCUUUCUAGUAUUACAUGGCAACUAAGUGGAACUGUCGCGCCCGCAUGCCUGUCAGUUGCCAUAUCUUUCUAGUAUUACAUGGCAACUAAGUGGAACUGUCGUGCCCGCAUGCGUGUCACUUGCCAUGUAUUUCUAGUGUUACAUGACAACUGAGUGGAACUAUCGUGCCCGCAUGCGUGUGAGUUGUCAUGUCUUACUAGUGUUACAUGGCAACUGAGUGAAACUACCGUGCCCGCAUGCGUGUCACUUGCCAUGUCUUUCCAGUGUUACAUGACAACUGAGUGAAACUGUCACGCAGGGGCACGCGGGGCCUUAAGGUGGCAGGCCAGAUGUGCGGAUUGAAAGGGCAGAAGGUCGGACGUGUGAGUGUUACUGUUUUAUCCACACGCAAACGUAUGGAUUGUUUCCCUUGCACACGAUACAGGACAUGUGGGCAACAUGCAUUAACGUCCACACGUGUGGUCGUUAUCGCGACCCAAGUAAAAAAAGACGUACAAAAUGAAACGAUCUCACAAGAAAAGAAAUUAGUGCAAGAAAAGAAGCAAUUUUAAACAAAAAAGGCGAAGAACAUAAAUAAUCACGCCAGCUGCAAGCAAGACCGGUCCGUUAUGACACGUGAGCCAACACAUGCUCACUUCGCUCAAAACAGCCCACGGGAUAGGAAUACCGAACAAACAUCAGCGAAUUGAGUCCACCUGUCUCCAGACUGCAGCAAAUAAGCACAGAAUGGCCCUGCUUGGCAGCCAAUCCGUUUUCUAUAUUUUCUAACUCUUCACUGUUGAAGCUCGUAUGGGAUGAAUGAUGAUCCAUGCAUGUGAGGUGAGGUUAUUGUAAUGUUCAUCGGUGAUCCGUACGAAGCUCGUGCGGAGCACGUGCGGUAGGGCGCGUCAAUUUUGACAUGUUCGAGAUGUGGAUUGGGGAGUCGAUCGGGAUAAUGUAGGCAGACAAAACGAAGCUGGUGAUCCUAGGUAAGGUUUUGCCUGACCAUUUAAUUCGUUCGUCGAGAAAACUAAAGAAUGCCUAACGCGCCCACAGGGCCGGAUGAACAGUAGAUUCAGAUGUAUUCUUACACUAGACAUACAUGGAUCAAGAAGAAGGCGCGCCAUUAAACUGCCGAUGCCUAAACCCUAAUGGCUUAGAAGUCGAUCGCCGAAUCCAUGGACGAGGGCGGUCGAUCCACCACACCAUCCAUAGGUGAUAGGUGCAUGCACGAAAGAAGAGCAAGAGCAGGUCAGCAGCAGCAAGAAGAACAGACGGAAAAUAAGCCAUGGAUGAGAUCCAAAGCAUUUCUCAGAUGCCCGGCGCGGGCGACCCCCCAUGAGUGCUUAAUCAAGAGUUACAGAAGACACACACAACCAGAACCAGGCACAAACGCACGCCCGUUCCUAUCUUUUUACUACUACCGGCGACACGCACAACGAGAGGCAUUAUUCGGCAGUCCAGUAUAGCUGCGUAGACUCAAACUUAACUAACCAUCUCGUCGUACGCACGCCGCGCGCCAUGCUCGGUCGCUAGGAGCCGUUGCCGUUGCCGGUGUCGUCGUCCCCACCCCCGCCGCCGCCGCCGCCGCCGCCGCUGCCGGAAGUCGCGGGGCCGCCGCCGCCGCCGGUCAAGUCGGAGAUGAUCGUCUUGAUGAUGCUGCCUCGCUUGGGGUUCCGGUUCCCGUCGGGCUUCCUCCUCUGGCCCUGGCCCUGGCCGCCACGAUCCUGCCCGUCCAUGGCGUCGCGCGCGUGGAAGCAAGCCCCGGCCGGCCGACCCGGAGAAACGUGGGCGAGUGAACGAGUGUCUUUGUGUGGGAGUGGGUGCGUGCGCAUGAGCUAGGGUGGGAGCUAUGCUGCUACGGGGAGGUGGGCUUUGUAGCGCUGAAUGGCAUUUGUUAAUUGCCAGUGCAUUUUCAUUUAUUUUUUGGCUCUCACGGCAGGAAGUACUUUUUUUUUGGCAACCAAUGGUAUUAGCUUAACAUGGGAGCUCUCUCGUACUAGCAGCACGAUGCGUGUCUGUGUGUGUGAUUGGAUAGACAAGUGGAUCGUGUAUCGGGC
rnacentral:lncRNA from 1 species